rnacentral:lncRNA from 1 species
UGCAACAUUGGAGCGUUUAACCCACCCUGAGCGAACGUCUUUAUCUUUGGGCAAUCUUCCACAAUUACCGUUGCUAAGGAUGGGAAUCCAAAGGUAUGAUUCGCUGAUGAGCAGAAGCUUUCUAGAUUUGAUAGCCCAAUAAGUUCCAAAAGGUUGAGUUUGGGGAAAAUGAUUUCAUCCUUCACUUCAUCACGAUCCCCAUCGCUACCUUCUAUUAUUUCUUCUAUCUUUCUACAAUAAAUUAUCCUCAUUUCUCUGAGCUGCGCUAGGCUUUUGGCUGUUGAAUGUGCAACUAAUUUUAUGAUCCCAUCACAAUAUACAACUUCAAGAGUCAUCAGAUUCUGGAAACAUACUGAGGAUGGAACUAAAUUACUUUUUAAUUUGGGACAACAUUCCACAUGUAAAAUCCUUAGAUUUUGGAAUCCUUCUUUUUCCUUCCAUAGAUGCAUCAAUUCAUAGAGACUAGAAAGCCGUAAUUCAGUUAACCGAGAGAGUACCAUCGAUGCAGAUGCAGGCUUUUCCUCACCACCAACUCCUUCACUUUGGAAUACCAACUCUUCAAAGUAACAAAGUUCUAUUUGAAGGCUUUCAAGAUUGGGUAAGGAUAGUAAUUGGAACAGGUAAGAUGGGAAUAUGGCUAAUUGUUGAGGAAACCGUACAAGUCGGAGAACUUUUAGUUUGCAAAAGUAGUCCGAUGCAAGUCGUAGGCCAUGCAAUCUCUCUUUCAUCCCAUCAUCCCAUCCGAGGUGAAGUUGCUGUAGAUUUGGGAAUGCCAACUGCACAAUUCAUGCAAGUGUUAAUGGGAGGGAGGAUGAGUUGUUGAAAGGGAUCAAAAUGAACGAUUGUAAUAUGGUGGAAUAAAAAGAGAAAUUUAAAAAAGUAUAUCUUUAAUAUAAGUAGUUAUCUUUUUUUUUUUUUAUUGAAUCAUGCAUACCUAUAUAGUACUAGCUGAUUUGAGUAUGUCAUUAUUAUUAACGUAUUUUUUUUGUUAAAAAAAAUAGGUACAAUCGUUUUCUAACUUUUGAUAUACAUCAAUUUUUACAAAAAUUUAAAAUUCAAAGAAUCUUUUAAUGCAUAUAACUUUACUGAAAAACUAAUAAAGUAUACAUUUAAAAAAAAAAUAAAAUCUGAUUAUUGAAGUUUAAAGAUGCCUCUUUAGUUAAAUUAUAGAUCAAUCCAAAGUUAUACUAUAAAAUUAUAUAUUCUAUCUUGGUAAACAAAUUAUUGUAUUUUAUUCUUACAAAUAUAUUAAUAGUUUACAUACUUUUCUUUUUAAUAUUUAUUAUGUUGCCAUUAAAUGCUUUUUUAUUUUAUUUUUUUUCAAAACAAGUCAAUCUAUUUUUUGAAAUUUUGAUCCAAAGAUUAUUUAAGAUUUAAGAUUGAGGGAGUUAAAUACACUCUUAUUUUUCACUUUAUACCUUAUUUUUUAAAAUUUCCUUAAGUAAAAUUAUUUAAUUAUAAUUUUUUUAUAAAUUUUUUAAAAUAAAUGUUUGGAAAAUUGUAUAACUUGUUGGAUAUAAAUAUCAGAAAACUUAUGACAAAGAGUAAUUAAGUAAUUUUAUUUUAAAAAAGAUUUGAAAAAAAAAUAGCAUAAGAAAAGGAUGCAUUUAAUAUCACUCUUUAGGGUUCAGAGGCUGGGAAUCUCAUUAGCAAUUAGCAAUAUAAAUAGUUUACCCUCUAUUAGAUUAUUGAAAUCAAAAUAAAUUCUUAAACUCGAAUGAUGUAAUUAAUAAUUAGGUGCUAUUUCUAUUAAACAUAUAGUUUUACCUAUCAAUUUGUAAAUGAGUUUAAUUAUUUGAAACAAAUUUUAAGUUUAUAUUGGAGCCAUGGAGGGAGACAUUAAAAAAAUACCUUUUCACUGAAUAGGUAUUUUGAGACAUCCGAGUGGAGGUUCUCCAUUGAGAUGCUGCUCUCUCCUACUUCAUUUCCAACAGUUGUUCCCACACUUGUAGAAUCAGAAUGGACUGUGUUCAGAAGAGGACAUUUUUCUAUGUGCAGAUAUGUUAGAGAAGGGAAUUCAAUCAGAUUUUCAAAGCCAAAUCUUUUGAGCUUAGGAAGGUCCUCGAGCGUCAAGCGGUCUAAUUUUGGAAACACCAUUUUCUUCAUCCUUUCUUCUUCUUCUACUAAUCCUUCCGUCACUAUUAUUAUCUCUUCAAUUUCAUUACACUCUUCAACAGAAAGUGUUUUUAGUUGCACAAAAGCUUUCAACCAUAGAGGAAGUAAAUAUAUUCUUCAAAUUAUGGCACUUGUACACCGUCAACUUUGUUAAAUUUUGAACACCAAAAGAAGUUACUGAAAGUUGCUCAUGCCAUAGUUUUUUCGCUGGGAUUGAGUAUAGACACAACUGCUCUAAGCCUGGGAACACAACCUGCAAAUAAAAGUAAAGUUUGACGAUCAACAGUUCCUUAUUAUUCAAAUAUUAAAAAAGAAUUAAUAAUGAUUUCCAACAUUGAUAUGACACAAAGAAAUAAUAUAUUAUUGUCAUUGACUAUAUAUUUCUACAACUCCGUCAUCUUUAAUUAUACUAGCAAUAUACCCACACUUUCUUGUAGAUCUAAAAUUUUUUUUAUUUAUAGUUAAAUAAAUUUAAUAAAUCAAUGAAUAUAAUUUUUUAUAAUUUCUUAAUAAAAACAAUGAUUUAUAAUAAUUUAUUAAUUAAUUUGGGGAUAAUAUCUUUAUUUUAUUUACAGAACUUGUUAACAAAUCAAAUAUAAAUUCAUAUUUUCAAAUAUAGUUAAAAAUAUUAAAAUAGAUAAUUUAAAAACUUAAAAAAAAUCUAAAACUUAAAAAAGGAAAAGUGUCAAGCAAAAAGGGAAAAAAAAAAAAAGAAAAAUGACCCAAAUGAAUUUACCAAGUCGACACUCCCACUUAAAGAGGACAAUGGACGAGUAGAAGCAUGUUAUGGUUAUCCUAACUCCAACUUAAUCUCGGAUUAUUAUUUUUUAUACCUAAUCUAACCUAACAUAUAAAUAUAGUAUUUUAUUAAAUAUAUGGAAUAUGCAUGGACACUAUCUUUUAAUGAUAGAAAAGAGGUUGAGUCAAGGUGCGUUUAUACACACCUUGACUCUUAACUCAAAUUUUUAAUAAUUCAAUUAUACUUUGAUUUCAAUCCGACAUUGAGUUAUCAUUAAUUGAUAUCUUAUCUUAACCUAUCACAUAUAUGUAUAACCCGCAUCCAUUCCAAAUUAAUCAAAAUUAAUUCAAAAAAUUUAACUUAGUAUACUGUUUAUAAAUUAUAUCUUAAUUAUGUAUAAAUAUAAUAGUUUAUUAAAAUAAAAUAUUAACUAAUAAUUUUAUUAAUAUAAAUAUAUAAAUAUAAAAUUAAUUAAAUAAUAAAAUAUAUAUUUUUAAUAUAUGCCAAAAAUGAGAUGGAAUAUCCCAAAUCCGUUUCCUACCACUUAUCCGAUUUAAAAAAAAUUCCAACCUAAUUUCAAUUUUAAAAUAUAAUGUACCUAUUGGAUUGAGAGAAAUCAAAAUCCAUUGAAUUUGUUUUGUCAUCCUUACAUCAAUUGUCUUUUUUUUGUAUGAAAUUUUUUUAUUAAAAAAUUUUUUUAAAAAAAGUAAUUGGCAAAAAAAGAAAAAAAAGCCAAAUAAAAGUGUUGUAAAUUUAUUAAAUUAAGAUAUUAAAUAAUAAUUUUACUAAUAUAAUAAAUAUAUAAAUGUAACAUUAAAUUAAUAAUAAAAAUAUAAUUUUAUAUAUAUCUUAGACAAGAUAAAACAUUUUAAAAUAAUCUUUGAACAAAUCUUAAGUUAAAAAAAAAAUUUCAAUCUAUUCUCAAAAUUUUUAAAACAUCACAUCUAUAUUGAAUCGAAGUGAAUUGAAAUCCAUUAGAUACAAAUUGUUUCAUAAAUUUUACAUUUAUUAUUUUUCUUACAAAAUUUAUCUAAUAAAAAUUAAAACCAAAUAAAAAAAUAAAAAAAUACAUUUUAAAGGAAGGUUAGGUGGCACAUAGACCCCCCAUCUUCCUCCAAAAUCUAAAAUAUUUAUAAAAUUGAUUGUUGAAAGCCUUUUGGUUGAAAUAAUUAACUUCGUACAAUGAUUAUAAUCUUCCAUGAAAUAAUUAGAAAAAAAUCAAAUAUUGGCUUGAAGUUGCAAUAAAUAAAGUCAAUCAUUAAAUUUUAUGUAUUAGUUAUUAACUCCUAACCAAAAAAAAAGUACAAUUUUAGAUCUAUAAUCAUAUAUAAUAUCAAUAAUUUCAUUAUAUCACUCAAGUCAUGACUUGUAAAAAUAAGAGUUUUAAAGUUUUAUUAUUAGAGGUGUUCAUCGAUUAAACCUAUCAAGUUCUGUUUUUAAAGCUAAUAAAAGGCCGACAACUCACUCAUUUAUUUUAUUGACAAAAAACUCACUCAUUUAACUAAUAUUUUUUUAUUAAAAUAAUAAACUUUUCUAUUAUUAUUAAUAUUUUAAACAUAUAAAAACAAAAUUUAACAAAAAUAUAAUAUUUAUUAAUAAAAUAAUUUAAUCAGCCCUAUUCAAGCUGAAGCUUAAAAAAUCAUAUGCAGCCUGACCCUUUAUAUCUUCAGUUUCGACGAUCCCCUCUAUAAUUCAAAUAAUUAAGACUUUCAAUUUUAAAGUUUUAAGUCUACAAUGAUAGAAUAUCUCUUUGGAUGACUAUAAAAUGUUAUAAUGUUUGUGAGAAAAAAAUCUAUAUGUGAAAAGGAGAAUUAUAAGACUUGAAGAAAAUAACAUAAAAGAUGGAAAAAAAAUCACCUUCAGAUAUACAUUCUGGUCUUACAAUAUAUUAACAUAUAUACUUCAUCACUUUGUUUUCAGGUUAAGUUAAUAGGAAAAUUACAAUCUAAAACACUAUUGAUAAUAAAUUUAAAUUCCACACCAUCGAAUUUAGAUGAUUGCUAAAUAACUCAAUAGGAUAUAAUUUUAAAAAAUUAAUAUAAUAAAAAACAUAUGAUAAUAUUUUAACUACACUUACAAAAUUUAAAAACUCUACCAACAAUGUAUGAAACAAAAAUUUUAUGUUCAAACAAUGGAGAAAAGCAUUAAGAAAAUACCUUUUCAUCGAAUAGAUAUUUUGGUACAUCAGUGCAGUGUUUCACCAUUGAGAUGCUAUUCUUUCCUGCUUCAUUUCCAACAAUUGUACCCACACUUGUAGAAUCAGAAUGAAAUGUGUUCAAAACUGGACAUCCAAGAAUCCAUAGUUCCUUUAAAGAGAGGAAUUCAAUUGGAUUUCCACAACAAAAUCUUUUGAGAUUGGGAAGAUUGAAGAGGUGCAAAUUGUCUAGUUUAGGAAACACCAUUUUCCUCAUCCUUUCUUCUUCCAGUAAUCCUUCUGUCACUGUUAUUACCUCUUCAAUUUCAUUACAAUUCCUAAUAUAAAGUGAUUUCAGUUGCACGAAGCUUUCAACCAUAGAAGAAGUAAAUAGAUUCUUCAAAUUAUGACAUUUCUCAACAGUCAAUUCCGUUAAAUUUCCAACACCAAAAGCCGUUACUGAAAGCUGAUCAUGCCAUAAUUUUUCAACUAUGAUUGAAUCUAACCGCAACUCCUUUAAGCAUGGGAACACGACCUGCAAAUAAAGAAAAAUAUUUGAUAAUCAACAAUUUUUAUUAUUCAAAUAUUAAAAAAAAUUAAUAAUGAUUUCUAAUAUUGACUACAAUUUUCAAGGAAAUUAUUAAACAAAAAUUAAAUAUUUACUUGAAUUUGCAACUACAUAAAGUCAAUUAAGUCAUUAAAUUUUGAGUAUGAAUUAUUGACUCCUAACCCCAAAAAUAAAGCACAAUUGACGAUCUAUAUAUAUAAUAUCAAUUCUUAAGUUCAUUAUAUAACACGCAUGUCAUGAAAGUGAAUUGGAGUUUUAAGUUUCAGAGGCGCAUUUGGAUUGGCCUAUCAAGUCUCCCUUCCAAGGCUGACUCAACUCACUCAUUUAAUUAUUAUUUUAUUAAAAUAACAAAAUUUUAUUAUUAAUAUUUUAAUAUUGCAAACAUAUUCAAAAUUAAAAUGUAACAAAAAUAUAAUAUUUAUUAAUAAAAUAAUUUAAUCCUUCUGGAUGAGAUUUGAGUUAAAAAAACCUUUUUUUAUGUUUUAUUGAAUACUUAUUUUAAAUAUAUUAAUAGAAUAUUUUAUGAUAUAUUUUAUUUUCAUUAAUUUUGAUUUAAAAAUCACUAAAAUUGAAAGGACAGUAAUAAUGACAAAAUUGAAGACUCACCUACAAUAAUAAAUUUGCUCUUUAUCCAAAUUAUAACAUUCACAUAUUAAAUAGAAAAUCUAGUUUAAGAAAAAGGAACAAAAACGAUAUCAAAAGGAAAUAUGUUGGAAGUGAGAAUUUAACGAAAAGAAGAAAUAUAUUGACAUAAAUACCUUUCGGUCAAAAAGUGCUGUGGCAGUUGAACUUCCAUCAAUUGAUUGAACUCUUCCUUGUUGAGACGAGGAAAGCUUUUUUUCUGAGUUAAACAAGCCAAUGAAACUUGGUAGAUCUUCUAACCUUAAAGAGCGUAAUUGGCUGAAUUCUAAAAUGUCAUCAUCACCAAUCUCUUCCUCCCUCUUUUCUACAAUUAACUCCGUGAAAUUCUUGCAAUCAGAUACACGAAUUUUUUGAAGGUGGCCGAGCUUUCUGGCUAAGGUGAAUGAGAACAAAUUCUUCAACAUAUUACAAUCUUCAACAUUUAUCUUUCUUAGUUGACCAAAACAUUCAGCUUGGAGUUGACCAUAAUAUAUGGCCUCCAAAUUGUUCAGUUUACGAAGAAACAAUGUCUCCAAAAGAGGAAAUGCUUUACAAGAAGCCAACUCCUUGAUUAGAUAUUUAACCUCUGAAUCAUUGCAGACAUCAAGAUGUUUUAAAUGUGGGAAACCUUGGGUAUCUGGAUCAUAAAGCAUGUCUAUGACAUCUUUCCCUGCAUCCAGAUGGAGAGUUUCGGUUUUUCUCAACAACGUUUUAACCCCACUAUCGUCCAAAUAAAUACUCUUAUUCAACUUGAGUUUCAACUCUCUCGAGGUUUUUGACUUAUAAGACUGCCGCCACUUCUCUCCAAUGGAAAUUUUGUAUCUUUCAAACUUUUCAGAAAACAAUUCCUUUGGCACACCUUGCAGAUCAGGAAUAUGUACUUCCAAAGUUGUCAAACGACACAAAUGUUGCAACUCAACAAGGCUAGCAUUGGUUCUUGGCUUCUCAUGUCCCUCAACCUCCCAUCUAUCAAAGCUAUGAAGUAGGUAUAAUUCUUCUAAUCUGGAUAAACGAGACAAGACAUUUGGUGAUAUUACUUUAAGACUGGAACAAUGACUCAAAUCUAGCAAUUUUAGCUUGAUCAAUUGUCCUAUUUGGGGUGGUAGCACUGCAAUUUUAGAUUUUCGGAAGCUAAGGAUUUCUAAAUUCUUUAACUCUUCAAUGAUGACUAUAUCUUUUAAAAUGCAGUCAGAAAAACAUAAAGUACGGAGAUUUUUUAGGAAACAAAAUGACGAAGGCAAGGAUGGAAAAUCAAGUUUGGCAAAAUCUAAGACUCUGAGUUUUUGCAUUCCCCUAAAGAAGUUGUCUGAAAUUUUCAAAGAGGAAUCCUCACUACCCAAAGAGACAAAGGUAAGAUUUGGACAUUCCAACCGAUCAUGAUCAGAAGGUUCACAAACCUUAGCAUACUGCAAGCUGAUCAGUUCGCAAUUUCUCAUUUUUUCCUCAUUUGACAACUCUUUGAAUACAUCAUCAUCAUCCCUUCCUAGAGCAAGCCAAUGGUGGUCUCUCGAAGCGAUCGAUAAGGCAACAUCACAAACAACGUCAUGCAUAUCAAAGCGCUCAAAGGUAGAACCAUCAAGUAACAAAGAAGAGCUUUUCAGGUUGUUAACCAAUGCGGAUACUUUAUAUCGUGCUUCUUUGAUUGUAUUAACUGCAUGAAAUAAACCCAAACCCAUGCCAUAUCUCAACAAGCGGUCGAUGGCAGCAUCAUGGCCCAUUAUGCUACAGAGUAGGAAAGUAGGUCGAUGUUCCUCAUCUUCUAAAAACUUGUAACUCAACUCUAUAGCUGAAUAUGCACCUGCUGGUAUCCCCUUGAAGUUUCUUUUAGAGGGAUUUCUUAGUUCAUUCAAGGCAUACUUCCAAUCAGACAGAUUCUUCUUAUUUUUCAUAGCUUCCCCAACUGUUACAAUGGCAAUCGGCAAUCCAGCACAUUCAUUGGCCACUUCAAUUGCCGUAGUUUCCAAGUCAGGGCUUAGAACAAUAUCACCUGCCUUCUUCUUAAACAGGUUCCAUGCUUCUUCUUCUUUCAAUAUUUCAAUUGGAAUGUUUUUCAGCGAACCCAUCAAAGAUAAAGCAUCAACCUUUCUAGACGUCAGUAAGAUCUUGCAUCCUUGGUGUUCACCUCCGUAAGGAACUCCCAGAGCCUCCAUAUCCAAUUUCUCCCAAAUAUCAUCCAAAAUAACAAGAACCUUGCUUUUCUUUAGUCUGUUACGCAGUUCGCCUGCUCUCCCGGGCUCACUCUGCAUUUCAAACUUCAGACCCAAUUCAUCUGCAAUCAGUUCUUGAAUUUUCUUGAUGUCAAAACUCUGGGUUACGGCUGCCAUGACCACCUUAUCAAACAAAUCAUCCUUGGCUUGUCUAGCAACUUGUUUAACUAGUGUGGUUUUACCCACACCCCCCAUCCCGUAAACACCAAUUAUGCUCAAAUUAGCAUCUUUAAGCGCCUCCAUGACCGCAUCGAAAGCACCCGUUCUUGACUCAAAGUCCUCGUACUCUCUGACAGGUCUACUAGCUAUCCCUUCUGGAGCAGGUCUGUAUGAAACUCCACCAAAUCGGUCUUUAUCUUUCAAGAGUUCAGCAAUGGUGUUGGCCUCUUUCUCAGCUUUUCUACUGAGUUGGUAACGAGACUUAAAAUUAGGACACAACCCAACGAAACACAUCUGCUUUGCUUUCUCUUCAUCUUCAUCCAAUUGCCCAGCAGCCUCGUCACAGAUCCCUCUGACCUUAGUCAACCACUCAUCCACAUAGCUAAAUAUCUCCUUUCCCUGUCUCGUAGCCGCAUUAACAUCCUCUUGCACACUUUCUCUUGCAAUCUUCAGUUUUUUAAGUUGAUCCCUGAGGUUUUGAAACUUGCUCUUAUGCUUGAACAAGUAACUAACUUGUCGUGCAAUGGGAUCAACUGUGUAUUCCACCGCUUUCCCAGCAAGAGAGCCAAGAAUGGAUCCAACAAUGGAAAUACAAGCCUCCAUAUUUUUUUUUCUGUUUUUUUUUUUUAAUCGGAAGAACGCUCCCUGACAAAACCUAAAACAAUAUGAACAGUAAUAUUCAAAACCCAAAAUAAAAAAAUAAUAUAAAUCAAAUAAUCAGAGAUGAAAACAGUGGAAAUGGGUUUAAACAAACAUACCUCUGUCGUUCUCUUAGAUAUCAAAAGAUUGUUCGGCUACAGCUUCUUCCUAUCCUCACUUUGAGUAGUGAAGCCAAAAGAACAGAGAACCUACAGACAAAUUUUAAGGAAUUCUUUUUUCUUUUUUUGGUGAAUAAAGCUUGAGGAUUCAGCAGUUGAAAGAGUUUAGGAGAUGGCAGUUUGAGAGAACAGAGAAUCAAAACUCAGAAUUGCGUGUUUUCUAUAAAAGAGUAUGAACAGCCAAGAGUCGUAAACAAAUGGGAACAUGUUGACAAACUAAAGGACGACUAAAGCACGGCCAGCUGGUCUCCAUUCUGCGGUCCCUGGGUCCUGAUUGUGCGCCUCUGGGCUGUGGCACAUGAUUUCUGUCGGUAAAGUAUUAUUUUUGAGUAAAUUACACCAAAAUCCUUGUUGUUAAGCACUAAUAUACAGUUGUCAUUUUUUUUUUUACCUAAUGAUGAAAAAGCUAUUAGGAAAACAUAAAAUCUUGAUUUGAUUUUCUUCAUUUUCAUAAAUUAUGCUCGUCUUAUAUACCAAAAAUGAAAUACUAUCAUCUUCAAAAGUUUUAGCCAAGACAUGAUAAAUACAUCAUUACAAAUAACAUCAAAUUUUUAUUAUAAUCGAAGUUAAAAAACUUUUAUUUACAUUCAAAAAUACUCCUUGAAUCCAAUUUUUUUAUUAUACAAAUAAUCAAUAGGUGUUAAGUUCCAUCAAAUUAUUUUUUACUUCUUCGGUUUAUCAUUUUUAAAUCCAACGAAUUUACUAAUUCAUAAAUUUAUAAAUUUAUAAAAAUUUAUGAAUUUAAAUAAUUGUAAGUUUUUUUAAUUUAUAAAAAACAUUUUUAUCAUUUAUGAUUUCAUAAAAAAAUUUAAUAAAUCAAAUUUUAAUUUUAAUCAAAAUUUAACAAAAAAUAAAUCUUAAAUUUAGUUGAAACUUAUAAUUUUAAAAUUUAAAUUUAAAAUUUUGAAUUUACAAGUCCACGAGCUUUUUAAAAAUUUAUCUUUAACCUCUUCAAAUUUAACCAAAAAUACCCUUUUUUUUUAAUAGGAUGACAAGUAAUAUAACUAAACCAAUUUCAGCUUCUUAAUUUAGUGAUAAAAAAAUCUUCAAAAAAAUACGAAAUUGAGGUUUGGCUCUAUGCUUUCUUUCUUCUUUAUUAUUGUAAAGCUCUCUCCCCUUAAAAUCAAACAACAUAAAUGAUAACUCAUUAAAGUUAUAAAAAAUAUCAAAUUAGUAUUUUUAUUAAUAUCAAACUAAGUAUAAAUUAUAUCUGUUAUGUUUACUUGAAAACUUCUUAUAAUUUAUAAUAAGAUUUAAAAUAAACUAUAUAUUUUUAAUUAUUAUGAUAUAUUUACAUAUUAAUAUUUCAUUUAAAAAAAAUUAUAUAAUCUCUUAUAUUAUGUAUUAUCAAUUAUCAGGUGAUUUAAAAUAAAAUAUACAAAACAAGCUAUUGAUUUGUGUAUAUAUAUGUUACAUAUAUGUUGUAAUUAUAUUAUUAAAUUUUAAUCAUGAAAUUUAAAAUAAAUUAUGUGAUUUCCUUUUUCCUUUUUUUUUUUUUGAAUGGUAAGAAAUUGAUGAUAUGAAGCAAAACAAACAAUAAAAGGGAAGAAGGCUCACUGACAAAACCCAAAACAACAAAAACAGCAAUAUUUAAAAACUAAAUAUAUAUAAAUCAAAUAAUCAGAGAUGAAAGCAGUGGAAUGGGUUUAAACAAACAUACCUGUGUCCUUGUCUUAGAUAUCAAAAGAUAGAUCGGCUACAGCUUCUUCCUAUCCUUACUUUGAGUACUAAUAUCAAAAGAGCCGAAAACCUACAGGAAAAUUUUGAGGAAUUAUUUUUUCUUUUUUUUGGUGAAUAAAGCAUGAGGAUUCAGCAGUAGAAAGAGUUGAGAGAACGGAGAAUGAAAACUGAGAAUUGCGUGUUUUCUGCAAAAGAGCAUAAAAGGCGGAGACUAGUCAAGAAAUGGGACAUGAUGACAAACUAAACAACAAUUAAAAGCACAGCUAGGUCGUCUACAUUGUGCUAUCCCUAGGUCAUGAUCGUGCGCAUGUGGCUGUGACCAUGCCUUUCUGUCGGAAAGUAUUAUUAUUGAGUAAACUAUACCAAAGUCUAUGUUGUUAAGCACUAAUUUAACAUCACGCCAUCCGUAUGAUAAAUAUACGGUUCUCAAUUUCCUUGGUGUAAUAAUUAAAAAAAUUUCAGCAGGACAUAAAAAAUCUUGAUUUUAAAUUAAUUUUUUUAUGACGUAUGUUCAUUUUAUAUAUAAAUAUAUUUAUCAUUCUCCAAAGGUUUUACAAUCACAUCAAAUUUCUGUUAGAAUUAAAGUUGGAAGUUUCGUUUACAUUCAAAAUUUCUUGAUGCAUUUAAUGUUUUUAUUAUAAAAAUAUCCAAAUUAACUCUUUUAGCAAAUUACUUUUCACUUCUUCCUUGCAUAAUCCUACAGAUUUAUAAAGUCAUAACUUUAUAAAAAAAUUUAUGAAUAUGAGUGUUUGUAAAUUCUUUAAAUGGGUGAAAAAAAUAUUUUUUUAUUAUAAAAAUAUUCAAUGUGAAAGUAAUGAUUUCACAACAAAUUGCUUAACACCUCAAAGGUCACCAAGAGAUUUGGGCAGAAAAGGCAGUCAAGUAAAUGCAAGUCAACAUAACAUCCAGGAAAAUGGCAAGAAGCGUUUAGUUUCCAACAAACAUCAAAAUCAUCGUAGGUUUGGCAAUACUCUAGGAAGUCCUUCCUUGAGCUCGCAUGUUGGUAACAUGCAUUUACAUGAGAGGAAUCGUAGUACAAUUGAUGUCACUAAAAGCUCUAGUGUCUCUGCACCUGUCUUUGGCUCACAAAAAAUAAAAAUCAGAGAGCUAGGAUUUUAAGAGGGAAAAGACUGAGGACAAGUUUGACGUUGAUCAGAUCUGGGCAUUAUAUGGUAGGGAUGGCAUGCCUAAGGACUGUGCUCAAUUCAAAAAGAUUGAAUCCACCCCUCAUUUCAAAUUGCGUGUGGCACUGCUGGAAAUGUGCUCAAGGCCUAAAGACUUGAAACUACCCUUUGUUGUAGGAUAUUUAAAGUUAAAAGUGGCCAAACCAAGGUUAACGUUGUCUCUCAUCAAUUAAGAGCCGAGCCCAUUGGGAAGAACAAAUACAAAAUUUACCCUAAAAAGGGGAGGUUUGGGCAAUAUACAAGAGUUAGAACUCCGCAGAUUCAGACUUGGGUACGGGUGAAUGUGACAUUGUAGAAGUGUAGGAAGAUAAUGCCAAGAACAAAAAAGUUAUGGCUCUGUCAUGUGUAAAUGGCUCUAAAUCACAUUAUAGGGCUUCAAGAAGUCUAAGUGCCGAAGAUUGAGUUUGCUACUUUUUCUCGUCAGAUUCCAGCUUUACAGCACACAAGAGAAAAGGAUUGCUACUGGAGAGGCUAUUGGGAGCUUGAUCCCUUGACUAUUCCUAGUGUUCUUAUUUGUAUAGAGUGAUAUGCUAUAUUGUGUUGUAUCAUUAAUUCCCUCACCUCAGUCUUACCAGGAGCUUUUGUGAGUAUGCUUCAAGGGAGAAAAUGGAAAGAACUUAGAAAAAACCUGACGAAAUUAUUUUUGCCUCCUGUGUUGGAAAUCAUGCACGGCCUUAACCGUUAACCAUUUUGUUUUUGCCAAAAUGUACUCUUUUGGAAUGUAAUUUUAUGAUUUAAAAAAAAAAUGAAGUUAUUCAUAGCUCUUUAUUUUUAUUAUUCCCUAAACCUUUUUUUUUUUGGUCUGGAAAAGGAGUAUUAUUCCCUAAACAUUUCAAUUUAUUAAGAAUUGCUUUAUUUUGAAACUCAAACAAUUAAACCUUAUGGUUUUAAAUUGGCCGCUUGUCCUAUAAAUUUGAAGUAUAGAUUAGCCCUUCAAAUUGUUAAUGUGGCAAUAAAUUGAGGUGGGGAUAACUUUAUACUUGUUUUUCUAAUCAUAUUCUCUAUUACUAAGUCUUAACUCGAGAUCUAUCGCACCUUAAGCGAGAACCGUACCGCUAGACCAAGUGCCCUUAGUUGAGGUCAAUUUACUUCUUCUUUUUGUCACUAAAAAAAAAAAUUACAUGCUCUUAUUAUUUUUCAAUUUAAAGAAAAUAUCCUUAAAUGGCAGCAAAAUUACAGCAAAACUUGUUCCCUUCAGUUCAGUUUUUGCAGUUCUCAAUUUGUCUUGUCUUUGUCAUUUAAACCAGGUCCCUUUUAUUUGUUUUACUUCAAAAUUCCAUACAAAUUUUCAUUUUUUUCACAUCUCGAUCAAGACUCUCUUCUUAGAUUUUUUACACCCUAUUUUUAACAACGCGCUUUAACUGUUCGAUGUAAUGCUUCCUUAUAUACUCUGCAAAGUACUUGCAAUUAUGUUUUGACAUUUUGUUUUUGUUUUCCAGGAUGUUCUUUGCAAGAUGAUGAAGCAAGUAAUAGAGAAGGUUUUGAGCAAAAGGAUAGUUUUUGCUUGCUCUAUUUCGUGAACAAUGACUUCCGAAAAUUAUUUCUGAAAAAUAUUUACAUUUUGUUAAUUUAUUUAUUUAUUUUGUUAUUUAGAGGAAUUAAUGAAAAAUCUUUUCCAGUAUUUGAUUUUUUUAAAAAUCUUAUAUAACUAUUAAAAUAUUAAAAAUUAUUUAUUAUUAAAGUAUAUUAAAAUUAUUAAUAUUCAAAAAUAAUUAUAUUUUGAUAAUAAUAUUUAAUAUUAGAAUAUUAUAUUAAUAUAAAAAUACUUAAAAUAAAACUAUUAAUUAUUUUUUAUUACUUAUUAUUAUAUUAUAAUUUUAUUUAUUAAUAUAUUAUAUUAAUAGUAUAUUAUUUAUUAAUAUAUUGUUAUAAUAUUUAUUAACUAAUAUAAUAAUAUUAAUUAAUAUAAUGUUCUAAUAUUUAAUAUUAUAUAAUAAAAUUAAUUAAUAUAUUAUUUAUUAAUAUAAUAUUAUUUAUGAAUAAAAUUAUACUAAAAAAUAUUGAUAAAUAAUUUGACUUGGAUAAUUUUUUUCAAAAAAUCUUUCUUUUUAAAAUUUGUAAAAUAAUUUUUUAAAAAUGACUUUAUUUUUUAUUUUUUAAUAAUUAAUAAAUUAUUUUUCAUUAAUUAAUAAAUUAUUUUUUGUUAAUCAAUUAAUUUUUAUCAAAUAAAAAAUUAAAAAUGUAAAAUUAAUUUUUUUAAUUUUUUGCAAAACAACGAAGCAUCAAAUUCUGCAAAUAAGCUUUUUUUUGCCUUGCUUGUACUUGCCCACGAUUUCUCUUCGCGUUGGACAGGUAACUCGUUUUUUCUUAUGAAUUUUAUUCAGUUUUUAUGGAUACCCAAUUCAUUUAUCGAUCGAAAAAUUUGUCAAUUAAACCCAAAGCCCAUUAUCCACUGAUGUUCCAGACUCCCGAUAUUGUGUUCAUUGUUUUAUAUUUCUUGAAACAUGGGAAAUCUUAUUUGCAGCGUGUUUUUGGCAAGUCCUCUAUUUGUAUGAUACUUACAAGAAUUCAAUUGGUGAAUUUUAACUGAAAUUUAAUUAGCUGAGAGUUCUUAAGUUUUUUUUAAAUCGGAAACAUUUCAGUUACAAUUAUUUAAUUGCAAUUAAUCAAUUAUAAUUCAUAUUUGUGUAAAAUUCAUUAAAAAAUUAUAUAAAACUCAUAUUUUUUAAGUGAAAAAUUUAUAAGUAAAAUUCUCUCUUUAAAAACUGAGAUUUACAACUUUCAACACCCAUAAUCAUAUAUAAAUAUAUCUUUAGAAUUAACUUGUAAGCUAAUCACUUGCAUACAGCAAAAUCCAGUUCAGUCAUGUUUUGGUUUUGACCAAAUUUCUUGACUAUUUAUUAGACUCCGAAAUUUUCGUAUCCAUGUCUAUUUAUUCAUGUCUUAAUAGAUGUAAAAUAUAAAUAUUAUCACUAACACAUUAAACACAAAAUAUUUUUUUAUUUUUAUUGAAAUUAUAUAUAAUUUUUACUAAGAUUUUAAACUAUCGCUUUUAUUUUUUUAUCAUAUUAAUUUAAAAUUAUAUUAUAUUUAAAAUUGUAUUAUAUUGCUUUGCUUUGGUAUUGACAAAUAGGAAUUGUCAGUAUAUGGUUCUUAAUUUUGAUUGUUAGAAAUGCAUGACUAAGAAGAUUCCAUAUGGAAUAUGUUACUCUAAUACGUGACUCUACGGUGGGUGUUUGGGGACACGCUAUGUUUUUGUGUCUGCGUUUUGACAAAUCAAGUUCCAUGGCAUGAACAGCCUCUUGCACUCUUUCUCUUGAAUCCUCCAGUUUUUGACGUUGAUCCCUGAGGUUUUGAAACUUGCUCGUUUACUUGAACAAGUAACUAACAUGUUAUGCAGUGGGAUCAACUGUGUACUCCGCCGCUUUGCCAACAACAGAGCCAAGAAUGGAUACAACAGUAGAAAUAACAGUCUCCAUUUUUUUUUUUUGAAUUGGUAGGAAAUUGAUGUUAUGAAGCAGAACAAACAAUAAAACAAGAGCGAAGAAAGCUCACUGACAAAACCCAAAACAAUAGAAACGGCAAUAUUCAAAACCCAAAAAAACAAAAUUUAUUUUAAUCAAAUAAUCAGAGAUGAAAACAGUGGAAAUGGUUUUAAACAAACAUACCUCUGUUCUUGUCUUAGAUAUCAAAGGAUUGGUCGGCUACAGCUUCCUCCUAUCCUCACUUUGAGAACUGAAGCCAAAAGAGCAGAGAACCUACAGGAAAUUUUUUGAGGAAUUUUUUUUUCUUUUUGGUGAAUAAAGCUUGAGGAUUCAGCAGUAGAAAGAGUUUAAGAGACGGUUGUUUGAGCGAACAGAGACUCAAAGCGUGUUUUCUGCAGAAUAGCACGAAAAGGUAAGACCAGUAAAAAAAGAGGAACAUGAUUAAUUAUAAUAUAUUCUUGAGUAAAUUACACUCUUUCUCUUGAAUCCUCCAGUUUUUGACGUUGAUCCCUGAGGUUUUGAAACUUGCUCCUUUACUUGAACAAGUAACUAACAUGUUAUGCAAUUCAAAAAUCCCACUAGCAGGAUGGAGGUUUAGAGGGCUUUUCCAUUCCCACCACUCCUACUGUUUCCAAAAAUACCUUUCCUUUUAUUUUUUUUCCUUUAAAUUUAAUAGAUACAAACUUUUCUUUUUAUUUUUGUUUUUAUUUUUAAACUUUGUUUUAAAUAAAAACUAAUUAUUAUUUUAAUAUAAAAAAUAUAUUAUCUUUUAUCAAAAGUUUAUGAAUAAUGUUAAGGAUCUUUUGCCUUUGCCUCACCGCUACGUUCAGUGAACCUAAAACAACCAGAAGAACGCUCCCUGACAAAAACAACAAUAAUGAAAGCCAAAAAAUUAAAUUAUCUUAAUCAAAUAAUCACAUAUGAAAACAGUGGAAAUGAGUUUAAACCAAUAAAGUUUGAGAAAUUGGGUACUAGACCGAGUUAAAAGGAAUGGUAGUUGCGAGAAAGGGCUGCUAGUUGAGAAAAUAGGGAAUCAAAACCAAUAAUUGUGUGUUGCUUGGGAAAGAGCAUGAAAAGUCAAGACUAUUACGCCAUUCAUUGCGCACUUCACGAAAAAGUAUUUUUAGUAAAUUACACUAAAAUCCUUGACAUUUAGUACUAAUUCAACAUUACUCUAUUAGUAUGAUAAAUUUACAUCAUCCCCAAAGUUUUAACUGUGUUAAAUGACAACAUCAAGGUUCCGUAAGAACUGGAGUUAAGAGGGUAUUGGAGGCGCAUCAUAUGCAAUUUAUGUUAUGCCAACAAUACCCUCUCUUUUACGGAAUAACAAGUAAGAACCAAACCAACCUGUCUUUUUACUUUAUUUCUUCUUUUUGACUUAAUGCUCAAGUAUGCGAUAAAUUUUUUAUACAAAAUAAAUAUAUAUCCUCUAUCUUCUAUUACAUGUAAAUAAAUUUCUAAUCUUUUAUUUUAUUAUAAAUAAAUUUAUAAACUUUGUAAAUCACAUAAUCAAAUUUAAUUUCAUUAAAUUUAAAUCUAUUAAUUUUAGUCCAAUCCUAAAAAGCACAUCCAAUUCACUUGACUUAACCGAGUUUGACCUAACUUGAAAUUAAAAACAAUCCAAACUUCAAUUAAUCAAAAUCCAAAUUAACGUGAACUUAAAAUGAAUUAAAACAAAAAUUUUCAAAGUUAAAAUGAUUCAAAAAAUUAAUUUAAAAUAAUAGAUUGAUCAAUACUAAAUUAGUUUUAAUUAAAAACAUUAAUUUAAUGAAAUAAUAAAUAUAACAUAAAUAAAAUUUUUUAUAGGAAAAUAAAAUUUAUUCUUGUCAUCGAUUGUUAAUCAUUGGUUUUACUUUUUAUAUAAGACACUUGCUAUUAUAUUCUUAUCUUAAUUUUUUUUUCUCAAUGAAAAUGAAAUUUCAACCAUCCUCAUAAAAGUUACGUAAACAAAUGGGAAGGACAAGCCACAUUAUCAUCUUUGGUUCAAUAAUUUAAGUAGGAAUGACAGGAUUAUCUUUCCAUCUGAAUUCUCCUUUGAUUGGUUAAGACUUCAUGUGGAAGAACAGUAGCUCUGGGGAACACUUUUCAAUAUUUGAUUGUAUUAUAUGCGUUUUAUUCUUAGUUAAUUUGGUUUUUUAUCUAUGUGCUAGGGAUGUAAAAACCCUCAUAGUUGAAGUGUUCCAAGCUAAUUUUAUUUUCAUAUUUUAGUAAUUUACACAAAAUUAAAAAAAUGAAAGUAUGCAUGUAUUUUUUGUUAUUUAAUUUAUUCCUUGAUAACAUAUAUGUUUUGUUUUUAAAAAAUAUGUAAUUUAUUUGUAUUUGAUAUAAUAUUUGGAUAUAUAAAUAUUAUUUCAAAUAAAAAUGAAGUAAAAUAAAAAUAAAGUGUAAAUUGAAAAUAUAUCAUUUUUUAUAUUUUUAAAAUAAUUUAUUUUUUAUAACAAGUUAAUUAAAUAUAAAAAUUUUAUAUAUUAUAAAUUUUAAAAUUUUAAAUAUAAUUUAAAAAAUAUUUAUUUAUAUAUAUACGUCAAAUAAAUAAAAUUAUUUCAUACAUGAAUUACAAUCUAGUUGAUGAUAUGAAGCAAAACAAUCAACAAAACUACAUUUGAAAUCGACUGUAACCUCGGUGAGAUUAGCAAUUUUUUUAGACAAUCGCACUGGACAGAGAAUUUAAAGAACCAGAUAUAGAAUGGUUGCACCAAAUAAAUCUUACGGCAAUUCAAACCAAAGGGCAACUAAAGCACAGCUAACGGACAGCCAGGUGGUCUCCUCUGUGCGGUCCCUGCGUCUCGAUUGUGCGCUUGUGGGCUGUGGCACAUGAUUUCCGUUGAUAAAAAAUUAUUUUUGAGUAAAUUACACCAAGGUCUUUGAUGUUAACCUAAUAUAUAUUUAUAUUAUAUUUUAUAUAAAAAUUAUAUUAUAAUUUAAAUUAAUAAAAACAUAAAAAAAUAUAUUUUAAUUUUUAUUAAACUUAUAUAUGUUAUUAUUAAAAUUUUAAAUUAUUUUAAUUUUUUAAAUUAAAUGAUAUAACUAUCAAAUUCUAUAUAAAAAAAAUGCAUGUCAUUUAAUGUUUAAGUCAUUACAUCAUAAAUAUAUUUAGAUUUAAUAAUUUGUAUAUUUGUAUCAUAUAAAAUAUUAAAAUUUUAUAUAUUUAUAUUAUUUUUAUAUCAUAUCAUCAUAUUAUAUUUAAAAUUAUCAAAUCUAAAUACACCCUAAAGAAUCACAUCAAGUUUCUACUAAAAUUAAAAUUAUUCUAUUUACAUUUAUUAAAAAUUUUCGAUGCACCCAAUUUUUUUAUUUAAAAAAUCCAAUAACUAUUAACUUUUAACAAAUUAUUUUUUUGUAAAUCAACAAAUUAUUUUUUACUUAUUCAAUGCACCAUAUUUAAAUCCCACAGAUUUACAAAUUUAUGAAUUUGAAUAUUUAUAAUUUUUUUAAAUUUACGAAGAAACAAUUUUAUCAUUUAUGAUUUUAUAAAAAAAUUAACAAAUUAAAUUUUAGUUUAAUCAAAUUUUAACUAAAAAACAAACCUAAAUUUAAUUGAAACUUAUAAUUUUAAAAUUUGAACUGAAAUUUAUGAAUUUACAAAUACAUAAGCUUUUAAAAUUUAUCUGUAAGCUCAUCAAAUUUAUCCAAUAUCAUUCAAUAUAUUUUUUUAAUUUUUUUUAAAUUGUAACGAAUUUGAUGAUAGAAGUAAAUCAAACAAUAAGGUAGUAUUUGAAAUCCACAAGUGGAAUGCUAGGGACAGUUGCUCUAAUCAUCGUCCUUCAACACUUGAGGCCAUAAGCUUUGAAAGUUAAGGGGGAUGGCUUCGCGUGGAUUCGAGCUUGAAAGGCGAUGCUUGGGGCGAGAGGGCCCCUAACAUUCCUCAACUAAUAAAGCUUGAGGAAUUGCGCAGUAUAGAAUGAGUUAGAAGAAUGGUAGUUGAGAGAAUAGAGAAUCAAAACCAAUAAUUGUGUGUUGUCCGCAAAAGAGCAUGAAAAGUCAAGACUACUGAAUAAUUGACAAGCACAGCCAUCCCUCUUGACUAUUAAAUAGGAGUUUCUAUUUACAUUUAAAAAUUUUCUAUGCACCUAAUUUUUUUUAUUUUAAAAAAUCUAAUAACUAAUAACUUUUAACAAAUUAUUUUUUACUUUUUCCAUGCACCAUUUUAAAAUCCCAUGGGUUUUCAAAUUCAUACAUUCAUAACAUUGUAAACAUUUUUGGAUUUGAAUAUUUAUAAAUUUUUUAAAAUUAUGAAGAAACAUUUUUAUCAUUCAUGAUUAUAUAAAAAAUUUAAUAAAUUAAAUUUUAAUUCAAUCAAAACUUAACAAAAAAUAAACCUUAAAUUUAAUUGAAACUUGUAAUUUUGAAAUUUGGAUUGAAAUUUAUGAAUUUACAAGUCCAUAAGCUUUUAAAAAUUAAACUGUAAGCUUAUUAAAUUUAUCAAAUAUCACUAAAUAUAUUUUUAUUUUUUUAAAUUGUGACUAAAUUGAUGAUAUGAACCAAAACAAACAAUAAAACAGCAUCUGAAAUCCACCCAAACCCAUCUUGUGAGAUUAACAAUCUUUUUUUAUACAAUCACACUGAACAGAGCAUUUGAAGACAAAAAAAUAUAUAUGAUUGCACCAAAUAAAUUUCACCGCAAUUCAAAAAUCCUAAGGGGUUCAUUCCCACCGCUAUUUAUGUUUCUAAAAACACCCUUGCUUUUUUAAAAAAAAAACUAGAAUACACAUAUUUUUCUUUCUCAUUUUUUGUUUUUUGUUUUAUUUUUUAAACUUUGUUUCAAAUAAAAACUAAUUAUUAAUUUAAUAUAAAAAUAUAUUAUCUUUUAUCAAUUUUUUUUAAAUAAUGAAAAAAGAUCUUUUAUCUUUAUCUCACCACUACGCUCAGUGACCUUUAAGCAAUCGAAAGAAUGCUCUUUGACAAAACAAGAAAGAACAAAAGCUGCAAUAAUGAAAAUAAAAAAAAUGAAGUUAUCUUAAUCAUAUAAUCACAGAUGAAAAUAGUGGAAAAGAGUUUAAACCAAUAAAGCUUGAGGAAUUUAGCGGUAGAACGAGUUAAACGAACAGGGAAUCAAAACCAACAAUUGUGUGCUAUCUGCCAAAGAGCAUGAAAAAGCCAAGCCAGCUGCAAUAACUGUUAUAAAUUACACCAAAAUCCUUGACAUUUAGGUCUAAUUCAACAUCACUUCAUUAGUAUGAUAAAUUUACAUCAUCUCCGAAUUUAGCAAAGACAUAUCACAAAGACAUCCCCACAUCAAGGUUCCGUGAGAAUUGGAGUUAAAAUGGCGAGGUGCAUCACGUGCAAUUAACGUUCUGCCAAAAUUACCCCUCUUUUGUGGGAUAACUAGUAAUAACUAAAGCAACAUGCCUUUUUUAUUUUAUGUAUUCUUUUUGGCUUAAUAUCCAAAUCUAAUCAUAUAUAUAUAUAUUAUAUAACAAAAUACAUAAAUAAGUUUAACACAUAAGCGUCUAUAUGGACAUUUUUUUUAAAUGACACAUUAAUAUUUUUUUCAAAAAAAUAGAUAAUUUUUUUAAUUAUAAAUUAGAUAAUUUUAAAUUUAUUCAAAUAUCAAAAUUAUUUAAAUUAUAAUUGGAAAUCAAAUCAAUUUAGAGAUAUAUUUUUUAAAAUUAAAAAUAUGAAAUAUGGAUUUUAUUUUUAAUAAAUAAUUUUAGUUGUUUACCAAUAAUUUUAUUUAAAAAAUUAUUUAAUUAUCAAAAUCUUUCAAACAUGUUUAAAAAUUAUAAAUAUUAAGUUAUCCAAAUCUUUCAACAAUAUUUUUUAUCUUGAUUUAAAAAAUUAUUUUUUAAAAAAUUUAUGUAAGAUAUUAAAAAUUCAAGUAAUUUUAUAUAAGAUUUUGAGAUUUUAAAAAAUUUUCAUCUUAAAUUUGUAAAUAAUAAGAUAAUCAAAACGAUUAUAUCAUUGACUCUAAUUAUCAAAUUUAUAUUUCAAAUAAAUGCAAAAAAUUUAAUAUUAUCUUUAUCACUCUUUAUAUCCAUUUUAAAUUAGAAAAAAUUAAUUUAAAAAUUAUCUAUUUAAUCCUAAUUGACAUUAAUUAAGUAUAAUUUUAAUUAAGAACAUUAAUUUAAUAAAAUAAUAAAUAUAACAUAAAUGAUAAUUCAUUACAGUUAUUAAAAAUAUUAAUAUAAUAUAUAUUUUUAAUGUCAAACUAGUAUAAAUUAUAUAUGUUAUGUUGUUAGAAAACUUCUCAUAAUUUAUAAUAUGAUUUAAAAUAAAUUAUAUAUUUUUAAUUAUCAUGAGUAUACUUACAUAUGAAUAUUUCAUUUAGAACAAAUCAUCUUAUCUCUUAUAAUUAUAUAUAAUAUCAAUUAUAAUGUAAUUUAAAAUAAAACAUAUAAAAUAAGUUAUUCAUUUACGUAUAUAUAUGUUACAUUUAUUUUGUAAUUAUAUUAUUAAAUUUUAAACAUGAAUUUAAAAUAAAUUAUACAAUGAGCUAUAAUUAUAUUAAAUCCAAAAUAAUAAGUUAUUAAAUAAUAAGCUACAAUUAUACUAAAAUAAUUAUUUAUAUUGUAGUUAUAUGAUUUUAUAAAAAAUAACACAUUAAAUCUAUAUCAUAAAUAAACAUUUAAAAAAUUUUAUAGGAUUAUAUUAAAUAUGUAAUUGUGAAUUAUAAUUAACAGUUUAAAAUAUUAUUAAUGUAGAGACUCGCACACAACCUAUCCAAAGAUCUAAUGAUUUUAUCUCACAAGUUUGGGUUUAGAUCUCUACAUAUAUAUCAUUUUUUAUCUACACAUUAUUUUAAUGUGGGAUUGGGGAUGUUACAAUUUUUAUACCUUUAAAGUUUGACGUCUCUGUUAAACUAAAUCCAAUUACAAGACCAAAAUCACAACAGACUACCGUGUAGCAUUUAGUGACUCUCAUGGCCCUAACGUGUAGUACUUAGUGACUCCCAUGACCACCAACUAAUGAUCACUUUGAUAUUAUUUGUGAAGAUCCACAUUCAACUUACGGGGUAUUAUCCGUUUUGACACGAAAAUCUUAUAUUUUUUCUCAUAAAAGACAACUGGCAAGCACGAGGGCUAUCCGUAAGGGCCGAUGGUUGACUUUGCAUGUGAUGCCAAUGGAUAUCCAAUAUUAGCAGUUAGUAGCCUGGCGAUUCAUGCAAAGGUUUUCACUUAGAUUUUGAAUUUUACGUGAAUGAGUGCUUUGAAUUGGAAUCCAUUCAUCCAUUGCCCUGGCUCAGAGGAAUUAGGAGAAGGGGAAUUGAAACAUCAAAAGGAUAUUGGAUAGAUGUUCAGAUUUUUCUUAUUCAUGGAGAUGGAGACCCGUAAAUUCCAAUCGUGUUAAAUAUUAGGAUUUUAAAUUAAUAUUUUCAUUUUGCCAAAUUUUGACAAAGCCAUUGAUGACAGUCAGGAAAGCUCUAAUUUAUGCCUGUGUUCUUGUGAUUAAGAUUGGUUGCUUAUGUUCUAGUUGCCAACCUGCCAUUCGUUCUACCAUUUAGAAGUUUCUCCCUUGUUAAUCCUAUUGUCCUUUUUCACCUGAUAGACAAGUUUUGUCCUUUUACCUAAUAAUUGUUAAAAUUUUGCUAAAUUUCGCAGGACCUAUUGGCUAAUCUCAAAUGUUCAUUGCUUGUCGCAAGAGAUCCUGAGGACAGGACUGAUUUGGUAAUCACCCUGCAUGGUGAUGCUAUUUCUGUAAGUUGUUUGUCAUUUCCAUUCUCCUGUUAUUCAUCUCUUAGGGGAUGCUGCUUUUAAACUCAUUUGUGAGCCCUACAUCUUACUAUUUAAUAUUCUAAUUCUUUGGUGUUCUGAAGUAUUUGAAAUGAUAUAUUGAUAAAUUAUAUAGGUAUCCGAAAAAGAUCAAGCAGCCGUUCAAACUGCUUAUUUGGCUAAACACCCUAAUGCGUUUUGGGUAUUUGUGUCUCUCCUCCCCCUGCAUGUUAUGUCCCUUUAGAUAAAUGUUGUCACUAAUCUGUUUAGAUAGAGAACUCAGCGUAUACUUCCAUUGUGAAGGUUGACUUCGGUGACUUCCAAUUUAUGCGCGUUGAACCAAAGGUUGUGAGAAAUGUAUCAGGUGUUGCUACAGCUUUGCUAGGGUCAGGAGGUUUGUGCUUUGAUUACUUUUCUGUAUCAUAGCCUACAUUUCUUCUACCCCCUAUUAUCUUUCUGAAGAAUAUUAAUGUUGCCCACUUCAUUUAGGACAUGACACUAGUGGUGCUUUUGCUGCUGCCUUUCACCCAUUUCAUUUGUUGUUUUCAGCAGCUCUUAUGGAUUUGUUUGUGGUGCUAUUCCUCUCUCCUAACCAUCUUCUCCUUUGUUUUUAUUUUAUUUUAUCUUAUGUCAUUUUGUUUUUUUUUUAUUUUUAGAGAGGAGUACCAGCAUUCAAAAGUUGAUCCAAUGGCUCAAUUCUCUAAGCCUAUUGUGGUAUUAUGGCUGUUCAUUUUCCUGUACAGCAUUUCAAUUGUUCCUUAGAAUUUCCUUUUGUUGUACUUCUUAUUGAUACAUCUUUCUUUUCAGUCUCACAUGAAAAAGGAUCAUGCUGAAGGCACAAAAGUCAUUGUACAAUACUCAACAUCAAUCCCGGUAAUUAGAAAUAUUACCUUUCAACACUAUAUUUUAUAGGAAAUGGAAAAUUUUAAACAUAUCGUAUUCAAGAGACAAGUCAGCUAGCCCUUACCAGUUACGGUGGAAAAUUUUAGAACAUGCCUUAAUAGCUAAUUCUAGACCCAGAACUGAAAUCAGAGUAAGAGAAAUUAAUAGUUUAUGCUGAGUAUUUUCAUUAGGUACUAUUCAUAGUUUAACAACGUUGGCUAAAAUUGUUGAAUUUAUCAGUCUCUCAGUUCAAGCUGCAAUGUGUACUGAAAUCUGCCCGAAUUUUUCUUCAAUCCAAAGUGCAUUAGUUUUCUAAUAAUCUUGAAAAUCCUGAAAACUGAAUCUUUAUUCUAGAAGAUCCAAUGUUAUAUAUCAGCUUUAAUCUAAGUUUACAUUUCCAGACAAAAUUGCCCCAUCUUUCUUUGUAGACCAAUGACUGUUUCCCCCGCAUCACAAAACUGCUAAUCUUUUUAAUGAUAAAAUUAGAAAGCUUCUCGCCAGCUGUAAUUUUAACAUAUCUUGUUAUGAAUUUUUUUUUUCCUUUUUCCUAGCUAAUUUGUGUCUUUCUCCUGGUGAACUAUCCUUGCAUGCUGGAUUUGGAUAGUCUUGGAUUCAAUGUCAAGGUUCUGAAAACUUUUAACCUUUUAUAUUGAAUCGUAUGUUAUUGGCUAAUGGAAAGUAAUUUUGCCAAUACUUGGAAAUUAACUAAUAUCGAAAAUUCCCUUCACCGUUGCCUUGUGAAUCAAUUUUUACUGUAUGCAAAUUCUUGCUAUAUGAAAAUUUUCACUCUCUUUCCCUGCAGGCUGGUUAUCAAGGAAAUGCUUUCAAGCUUCGAAUUCCUACUCCUAGACGUGCAGAAGAUAGAAAGUGAGAUAUCUUUUAUCAAAGAUUUUCUAGUCUCUGAAGAAACUUUCCCUGAUCUUUUACUUGUCAUCUGUUGUUAAUUAUUGGUUUUACUUUUUAUAUAAGGCAUCUUCUAUGAGAUUCUCAUCUUAAUUUCUUUUUCUCAAUGAAAAUGAAAUUUAUACCUUCUUGGCAGAAGCCACUGAAACAAACGGGGAGGACAAGGCACAUUUCAAUAAUUUAAGUAGGAAUGACAGGAUCGUCUUUCUAUCUGGGUUCUCCUCUGACUGGUUAAGGCUUCAUGUAGAAGAACAAUAGCUCAAGGGAACACUUUGCAAUGUUUGACUGUGUUAUAUGCAUUUUAUUCUUGUUCAAUCUGGGUUUUUAUGUAUGUUUUAGGGAUGUGAAAACCCUCAUAGUUGAUAUGCUCCAAGCUGCCCUGUCUCAAGUCAACUGACCAAACUGCUAAAAGAGUUCCAAGAGGUGAGAAAGUUUCCAAUUUCUUAAAUCUCUGUUUCAACUACAGUUUUGCAUUCGCUAAGCAAUAAAUGAAGACAUUUGUUUGUAUAAAAUGAACUGCAUGUCUUUAUGAUUGCCGUUGCUCAGCUUCAGCGUUAUAAAGGAAACUUAGUCUGAAUAGAAAACUAUUAAAAUGGUCUUAUGAAUUAUGUGAACAACAAUUGUAUACUGGCUGUCGUAUCCGAAAUUGGAGAGCCCUCUCUUGCUUAUUGACUUGAUUUGCAGGAUCUCGUGUUACAUUUACAGAUAACUUCUCCAGAAUAUGUACCAACAUAGAAUUCCAUAAGACACGGCAAUAAAGAUACAAUUACCUCAGAUACAAUUCCAGAUAAACUUUCAUUUCAAGUUGUUUCCAUCAGAGUUGAAAUUAUGAGAUGUGAAACUGGUUGGUGGUUCCUGUAUAUACUUUGCCAUGAUAUAAUAGUUUCUUCUUUCCUGUACUGCUCUUAUUAUGUAGAGUUGGAUAAUAAUUGAAUUAUUGGAUCCGAAACAUAACUUGAAAACAUGAGAUACUUCAAUUUUUUCCUUUUAAAUUCCUUCUAUGUUCAAAGUAGUGGAAAAGAGGGAGAACUUUCUCCUUUCAGUUGAUACUUUUUUCAUCCUGUUUCAAGUCCUUCGUAUAACUUUACAUAUUCAUAUUGCUUUGCUUUUGUAUCGACAAUUAGGAAUUGUCAUUAUAUGGUUCUUAAUUUUGAUUGUUAGAAAUGCAUGACUAAGAAGUUAUAGCUAAUCAAAAUUGGUUUGAUUCCAUAUGGACUCUAAUAAGUGAAUCUACUGUGGGUGUUUGGGGACAUGCUAUGUUUUUGAGUCUGAGGUGGAGCCGAUUUGAUAAAUCAAGUUCCAUGGCAAGAACAACCACAAAGUUUCUUGCACGAAUGAUUCUAGUUUCCAUACGCAUAUUUACCUCAAUUAUGAUGUUAAAACAUUAAACUUACAUAUUUGAUUAAGAGGAAUUUACUGUACUUUAAAAAUUCAAAAUUUGUUUAUUCCACCUGUUCUUUUCGUGCUUGAAGUUUACUCAAUGUGCUUGACUGGCUUUAGACUUUUCCAAACUGCUCUCUCUCUCUCUCUCUCUCUCACACACACACACACGCAGACAUUCCUGUCCUGGUUUAGAAUCUUAUCUGCUUGCCUGCUAUUUGACCGGGAACACAAUUAGCUUUUAACACUCUGUGGUUCAGUAGAGUAUGGAAGAAAAUGACAAAAAUGAAGCUGGCAAUGCUGUAGAAGACUCGGCAAAAUCACAAUCAUCUGAAAAGAAAAGCCCAAAUUUAUUGAAGGCCAAAUCUGAUAUUGCAAAGUCAAUAGCCAAGAAUUUCUUGGAGGCAAGAAAAGCCACUGGUACUUCUGAGGUUCGGAGGAGAAAGCAAAAGAGUAAAAACAAAAGUGUAUCAGAAGGCAAUACAGCUACUGAAAAUGAUGCUAAGAAGCUAAAUUCAAGGGAAAAAAAACCAACAAAAAGAUGCUACCACCAGUACGGAGCAUGUAGAGAAGAGCCAGAAGAUCCAAAAGAACGAAGAAAAUACACGUGCGUCAGGUAGCAAGGAAAAUAGUAAGUCAAAUGACAGUCCCAAGAAACGAAGAAGCCGAAAGCAGCCUGUUCUUUCAAAUAAAAACCAGAAGAAUGAAGAAAAGUGGGAAGAUAAGAAAAAGAGAAAAACAAAUGAACAGAAGGAAAAGCACAGUAAUUCAGAGAAGAAUAACAAGAAUAAGAAACAAAAGAAAUAAAAGAUUGAUGGUCUAAUAUUUAUGUGCAAUGCAAAGACCAAGCCUGACUGUUUUCGAUACCGUGUAAAGGGGGUAUCAACAGUAAAGAAGAUCUCAAUGCAUGUGAAGAGUUGGCAUCUACUUGGAGGGAAGAAGAUUCCAUCGUGGAUUUAUACCUUGAUCCGAAGGAAUAAUGGCUUAUCGUCUCCAGGGAGAGAGAAGAAACUUGCUUUUCAGCAUAAUAUUGCUUCCUAGAUUAGGUCCUACCAGAGAGAUUUAGAGAGCACCUCUAGGCCAACGAGACACAGUAUACAGGGAAUCUGUGCUUAUGCAGGGGGGUAUAAUUCACUCUGACCCUCUUUACUUAACUGAGAGAGAGUAUCGGACUUACAAUUUGCGUGCUGAACGAGAAAUGCAAUCAACAGUCCGGAAACUGCAAAUACAUCUGUAGCUGCUGCUUCUACUUUGGAUUCCUAUGCUAGGGAUCAAUAUUAUAGUAGUUAUUAUUGUGUUUCAUUGGUGGACUCGUACUUGCCACUUCCAAGAGGAGAGGCACACCUGAUUGAGACUGACCAUAUGAAGAAAGAAAGCAACCAAGUUGAUAGAUUGCAUCCCAGAUAUGCUUCUGGUGCUAUAGGCGAUUACAACCAGAUGCAUUAACAUCAGGCUGCUUCUACAUCAGUAUCAGCCCGGAAUUCUUUUGCUGGUGCAUCUUUGUCUUAUCGUUGAUUAUCUGUCCCUUCAUAUCCCUAACAUGAGACAUGUUAUUUUUUUUCAAUUAAUGACUUUUUGUUCGUUAUUUGCAUGCAAGUUGUUGAACUUCAAUAGUCAUUUUGUUAAAUAGUUUAUCAUAAAUAAGUAGCAUAGAGCAUUUUGCAAAUCAAUGUUUUCGAGGCUAGCUGGAUAUGGCUGCAGGAGAGCUUGGUUGAAUAUGAGGUAUCGCCCUUUGCCAGCGCAUCUGUUCAGCUCUUUUCUAAUACAUUAUUUUAGCCACUUUGUGUUUUGAAAUGCUGGCAAGAUUGACAAUAAGUUUUGCAACUGCUUUAGUAGCGUAUAUGUUUGUUGGUAUUGGGUUUGAGUUACUAUUUUUCUCUUAAAUGGUUCACCAAUAGUAGCAUAUAUUUAGCUCUUUUCUGAUACAUUAUUUUAGCCACAUUUAUCUGGUCUUUUGUUGGGCUACUAGUUUUCAAGGCUUGUCAGAUGGAUGAGGUAGUAUCAUCUGUACUGAGAUUCAAGCCUAAGAUCUAUCCACUGCGUAAACUGAAACGAAACAAAUGAACAGUUUCUUUCCUUCUAAAUCCUUUAAUAAACACAAACCGAAUAAACAAGUAAAUUUUCUUCUUCAUUUGAAUAUGUUAAACUCCCUACUAGUAAAUUCCAGGUUCAUUGCGACAUCAAAUUGGUACUAAAACUGGUUUUUAUCGAUGAUAGAAAUUUGAGCAGCAAUUUUACGCUGUAAAUAGAAUAAAUUAAUUUCAUUAACUUAAAUUCCCAUAGUUGCUUAUCAGUGUUUAAAACGAAAAUAAGAUACCUCUUAUAAGAUUUGAAGCCCAAGACUCUUUCAAGAAAAUAACUGAAAAAUCCCACUUUAAAACUGAUGUCUGUUGUAAAUAAAAACCAUUGUACUUGAACAAUGAUCUUCUGUUCCUUAUAGUUGGAAACUCUUGGUCUAUAGUGUUUUCAAAGGACCAAGAUCCUUGCUGCAGGUUGUUCUGUUUAUGUCAAUGCUAACAGAAAAUGUCCAAAAUGAAAAUAAGAAAAAACUGCUCCAUUUCUACGAGUUCUCAACCAUUGGGCCUUCCUGCAAGUGUUUUACUUGUAUAUGUUUUCAAUUAACGAAAUGAAACUAGUAAGCCUCUGCUAAGUUUGAAAAGAACCAGCUUCUUCACUUGACAUGAGACAAAUACUUUGUAAACAUUCAAUGCCGAUUGGAUUCUUUCCCAUUCUUCCAUUCAAUCAGUAGGAUUAGGUGGCCUUAGCCCUCACCAUAUCAGAAAUCUGGGAGGAGCAUUCGUUCUGCCCAAUUUCCCCGUACCAUUCACCUCCUUGACAAUCGAAUGCUCUAUUCACAGUUCACAUUGAUAAAAAAUGUCAAUCACAGAUCCGGGGGGGGGGGGGGGGGAAUCAGGAGAUAAUUAACAUAUAAGCACUUAAAUUGCCCAAGGCCAAAGAAAACUACUAACCUUGUGCACCAUGAUGCAUCAAAUCAUGCCUCCUAACUCUGCCACUAAUAAAACAUAAUAGGGCUACAAAAAAUUCCACAAGGACGUAUGGAACUCAGCACGACGGUCAAGUAGAAUGGAACAUGUUACAGUCAGGAUGGAUAAACUGCCCAUUCACAAGCUGUUGUAGGCACGGCACACCUUGGGGCAUCCAAUGGACUCAAGAAUUUGCCAUUGGUUCAAUGCAGCAGAAAAUCACCUGUAAACAAACACAAACCAUCAGCCAGCCCAAACAAAAACCAUCAAUUUAAACCGGCAAAAUAAAUCUGAAUUGAGUUUUGUUUCAAGUUUCAACAUGAAAUAGUUUGUACCUUCCUUGAAAUUCACCAUUGAAAAAGUCUCCUUAUCGUCUAGUUCAAAAUAAGUAUGUGAUCCCCAACUCCAGAACCCUUGUCAUUUUGCCACUUCAGAAUAUUUCUCAUCCUCUGACUUCAGAAUUGUUGUCAUCCUUAACUUCACAAUGCCCAGAUCAUUAAAAAUAGAAAAGUCCUACAUAAGUUAUCACUUCUGAGGUUGAUCAAAUAAUACAUGGCAAGCUAAAAUUAGUUAUCAUAGAAACAAAAAAGCCUAAAAGACACAAGCUGUGACCAUUUACAGGUUGAUCAAAUGCAACACGAUUAAACUUGUCUUUAGAGAUAGAAUAGUAUGGCAGCACUACCGUUUAGUAAUAUGACAAUUAACAAUCAAAACAAAUUAACAUAUGCAACGUUCAGGAAGAACAAAAAAACCUUCUGCCACCCAUUACUCAAGGAAAGAAAAACCUUUUGCAUUAGAUGAGUACAACAAAAGCUAUAUGGUCUCAAGAUGCAUAGAAAGAAUUUUUGGCUUACUCUGUUUCUUUGCGGUUGAAGGAUUGAGUUGAUCUUCAGAAUUCUCGACUAUGUUGACUGGAUUAUGAAAUCAUAAUGAACAAUAUUAGUGAAGGUGAAAAGGAAAAUUACUGAAAAAUUACUUUUGUUAUUCUUUGAUGAAUUAGUAUCAUAAAAUGAAAACAAAGCCAUCUGAUUUCAAAUGAAGAAACAAGAGUCCUGAUGUCUCAAAAACACAUAUUCAACAAUUUCCUACUCUGCCAUACAUGGUACUUGAAGAUCAUCACUGUAAUCCCUCUCCUUAUUUAUUUUAUUAUAAAUUUAAACAUUCUCCAACCACAAAAAACAGUAUUACUGAAAAACAAAACUUGUUUAAAAAAAGAAAAAUCAAAUUAUGCAAUACAAUUGUCAUAGAAAAAAAAAAGAAAAUGUGACAUUAUCCUAUGAUCUAUUUCAGUUGCUCUAGAAAAUCCUAAAAGAGUAAAUUAAAUAGAAACUCUGAUGUCAAUAAAAUGGGAAAAUUGUUCAAAAAUUACAUAAUAUUAUAUUGAUAAGAGAAAUAUGAACUAGGUCGGAGGCAUCAAACACCUACAUAAUUGAUGAACAAAUGGUAAAGCAUUUGAGUUGAAAGAAACAAAAGCUAUAUUAUUUAUGAAUUGUAUCUGAAGAUUCAUUGAAUGAAAUUUGGCAUACUCAUGUGUUCGAAGUUGAAGGAUUGCCUCGAUCUUCUAUAGAAUUCUGCAUUUCCUCCACGGGAUUCUACAUAUGCAUAGUAAUCACCAACGAUAAUUAAUAUUAAUUGGUUAUGAUGGCGAAAAGAUGAAUUAAUUUUGAUAUACAAUGGAGUCACCAUCAACGCCCCCAACCAAAAAAUUUCUUUGUUAAUAAUGAACAAUUCUCUAAAUUCUAAAUGAUAAUGGCAUCCUCCUUCACAUAAAAUUUUCUCUUCACUGUGCGCUAAUACAUAUGUUAGUCAUGACUGUUAACUUUACCUGCCAAAAAUCAUUGUUGGUUUUGAGUGGAGAAAGGAAUGUGUUUUAGAGGGGCCUUCUUAGUUCUUGCAAAGCAGUCUUCCAUUCAAACAAACUCUUCUUAUUUUUCAUAGCUUCCCCCACUGUUACAAUGGCAAUCGGCAAUCCAGCACAUUAUUUGGCCACUUCAAUUGCCGUAAUAUGCAAGUCAGUGGCUUAGAACAAUAUCACCAGCCUUCUUCUUAUACAGGUUCCAUGCUUCUUCUUCUUCUUCCAAUAUUUCAAUUCGAAUGUUUUUCAGCGAAAGCAUCAAAGAUAAAAUAUUGAGCUCUCUAGACAUCAGUAAGAUCUUGCAUCCUUGGUGUUCACCUCCGUAAGGAAUUCCUAGAGCCUCCAAUCCAAUUUCUCCCAAAUAUCAUCCAAAAUGACAAGAACCUUCUUGAAAUUCUUUAGUCUGUUCCGUAGUUCGCCUGCUCUUCCGGGGUCACUCUGCUUUGUAAACUCCACACUCAAUUGAUCUACAAUCAGAUCUUGAAUUUUCUUGAUGUCAAAACUCCGGGUUACGACUGCCAUGACCACCUCAUCAAACAAAUUUUCAUCCUUGGCUUGUCUAGCAACUUGUUUGACUAGGGUAGUUUUACCCACACCGCACGUCCCGUAAACACCAAUUAUGCUCAAAUUAGCAUCUUUAAGCGCCUCCAUGACCGCAUCCAAAGCACCCUUUCUUGACUCAAAGGCCUCGUACUCUUUGGCAGGUCUAAUAGCUAUCCCUUCUGGAGCAGGUCGGUGGGAUACUCCAUCAAAUCGGUCGUUAUCUUUCAAGAGUUCAGUAAUGGUGUUGAACUCUUUCUCAGCUUUUCUACAGAGUUGAUAACAAUACUUAAAAUUAGGACACAACCCAACGAAACACCCCUGCUUUACUCUCUUCAUCCUCAUCCAAUUGCGCAGCAGCCUCGUUACAGAUAUUCCCAUUGACCUUAGUCAGCAACUCAUCCACGUCACACAUCUUCCCAUUGACCUUAGACAACCACUCAUCCACGUAGCUAAAUAUCUCCUCUCCCUGUCUCUUAGCCGCAUUACCAUCCUCUUGCACUCUUUCUCUCGCAUCCUUCAGUUUUUGAAGUUGAUCCCUGAGGUUUUGUAACUUGCCCUUAUGCUUGUACAAGUAACUAAGUUGCCCUUAUGCCCUUAUGAAAUUUACACAACUUUGUUCUUCUCUUAGAUAUCAAAAGAUUGGUCGGCUAGAGCUUCUUCCUCUCCUCACUUUGAGUACGAUGCCAAAAGAGAAGAGAACCUACGGGAAAAUAUUGAACAAUUCUAUUUCCUUUUCUUGGUGAAUAAAGCUUGAGGAUUCAGCAGUCGGAAGAGUUUAAGGGAUGGUAAUUGAGAGAACAGAAAUUCAAAGAAUUGCGUGGUUUCUGCGUAAGAGUAUGAAAAACCGAGACUAUUAAAGCAAAGGGUUAUGAUGACAAACUGAAGGACCAACUAAGGCUUCAUUUCAGAAAGAUGUUCGGUAAACUUGCCAAUAGCACGAUGGAGCAUUUUAAUCGCACCAUUUCCCGUAAUCAGAACUGGAGCAUAACAUGCGCCGUGGCUCACCGUGAUGCUCAUGAACAAUAUUAUCUUUAUUGUUUACUUUUUACUUUUUAUUUUGUCUUUACAUUUAUACUUUCAUAAUUAUAAUAUCCUUAUUACAUCUAUAAUUUAAAUUUAUUUUUUUUUACUUUGAUUUUUUAUAUAUGAAAACAAUUUUAAUAAAUUAUUAAUUCUACAAAGAUUAAAUAUAUAAUAUAACUUCAAUUAUACUCAAAUUCUAAUUUGAUAUAUUUAAUAUUUUUUAUUACAUUCAUCGUUAUUUUUAUAUUUAAUUUUAAAUUUAUUAUAAUAUUUAAUUUCAUCAUUAUAAUAAUUAAUUUUAUUAUUAUUUUUAAUUUCAUUAAAAUUAAUUUUAUGAUUCAUCCGAAUAAACGGAAUCAUGAGAAUAAAAGAAUUGCGUCUUUUCUGCAGACGAGCAUCAAAAGACGAUAUUAAAGGAAAGGAUUAUGAUUCAUAAUGGCAAACUGAAAGACCAACUCAAUGGGUCAUGAAAAUCAAAGAAUUGCGCGUUUUCAGCAAAAAGAGCAUGAAAAGCCCAAACGUAAAGAAAUGGGAACAUGACGACAAACUAAAGGACAACUAAAGCACAAGCCAUCUGGCUUCAUUGUGCUGUCCUUAGGUCUCGAUUGUGUGCUUGUGGGCUGUGGCAAAUGGUUUCUGUCGGUCAAGUAUUAUUUUUGAGUAAAUUACAUUAAAUUCCUUGGUGUUGGCACUACUUUAAUAUCACUCCAUCAGUACGAUAAGAAACUUUCAACAGUACUUAAAAAUCUUGAUUUUAAAUUAAAAUAUUUUUAUGAGCUAUGUUCAUUUUGUAAAUAAAAAAAUAUAUAUAUCAUCAUCCCAAGUUUUAACAAUCACAUGAUAAAUACAUUUUCAAAAUUCACAUCAAAUUUUUAUUAAAAUUGAAGUUAGGUAUUUCAUUCACAUUCAUAUUGGAAUUAAGAACUUCUAUUUACAUUCAAAAUUUCUUGAUGCAAUUAAUUUUUUAUUACAAAAAUAUAUAAUAGUUGUUAACUUUUAGCAAAUUAUUUUUUACUUUUUCCUUGCACCAUUAAUCUUAUAGAUUUAUAAAUUCAUAAAUUCAUAAAAUUGUAAAAAUUAUGAAUUUGAAUGUUUGUAAAUUUUUUAAAUUUAUGAAAAAAUAUUUUUAUUAUUCACAAUUUCACAUAAAUUUUUUUUAAAAAAAAUCAGAUUUUAAAAAACAAUUCUGAUUAUUUUUAUCUCAUUCUAUUGUUAUUGUUAAUUUGUAUGUGCAUGCAAUUAAAUAAACACAUGCUGAACUUAUGAUUUUACCUUUGAAUUUGAAAUUCGAGAUCUUUGUAGAUAUAUAUCAGACACCCCUAUAAGUUGUAAACAUAAUUUCCUAUUCCAACAUGUCAUACUCCUUAAAGAAAUGGAAAACAAAAGUAGAAGACAUUAGACGAGGGAUUGCCGGGCUAGAUUAUUUCUUGAGCCAACCAAUAUUUGGAAUAUUAGCUAUAUUUGAGAAUUAAAGGUCAGAUUCUAGCCUGAUGUUUCCCAACAGUUACACGUCUCUAGCAUAAUGCUUGAUAUACAGCAGGAGUUUCCCAAAUAAGAUUCGACUGCUCUCCCCUACUAUAAAAUUUUCGCAUAAAAACUUGACAUGCUACAGCAGUUGCGUGGUUGCAGCAUGUAUUCGAAUGGUAAAUAAAAGGGAUUGGCAGAUCAAUAUGGUUAUAUAUUUAGUUGUUCAGAAUUCUCCCGCUCUCAUUUCUAUAGUAGCUGGUUAUUGGAAGCUAAAGCAUCAGUGGCUUCGGAAAUGAACUCUGCAAAAUUCUUUGAUUUUGAUAAGUACUCUAUGCUCUUGUCUAUAAUAAGUUGAGGUAAUAGUUAUUAGCAAGUUGAGGUGGUGCAUUUCUUUCAGUAACAGUAUUUUAUGGCAUUUUGAUCAGAACUGCAAAAUUUGGUUGCAUUUGGCAGUCCUUAUCGAGGACCUCAUAAAAAUAAUCUGCGGCUUGAGGCUAUUGCAUAUAUUUGUGCAUUUGAUCUUGCCGACAAGUUCCCUCCUGCACACCUUCUGAAUGCCUACACGAAAUAUUCCAAGAUGAGCAAAUACAAGAAUUUCAAAAAAUCAAAUGUGAAACUGGUAACCUUUGCACCUUUUCUGUCUCUGUUUGCUCAGAGUUUAAGCUGAGACCCAGCUGCUAUCCUAUUUUAUAUCUUUAAGACUUUAACUCCACAUGCUGGCAAAAUCAGACCAUAGACCAAGAAAUUGCUAUUAUGAGAAGGGUCCUUAGAUGCAUUGCUGAUCACAAGCUUGAAUCUCUAUAUACACCUUAGGAUCUUGAAAACUACAUUGUUCAUCUGGAAAGGCAGAAAGAACAGGGAAAUGAUACAGAACAAAGAGAAAAGAAGAAAGCAGAGAGGAAAAAAAAUAUGUCAGUCCCUUCAGCCGAGGCUAAACAACAGCAUGAGAGUGGAAUUAAGUGGCCCCCCAUGAAUAUGUCAGCAGAGGCCACACCAAGCCUUUCUGGUAGUGCUGGUUGCAAUCUUCACUUAAAACCAUCUCAUCUUGAACAACUAGUUAGCUCGAUUGCUGAUCAAGCUGUUGCUUGUAGUUUGUGGGACUCCAAUGCUUUCUCUGUAGACACAAACUCAUUUAAUUGGCAAGAUGGGUGUUCAAUUGCCAAUAACAGGAGCUUGGAACAGUUCACUUCACCUGGAGCAGUUGACAAGGCCGCCCCAGCUAAAAUCUCUUUUUUUUUUUUUUUUUUUUUCUUGUUAUUACUUUUUUAGUUCUUUUUAUCGACCAAGAUCAUAAUUCAAUGUUUAGUCCUCCCUUCCUCAGCAACUUUUUGUUAUUGUUGAAUGUAUUUGUUUGUAAUUAAAAUAAUUUGCAGCAUGAAUGGUACCGUGCGUGCUUAGAGUUUGGCAAGUAUAUCUUUGUUGGUUUUCUAUUCUUUUGACACUAAAAAUUCACUUGUUAAAUUUAUGUUCAUAAGUUGAUUGUCUAACCGUACGGAAAGUAGUAUUCAUCAUGCUCAAGUAAAGAUUGACCGAUGUCAAUUAGAAAAUUUUCAAUUGGAUGGCGUUGUUCCUUCGGAGGCAAGGAUUGACCUACAAUCUUAUAGCACCGGUAUGGAUGCGAAGGGUUUAAUACUUUUUCUAUGUGAGCAUGUGGAGGAUCACGAUUUAAUGCGCAGUGAAAUUUCUGACGCUCUUCAAUUGUCUCCCGAUCCUGCAAAACUUGUUUUGGAUGCAUUAUCGACCUUUUAUCAUUCAAAGUCAGGGCAUGCUCCUAAAAAGAAAAAGAACUCAGGGGAUGAAUUUAUUAGGGAAGCCUCAGGAGAAGUAAGAAAGAGUUGCAUUCUAUUGACGGAGCAGUUAAGGACAUUUCCGCUCCAGAUUGAACCCCAUGUAAAUGAAGAGGUUUUGAAGUUGGCAGAUGAUUAGAAAGAAAGAACGCAAAAGUACCAGAAUGGUGUGAUGGCAUAUGGUUUCUUGCAGCUGAUAGUCACCUACUUUUUGAUUUCUGCUUAUGAUGCGGAUGAGCUUCUUGGUGUUUUGGUAAUUGCAAGUGAGUAUAGACAGUCUCCUGAUUUGUGCCUGGCUCUUGGUUUGACAGAUAAGAUCUGCGGUUAGUCUACUUUCUAUCUGUCUCCCUAGUUUAUCGUUUCUCUUUUUGUUGGUUCGUUUAGCUGUUAGGUGAGGUUAUCCUUGUCUUCUCUGCAUAGCUAUAUUAAUGCUACUAUAGUUACAUCUUCUCUAGCUGUUAGCGACCAGGUAUAAUGUAAUGCAGGAAUUCCCCAAAAUAAUAUUUGAGUGAUUGCUUGAGGUACAACUUUUGCAUAUGGAACCCUAGAUGCUACAACAGUGUUUUGUUGCAUCAUGUACUCGAAUGGUACAUGAAAGGAAUCAAAGGGGGUCCUUAUGGGUAAAUUAUUUUCUUUUUUUUUUUCCGCAACAGUUCUUAUUUGUAGUAAGUUUCUGAAUUCUGCUAACUACUUAUCUUGUUGUUUCUUUGCCAAUCAUCUCGUUCUUUAAGUUUCUCAACCAAAAUAUGACAUUUAUGGAUUAUAAUGGUAACAUAUUAAGUUCAGGUGGUGUUUUCACAUGAGUUUUUUUUUUUUUUUGCCUGACGGCAUUCUGAUGACACCUGCAAAAUCUGCUUUCAAUUUGACAGUCUUGAUUGGAACCCUUGUAAAAAACAAUCUACGGCUUGAGGCUAUUGCAUACAUAUGUGCGUUUGAUCUUGUUGACAAGUUCCCCCUGCACACAUGCUGAAAGUUCACUUGGAAUAUUCCAAAGAGAGUUAGUAUCACAAGGCCAAAAAAUCGCAUUGGAAAUGGGUAACUUUUCCAUAGACCUUUUAUCGUUAUGCAUGCUCAAAAAUUUGCUGAAAAUUGAACUGUAAUCCUGAUUCUGUGUGUUAACUUGAAUGUGCUCGCAACAUCAAAUUAUAGAUUAUGAAAUAGCUAUCGUGAGGAAAGUCAGCGGAUGCGUUGCUGAUCACAAGCUUGAAUCACCAUACCCACCAAACGAUCCCAGAGACUACAUUUUACAACUGGAAAGGCAGAAGGCAGAUCGAAACAAUGCUGCUAGGAAGCAAAAGCAGGAAACAUGCCAUAAAAAAACUGGAAAAGUCCCUUCUGCCAAUUCAAAACCACGGCACGAGUGUGAACUAAGUUAACCUCCAUAAAUGUUUCAGUAGAAGCCAUCUCAAGCACUUCUUCUAGUGCUGGUUCCACAGUUAAACUGUCACCUUUGCAACUACUGGAAAGCUUCUUUGCAGAUCAAGCUGUGCCACACGUUUUAUGGGACUCCACCAAUUUCUCUGCUAACACAAACCUAUUAAGUGGUAAAAAGCAGGCAGAUAUGGCUACCAUUGCUGAUAACAGGAGCUCAGACUCUGAUUGAAAUGAGCAACUUAACGAAAUUUAGCCCUGUGAGUUUGCUAUUUGCCUUCUGUAGAAGCUUUUGCUUUGGUAUUUGAUUACUAAGAGAGAUCAUGGAACCUAGACAAUAAUUUUUUACUGCUUGUAAAAUGAGAUGUUAGCUCAGUGGCACUAGAGUCGGUUCCAGGACUGAGCGUUUCAAGUGGAACAUCAAAAGUAACUGCUUGUAAUAAUUAUAAUAUAAUCUAAGAAAGUAAUUUAAAUUUUGAAAGUUGAAACAGUUUAUUUGUAAUUUGAAAAUUUCCCUCAUUGUUGCUAACCAAAGACAUGGGCAGAUGCCAAGAUCAAGAAAAACUUGGCGCUAGCCCAGUCUUACAUCAAACGCGGCCCACUUGAAUAUGUCUACUCUUUAGCCUUUCUCCAGUCCUGGCUCCUGGUCCUGGUACUGGUUUACGUCCCCAGUCCUGCAUUAUAAUAAAAUUUACUGUUUGACUUAAAUAUUAUUAUUUUUCAUUAAAUCUAACUUUUUAGAUUUGUGAUUGGCAAAAAAUGAAAAAAAAAAUUGUUUAGAUUUGUAGAUUUUUUUUUCCUUAAAUGGAUAAAAACAUGAGGUGGAUUCAAUGUUGAUUUCGUGUGGGAGGCAAAGACCAAAAAGGAAAAAUACAAAUAAAGUUAUUUGUCAUUUUUUUCACGUACCACAUGGCACAUGCCACACCAACCAAAGCAAAAACGAAAUCAAAAACAAAAAGCUAAAGAGAAACGUCAAUAUUAAAUUCAAAUUUUAAUUUAAUUAAUUCAGAUAAUCAAUAUUUUUAAAAUGCUACAGAAUCAUUCUGUCUUUGGCCUUGCUUUUUCAUAAAUAUCUAUCUAUAUAUAUAUAUAUAUAUAUAUAUAUAUAUACAUUGUCUGUCUUUGGCCUUGUUUUUUCACGUGCAUAUAUAUAUAUAUAUAUAUAUUAAAAAAUCCAUUAUAUGUUAUCAUCAUUGGCUUGUCUUUUCUACGUUACGUCAAAAUAGAAUUCUUGCAAUCCAGUCAAAGACUUUUGACUUGUUACAUCAACGAACCCUCCUUUUGGCAACGUUCUUCUGUUUAAUACGCUGCAGAUAGACCAAACUUAUUUAUAUAUUCUGAUUUAUUUUAAUUUCUCCUUUUUUGGGUUUCUCAAAGUUUAGCUUAGCUGGCUUUUUUGAUCUUUUGCUGAAAUGGGUAGUACUGGGAUGCUGAACAAUUCAACUAUGAUAUGUGCUCCAUUAAUGGCUCAAUCAGUGGAGCAAAUGGUUAAAGACAUGCACCAGGCAAAGGCUGAAGGUGCACAAGUUGUUGAGAUUAGAUUGGAGCAUAUCAAGAAUUUCCAGCCUCACCAGGAUAUUCAAAUCAUACUCAAAAAUAAAGUUUUGCCAGUGAUCAUUGUAUAUAGGUAAUCAUCUCACCUAUGUUUUUUUCUACUAGUGGAUUUCUUAGUUUUAUGUUAUUUGAGCAGUCUUAUGAAUAUUAGGAGAUUAGAGUCGGAAAAAAUGCCUUUUUCCCUCAUUUUAGAAGUCAAGAUUGUAUUUGGUAGAUUCUUUUCCGUAUGUUGCUAUCCUUGUCCUUUUUUGUGGAAAAAAUAUUAUUAGGUCCCAUCAUUUGUUUUUAAAUGGAUGUAGCCAGUAAUUCAGAAUCACAUGCAACGUAUUCUUGUGCAAAAGCUGCAGCAAAUUGUUGUAAGGAUGGGCUUCUAUUUGGUGAUUUGAAGACAGGGGCAUCCUGAAUUCAACACAUCAAACAGCUGUAAUAAUAAAUGUUUUUUGUUCUACCAAGUUGAGACCAACCAUGAUACUGAACAUUUUCACUUUUGCUUGUGGAUGCAAACAUAUCCAUAGAAAUUAUUGGAAACAGAGAGGACAAAUAUCAGUGCCCAACUUUAUCGAGUUUUUAAUGAGUUUGUACUCUUUUCUACAUGAAAAUCUAUCGUACUGCUACUUGUGUUAAUAAUGUUUUCUUAAUUUUCACUUUCAGAAGCUUGUGAGUUGUGUUGUGAGGUAGGACAAUUAGAUUAAAAUAGGUGGCAGUGAUAGAAUAAUUUUGCCAUUCUUUCUGAGAUGACAGGAAUCUAUGUUGUAUGAACUUCUAAAACUGUAGUAAAAGAUAAAAAUAUAACUUGGGUUUGAAAGUUUGGGAAGGUUUGAAGUUUCAUUGUAUUUAAUUUCUAAGAUUCAGUCUUUUCUUCAGGCCUAAAUCCGAAGGUGGUCGGUAUGAAGGAGAUGAGCAGUCCCGGCUUGAAGCACUUCAUUUAGCUACAGAAAUGGGAGCUGAUUAUGUUGACUUUGAACUCAAGGUAGCUUUUAAAUUGUUGUACUUUUGUUUGCAAACUAUUAUACUCUUGAUUAUUGCAUUUUGGUGCAUUCAUUUCUAUUAUUGACUAUUUUACAAACUUAAAUAAUAUUUUCACCCAUUUUCGUUUCUCAUUUAUCUGAUAGCAGUUAAAAUAAAAAGUGCCAUAGGCAGUUUUCCCUUUGAAUGACCUAUUUGUUCCUUCGAAAUUCUCUUAGUUUUAUCUGACUCGCAGAUCAUGUGAUUGUCCAGGUUGCUUCUGAUCUUAUUUGGGAACAGAAAAUGAAGGAUGGUAGUGCUACUAAAUUUAUUGUGUCAUGUCACAUAAAUGGAAUGACCUCUUCAGACGAAGAGUUAAACAAUCUUGCUGCUAGCAUUCGAGCUACGGAGCAGAUAUCAUCAAGAUGGCUGCAAAUGUAACGGAUAUUACUGAGAUAGCAAGAAUGUUUCAUUUGCUUCUCAUUGCAAAGUAUGAAACUCUACUCUAUUGACUUUGCUUUGAAUAUGUGCAGAUUAGUUGUAUAAAUUGUUGCAGUGGAAUAACAUAUCAAAUAUUAUUUAUCUGCAGGUGCCAAUAAUAGCAUACUCUGCAGGGGAAAGAGGUCUCAUAAGCCAGCUAUUGUGCCCAAAAUUUGGUGGCUUUCUAGCCUAUGGAUCUAUUGAAGGAAAUUCAAUUCCUGGCAUGCCUUCUUUAUAUAGUGUUAUCCACACUUAUAAACUUGGCUAUCUAAAUUCAGAAACUAAAGUUUUUGGACUUGUUUCAAAACCUGUUGGCCACAGCAAAGGCCCUCUAUUGCAUAAUCCUACCCUCAGACACGAGAACUUCAAUGGAGUUUAUGUCCCAAUGUUUGUAGAUAAUCUCAAGAAGUUCUUUAGCAUCUAUUCCAGUCACGACUUUCCUGGUUUUAGGUACGUCAUCCUUCAAUUUUGUCUUUGGUAGAUUAUGUCAGGUUACAGUCUUUUCACUUAAGUAUAUAGCCACUGUAAGCUGCAUCUGUUCUUAUGAGCAACACUUGUAUUUUGACCUUUUAGGCAUUCAAACACAUUUUAGCCAGUAACAACUAAGACAAGAACUGGCCUUGAAAGAUUUAGUACCAAAAAGUAUGGAUGUAGGAAAAUUUUAUGUUACAACUAGUUCUUUAGUUGAUAUAGUAAUACUGAUUUUUCGAAACUGGAAGAUCAUGGAUAGUUGCAACAUACUGAAAUAUAAAUGCCUUCUUUCUUUGAUAAAUUGCUUUAUUUCUCACCCUUAUUUCAUCUCCUGCAAUGAUGUAGCCGGGUUUGUUUUCCACUAUUCUCGGAAAUGUAACUUUUCUUUUUCCUCAUUCCAAUGGAUUGCAGUGUUGGGUUCCGUACAAGGAAGCUGUAGUUGAGUUCUGUGAUGAAGUUCAUCCACUUGCUGAGGUUGACUAUAUAACAUUCUUACAAACAUGUUUGAAUCUGUUAAUUUCCCAUAUACUUUUUCAGGUCCCUUGUUUUUGUGCCCUAUUCCAUUUCUUUACGCACAGUUUACCAAGAGCACCGAUUUCUGGCUACACUAAGGUCUAAGACCAAGUUCUGAAUCUAAUUAUUUAGAAGUUCAACUUAUUGAGAGAAGCAUACCAAAGCAUAUAAGACUGGUUUGAUCAGUUCAUUGCCAGAGAAAAAGGAAAAAAAAUUGUAUUUAAGUUUAGGCAGAAUGUUUAUCUGAUCCUGGUUGUAAAAUUCAUAUUUUACUAUCUGAGCUAGUUGGCAUUGCAUCAUCAGACAUGGCACAUUUUGUGAUGGGAAACCAAAAGUAGCAGAAGAUUACACUCUAACAAUUGUAUGUUGACAUGUUCUAUAUGGAUAUAUUUACCUGGUUCAUAUAGAGGCGAUUCUAGAAUUUUCCCUAUAUCCAGAAUUCUUACCAGAAUUCUUAGUGCUUCAAUUCCUAUUAAUAGCAUCUGCUUGCAGUUUCCUAUAUUUAUAUAUUUGAGAAUGCAAUCGAUUUUUUUUUCAAUGCACUGUCAGUCUAUACGGUGCUGUUAAUACUAUUGUAAGGAGGCCUUGUGAUGGAAAGCUGAUAGGUUAUAAUACUGACUGCGAAGCUGCAAUAACUGCGAUCGAGGAUGCUCUAAAAGGUACCUCCCAUUGAUGAGAAAAAAAUGCUCAUCAUGUCCUCAUGGAAGUUUAAAGUAUUGAUCAAUGACUAGUCCAUUCUAGAUGCUGAUAUCCUGACACUUUUGUACUUGUAAACAGUAAACUACUAUAGAAAAGAGAUGCACUGGUAAUGAAGUAGCUUUAGGCAGUCCAAUAUCGGGGAAACUCUUUGCGCUAGUUGGUGCUGGAGGUGCAGGAAGAGCAUUGGCAUUUGGUGCUAAAAGCAGAGGAGCUCAAAUAGUCAUUUUUGACAUUGAUUUUGGUAUGUGAUCUACAAUUCUUAAAAGGCAAAUCCAUGGUUUUUCCCUUUAUGCUGAUAUGAUGUCAACUAUAACUUCUGCCUACUCUUUUUAGUACAUUGUUGUAGCAUUAGGAAUAAACAUUAUGAGUAGAGAAUCAAAAACGCUUUCUUACUAUUAAUCAUUGCUUGUGGAAAAAGGGAGAGCAAAGUCCCUUGCUUGUGCUGUCUCGGGUGAAGCUCGACCUUAUGAAGAAGUAGUUAACUUCCAGCCAGAGAAAGGAUCGAUCCUUGCAAAUGCAACACCCCUGGGAAUGCAUCCGAAUACUGAUCAGCGCAUUCCUGUUGCUGAGGUCUCCACCUUCCACCACUAAGUGGUAUUUCUUUUCUGAAGAAUAAAGUUCAAUUUUGUUUCAUUACUGAAGUUAUUUGCUUUCAUAUUCCAGGCAACCUUGGGAGAUUAUGAGCUGGUCUUUGAUGCUGUUUAUACACCUAAGAAAACAAGACUAUUAAAAGAUGCAGAGGCAGCAGGAGCAAUCAUUGUCAGUGGAGUUGAAAUGUUCCUCAGACAAGCUAUUGGUCAGUUCAAUCUCUUCACUGGUCGAGAAGGUAUCUCUUGAAUCCCUUCCUUCCCUCUAUCUGUUUCAUGACCUUAAACUACAUCAUAACCACUCUGGACACUUAUUUUCUAAUUAAAUCAAUUAGAAACUUUAGACCUUUUAAACCAUCCUUAGAUCUUUACUGCAAAUGUAAGUUGAUAGUUCAACCAUUUUGAUCUUUUGCUGUUUGAUUUAGUCACGAGACUAUUGAAAAAGAAUAAUAAAACUUCCAGUGAGUAGCGAAUCCAUCUUUGAUUUCAUUUAGUUGGACGAAUGGAUCAAGUUUAUGAUCUGAAAAAGCUAUUUUGAUUGAGUUGAUAAGAUUCGAAUACUUUGUUUAUAAGACUUAGGUUUGAGUCCCGAUGCUAGCAUUUCCCUUGAUAGAUGAUUUGUAAAUUAAUAUAAGUCGAUGCUGAAGCUUGUGAUCUUCUAUGGUCCUAAAAUGAGAAUGCUUCUUCUUAUCCUAAAUUUUUUAUAAAAUAUAUAUAUACAUUGAGUUAAAAUUGCUGGAGAUAUCCUAUUUUGAACCUCUUCCAAAAAUUCUGAUUUGUAAUUUUACCAUGUACCAUCCUCAUGAUCAAGUUCAAGUUUUGUGGUGAUAAUCUCAACUAUUCUUCCUCAAAACUACUGCCUCCUACAGCUCAGAAUUUUAGUUGCAACAUAUAUUUUCAAAAUUCUUAAUAUGGUUUAAAUGAGGUCAAUUUUUUUAUUCUGUUUUGCAGCACCUAAAGAGUUAAUGCGAGAGAUCAUUAUGGCGGAGUUCUGAUGUAUUACAUCACACAGAAUAUUGUAACAUUAAGGAGUAGAUAAAUCAAGUACCAUGGAAAAGGAUUCAUGUAGUCAAGCUGAAACCCUUAUUCUUGGACAAGGUUUUUUUUUUUUUUUAAUUUUUUUAUUUCAAGUUUUGGUCAUUAACUUACAUGGAAAAUGAAAAUAUUUCUCAUCUUUGUUUUCUUGAAGGGUUCAAAAAAAAAAUUUAAAGAAAUCAUAGUUUAAAGAUUAAGAAAAAGAUUAAAAGUAUAGAAAUUUGAAUCUUAAAUUUACUAAAAAAUAAUUGCAUAAAUCUAACUUAAAAUGGCUAUGAGUAUUAAAAUUUAAACUCAAACUUAUUAAUAUCAACCAACUGAACUCAAUUAUAAGUUCACAAUAUUUACAUAUUGAAAGAUUUUUUCUUAUUUUGGCCAUAAUAAUAUGAACAAUUAUACUUAUUAGCCCUUGUUGUUGGAAGAGGAUUUAAUUAAUAUCUUACUUACAAAAAUUUAAACUUAGUUGACCACCAAUUCUAACUAAUUACACAAUGCAAGAUGAUUUUCCAAGUACUUGGAUUUUGGUUACUUCGAAAAUUUUAGAUGAUGUGCCAAAACAUUAACUUCUCUUAGUAUUAUGUAGUUUUUGAAAAAAAAAGAUAAAACAUGGUAUUAUUAUCUAAUAUUGUGUCUACUACUUAGGAAUAAAAAGUAAUUGUCUUCAUAUUUGACUUAUUUGUUAGUUUGUCAUUAUGGCUACUUAAAAUUCAAUAUCAAUAAUUUAAAGUGUUUUUUAAUAAUAUGAUCUCAAAAUAUUUUCAAGAUUUACUAUUAGAUAUAUUAUCGAGCUUUAUUUAAUGCUAAUUUCUUCUCUCAAGAGAUUUUCUCUAAUACAAUAAGUUGUAUUCAGUGUUUUACUUUUAAAAUAUUUUUCAUAAAUAUCAAAUUCUGAUUUACAAAAAAAAAAAAAAAUUGAAUGGAUACAUUCAGAGUUUUACUCUUAAAGGUUUCUUUUUUAUAGGGUUCAAAUUCUAAUUAACAAAGAAAAAAAAAAACCUUUUCUCCUUACUAAUUAUAUUAAUGCUUGUGGAUUAAAGUGGUAGAUUAUGCUAACAAUAAAAAUUAGAAGUUAUUUCAAUUUUUAAUUUGCUGUUUAAUUUAAUUAGAAUUUCAAUACAAACAAUAAUAUAAAAGAGAAUUAAAGAUAAGAGUUAAAUUUUGGAUCUUAUCUCUCAAUUAAGUUAUUAAUUAAUUUAUUUGAUCUAUUAGCUUUACCUUGAUGAUUUUGUAAAAAUUUUCUAAUAUAAUCAUCAAAUAAUGUUUAUUUUAAGUUAAUCAACAAUGGUUUUACUUUUCCCCAUUUCAUUGCAAAUAGAAGAAAUUAACUUAAAUUCUCAUAGCUACUUACCAGUGUUUAAACGAAUAUAAGGCACUUCUUAUAAGAUUUGAAGCCAAGACUCUUUCACGCAAAGAACUAAAAAAUCCAACUUUAAAAUUGAUACCUAUUGUAGAUAAAAACCAUUGUACUUGAACAACGAUCCUCUGUUUCUUAUACCUGGAAACUCUUGGCUUAUAGUGUAUUCAGAGGACCAAGAUACUUGCUAUAGGUUGUUCUGUUUAUGUCAAUGCUGAUAGAAAAUGUCCUAAAUGAAAAUCAGAAAUAACUGCUCCAUCCCAAUGAGUUGUCAGUCAUUGGGCUUUCUGCAAGUGUUUUGACUUGUAUAUGUUUUCAAUUAAUGAAAUAAAACUAGUAAGCCUUUGCUAAAGUUUGAAAAGGACCAGCUUCUUCACUUGACAUGAGGCAAAUACUUUGUAAACCUUCAAUGGCGAUUGGAUUCUUUCCCAUUCUUCCAUUCAAUCAGUAGGAUUAAUUGGCAUUAGCCCUCAUCGUAUGAGAAAACUAGGAGGGGUAUUCGUUCUGCCCAAUUUUCCUGUACCAUCUGCCUCCUUGACAUUGAAUGCUCUAUUUACAAUUCACAUUGAUGAUAAAAAUUGUCAAUCACAGAUCUGGGUGGAAAAAUCAAUUGAUAAUUAAUAUAUAAGCACAAAAAUUGCCCAAGGCCAAAGAAAACGACUAACCAUGUUCACCAUGAGCCAUCAAAUCAUGCCUCUGAACAGUGCCACUAAGGUAGCAUGGAACUCAGCACAAGGGUCGAGUAGAAUGGAACAGGUUAUAUCAGGAUGGAUAAAUUGCCCAUUCACAAAAUGUUGUAGGCACAGCACACCUUGGGGCACCCAACGGACUCAAGAAUUUGCCAUUGGUUCAAUGCAGCAGCAGAAAAUCACCUGUAAACAAACACAAACCAUCAGCCGGCCCAAACAAAAACCAUCAAUUUGAGCCUCCAGAAUAAAUAUGAAUUGAGCUUUCUUUCAAGUUUCAACGUGAAAUAGUUUGUACCUUCCCAAAAAGGGGGAGUCGCAAAUCCUUGAAAUUUCAAAAUAAGUAUGUGAUCCUGAACUUCAUAAUAUUUCUCCUUAUCCUCUGACUUCAGAACUGUUGUCAUCCAUAACUUCUCAACACCCAGAUCAUUAAAAAUAGAAAAGUAGUACAUAUGUUAUUUCUUCCAAGGUUGUUCAAAUAAAUGGCAAGCUAUAAUUAGUCACCAUAGAAACAUAAAAGACUAAAAGAAAGAAGCUGCAACCAUUUACAGGUUGAUCAAAUGCAGCAUGAUUAAACUUGUCUUUAGAGACAGAAUAGCUUGGCAGCACUGCCCUUUAGCAAUAUGAUAAUUGACAAAAAAAAGAAACGAAAAAAAAGAGUACCAUUAUUUCAUUUUAAAGAACCCUUGUAUUAUAAUAAAGAAAUCUUAUAACCAUUUGAUUUCAAACGAUGAAGUAUCAAUAAUGAUGUCUCAAAAUACAUACAUUGUUUACUUCACUCUGCCAUGGCACAUAAAUGCUGGCCGUGAAGGAAAUAGGAAUUAGAACCCUUGCACUUCUGCACUUGAGAUGAAGAAAACACCUUCAAAUGAAGAACUUAACUUAUUCAAGGAAAGAAAAAUCAUUUGCAUUAGAUGAGUACUACAUAAGCUAUACUGUCUCAAGAUGCAUGGAAAGACUUUUUGGCUUACUCUGUUUCUUGGCAGUUGAAGGAUUGAGCUGAUCUUCUUCAGAAUUCUCGACUAUGUUGACUGGAUUAUGAAAUCAUAAUGAACAAAUAUUAGUGAAGGUGAAAAGAAAAUUACUGGAAAAUUACUUUUGUUACUCUUUGAAGAAUCAGUGUCAUAAUGAAUGAUAACAAAGCCAUUCUGAUUUCGAAUGAAGAAACAAGAGUCAUAUGUCUCAAAUACACAUUUUCAACAAUUUCCUACCUUGCCACGCUUGCCAUUUGAAGAUCAUCACCAUAAUCCCUCUUCUUAUUUUAUUUUAUUAUAAAUUUAAACAUUCUCUAACCAUAAAGAAUAUUAUUACUGAAAAGCAGAAGUAUUUUAAAAAGAAAAUCCAAUGAUCUAUUUCAGUUGCUCUAGAAUAUCCUAAAAAGAGUAAAUUAAAUAGAAAUCCUGAUGAAAAUAAAAAGGAAAAACUGUUUAAAAAUUACAUAAUAUUAUAAUGAUAAGAGAAAUAUAAACUAGGAAGGAGGCAUCAAACUCCUACUUAAUUGAUGAGGAAAAGUAAAGCAUUUGAGUUGAAAGAAACAAAAGCUAUAUUAUUAUGAAUGGUAUCUGAAGAUUUAUAGAAUGAAAUUUGGCUUACUUGUGUGUUAGAAGUUGAAGGAUUCCCUUGAUCUUCUAUAGAAUACUGCAUUUCCUCCGCGGGAUUCUACAUAUAUAUAAUAAUCACCAACAACAAUUAAUAUUAAUUGGUCAUGAGGGGGAAAAAAUGAAUUAAUUUUGAUUUACAAUGGAGUCGUGAUCAACGCCCCCAACCACAAAUUUUCUUUGUCAAUGAUAAUCAAAGAAAUUUGAAAAAACAUACCCUUUCCGUGAACAGUUUUUGUAUGGUGCUAUUAAGGCUUCCUUCCCAAAUCCAAUUCCCUUCAUCUGCCCAGUCAUAUGGUCGUACUUUGUGCAACAUCGGAGCGUUUAACCCUUCCCUGGAGAACAUCUUCAUCUUUGGGCAUUCGUGUACAAUUACUGUUGCUAAGGAUGGGAACCCAAAGGUAUGAUUCCCCGAUGAGCAGAAGCUUUCUAGAUUUGACAGCCCACUCAGUUCCAAAAGGUUGAGUUUGGGGAAAAUGAUUUCAUCCUUCACUUCAUCACGAUCCCCAUCGCUACCUUCUAUUAUUUCUUCUAUCUUUUCACAAUCCCUUAUCCUCAUUUCUCUGAGCUGCACUAGGCUUUUGGCUGUUGAAUGUGUAACUAAUUUUAUGAUCCCAUCACAAAAUUGAACUUCAAGAGUCAUCAGAUUCUGGAAACAUACUGAGGAUGGAACUAAAUUACUUUUUAAUUUGGGACACCAUUCCACAUGUAAAAUCCUUAGAUUUUGGAAUCCUUCCUCACCACCAACUCCUUCACUUUGGAAUAACGACUCUUCAAAGUAACAAUCUUUUAUUUGAAGGCUUUCGAGAUUGGGUAAGGAUAGUAAUUGGAACAGGUAAGAUGGGAAUAUGGCUAAUUGUUGAGGAAACCGUACAAGUCCGAGAACUUUUAGUUUGCAAAAGUAGUCCGAUGCAAGUCGUAGGCCAUGCAAUCUCUCUUUCAUCCCAUCAUCCCAUCCGAGGUGAAGUUGUUGUAGAUUUGGGAAUGCCAACUGCACAAUUCAUGCAAGUGUUAACAGGACGGAGGAUGAGUUGUUGAAAGGGAUCAAAAUGAACGAUUGUAAUAUGGUGGAAUAAAAAGAGAAAUUUAAAAAAGUAUAUCUUUAAUAUAAGUAGUGAUCUUUUUAUUUUUAUUAUUGAAUCAUGUAUACUUACAUAGUACCAGCUGAUUUGAGUUUGUUAUUAUUAUUAACGUAUUUUUUUUGUUAAAAAAAAAAAUAGGUACAAUCGUUUUCUAACUUUUGAUACACAUUAACUUUUACAAAAAUUUAGAAUUCAAAGAAUUUUUUAAUGCAUAUAAUUUUACUGAAAAACUAGUAAAGUAUACAUUUGAAAAUAAAAAACAAAAUCUGAUUAUUGAAGUUUAAAGAUACCUCUCUAGUUAAAUUAUAGAUCAAUCCAAAGUUAUACUAUAAAAUUAUAUAUUCUAUCUUGAUAAACAAAUUAUUGUAUUUUAUUCUUACAAAUAUAUUAAUAGUUUACAUACUUUUCUUUUUAAUAUUUAUUAUGUUGCCAUUAAAUGCUUUUUUAUUUUAUUUUUUUUCAAAACACGUCAAUCUAUUUUUUAAAAUUUUGAUCCAAAGAUUAUUUAAGAUUUAGGAUUGAGGGGUGUUAAAUACACCCUUAUUUUUCAUUUUAUACCCUAUUUUUUAAAAUGUUCUUAAGUAAAAUUAUUUAAUUAUAUUUUUUUUAUAAAUUUUUGAAAAUAAAUGUUUGAAAAAUUGUAUAACUUGUUGGAUAUAAAUAUCAGAAAACUUAUGAAAAAGAGUAAUUAAGUAAUUUUAUUUUAAAAAAGAUUUGAAAAAAAAAUAGCAUAAGAAGAGUAAAAAAAAAAGAUGCAUUUAAUAUCACUUUUUAGGGUUUAGGAGCUAAAAAUCUCAUUAGCAAUUAGCAAUAUAAGUAGUUUACCCUCUAUUAGAUUAUUGAAAUCAAAAAUAAAUUCUUAAACUCCAAUGAUGUAAUUAAUAAUUAGAUGCUAUUUCUAUUAAACAUAUAGUUUUACCUAUCAAUUUGUAAAUGAGUUUAAUUAUUUGAAACAAAUUUUAAGUUUAUAUUGGAGCGAUGGAGGGAGACAUUAAAAAAAUACCUUUUCACUGAAUAGGUAUUUUGAGAUAUCCGAGUGGAGGUUUUCCGUUGAGAUGCUGCUCUCUCCUGCUUCAUUUUCAAUAGUUGUUUCCACACUUGUAGAAUCAAAAUGGACUGUAUUCAAAAUAGGACAUCCUUCUAUAUACAGAUAUGUUAGAGAAGGGAAUUCAAUCGGAUUUCCAAAGCCAAAUCUUUUGAGCUUAAGAAGAUCCACCAGCGUCAAACAGUCUAAUUUAGGAAACACCAUUUUCUUCAUCCUUUCUUCUUUUUCUACUAAUCCUUCCGUCACUAUUAUUAUCUCUUCAAGUUCAUUACAUCCUCCAACAUUAAGUGUUUUUAGUUGCACAAAGCUUUCAACCAUAGAGGAAGUAAAUAUAUUCUUCAAAUUAUUGCAUUCGCACACUUCCAAAUUUGUUAAAUUUUGAACACCAAAAGAAGUUACUGAACGUUGCUCAUGCCAUAGCCUUUUAACUUCCAUGAAGCCUAUAGACAACCGCUCUAAGCCUGGGAACACAGCCUGCAAAUAAAAGUAAAGUUUGACGAUCAACAAUUCCUUAUUAUUCAAAUAUUAAAAAGAAUUAAUAAUGAUUUUCAGCAUUGAUAUAACAUAAAGAAAUAAUAUAUUAUUGCCAUUGACUAUAUAUUUCUACAACUCCGUCAUCUUUAAUUAUACUAGCAACAUACCCACACUUUCUUGUAGAUCUAAAUUUUUUUUUAUUUAUAGUUAAAUAAAUUUAAUAAAUCAAUGAAUAUAAUUUUUUAUAAUUUCUUAAUAAAAACAAUGAUUUAUAAUAAUUUAUUAAUUAAUUUGGGGAUAAUAUCUUUAUUUUAUUUAUAGAAUUUGUUAACAAAUCAAAUACAAAUUCAUAUUUUCAAAUAUAGUUAAAAAUAUUAAAAUACAUCAUUUAAAAACUUAAAAAAGGAAAAGUGCCAAGCAAAAAGGAAAAAAAAAGGAAAAAGAAAAAUGACCCAAAUGAAUUUGCCAAGUCGACACUUCCACUUAAAGAUGACAAUGGACGAGUAAGACCAUGUUAUGCUUAUCCUAACUCCAACUUAAUCUCAGAUUAUUAUUUUUUAUAUCCAAUCUAACCCAACAUAUAAAUAUAGUAUUUUAUUAAAUAAUAAAUUUAUUAAUAUAAUAAUAUAUAAAUUAAAUUAAAUAAAUAAUAAAAUAUAUAUUCUAAUGUAUACCAUGAGACGAGACAAAGAAAAACACUUUAAAUUUAUCUCUAACCUGACUUCGAAGUUCAAAAAAGAAAAACCAUCACUAUUGAAUUGGUUAAUCAAAACCUAUUAAAUACGAAUUAUUUUAACAUCUAUUGAUCCAAUUUCUUACAAAAUUUAUUUUAUUUAAAAAAAUGAAAAAAAAAGGGAAUGGAAGGGUAAAAAAAAAAAUUCUAAAUAGGAUUGCUACCUAAACAAUUCUAUUGUUAAUUUAUCUUCCAAAGCAUAGAUAAAAAAAUGUUAAAAUAGACAAUUAAAAACAAAAAAAAAAGUUAAAACUAAAAAAAUGGCCCAAGCAAAAAAAAUAGUCAAAUUAAUGAAAAUGCAUGGACACUAUCAUUUAAUGAUAGAAAAGAGGUCGAGUCAGGGUGGGUUUAUACACACUUUGACUCUUAACUCGAAUUUUUAAUAAUUCAAUUCCACUUUGAUUUCAAUUAGACAUUGAGUUAUUAUUAAUUGAUAUCUAGUCCCAACCUAUCACAUAUAUACAUAAUUUGCAUCCAAUCCAAAUUAAAAAAUAAUAAUUCAAUAAUUUUAACUUAGUAUAAUAUUCAUAAACAUUUUAUUUUUUAAUAUAAAUUAUAUAUUAAUUAUGUAUAAAUAUAAUAAUAAAAUAAUUCGACUCUACUUCAAUUUCGACUAGACAUUAUCAUUAAUUGAUAUAUGAUCUUAACCUAUCACAUAUAUGCAUAACUCGCAUCCAUUCCAAAUUAAUCAAAAUUAAUUCAAUAAUUUUAACUCAGUAUACUGUUCAUAAAUUAUAUCUUAAUUAUGUAUAAAUAUAAUAGCUUAUUAAAAUAAAAUAUUAACUAAUAAUUUUAUUAAUAUAAAUAAAUUAAUAAAUAUAAAAUUAAUUAAAUAAUAAAAAUAUAUAGUUUUAAUAUAUACCGAAGAUGAGAUGGAACAUCCCAAACCUGUUUCCUACCCUCAUCCAAUUUAGAAAAAAUUCCAACCUAAUUUCAGUUUUAAAAUAUAAUGUACCUAUUGGAUUGAGAGAAAUCAAAAUCCAUUGAAUUUGUUUUGUCAUCUCUACAUCAAUUGUAUUUUUUUUGUAUAAAAUUUUUUUAUUAAAAAAUUUUUUUGAAAAAGGUUAUUGGCAAAAAAAGAAAAAAAGCCAAAUAAAAGUGUUGUAAAUUUAUUAAAUUAAGAUAUUAAAUAAUAAUUUUAUUAAUAUAAUAAAUAUAUAAAUAUAACAUUAAAUUAAUAAUAAAAAUAUAAUUUUAUAUAUAUCUUAGACAAGAUAAAACAUUUUAAAAUAACCCUUGAACAAAUCUCGAUUUAAAAAAAAAUUCUCAAUUUGCUCUCAAAAUUUUUAAAACAACAUAUCUAUAUUGAAUCGAAGUGAAUUGAAAUCCAUUAGAUACAAAUUGUUUCGUAAUUUUUACAUCUAUUAUUUUUCUUAUAAAAUUUAUCUAAUAAAAUUAAAACCAAAUAAAAAAUAAAAAAGUACAUUUUAAAGAAAUGUUAGGGUGGCACAUAGACCCCCAUCUUCCUCCAAAAUCUAAAAUAUUUAUAAAAUGGAUUGUAGAAAGCCUUUUGGUUGAAAUAAUUAACUUCGUACAAUGAUUAUAAUCUUCCAUGAAAUAAUUAGAAAAAAGUCAAGUAUUGGCUUGAAGUUGCAAUAAAAAGUCAGUCAUUAAAUUUUAUAUAUUAGUUAUUAACUCCUAACAAAAAAAAAGUGCAAUUUUAGAUCUAUAAUAAUAUAUAAUAUCAAUAAUUUCAUUAUAUCACUCAAGUCAUGACUUGUAAAAGUAAGUUUUAAAGUUUUAUUAUUAGAGGUGUUCAUCGAUUAAACCUAUCAAGUUCUGUUUUUAAAGCUAAUAAGAGGCCGACCACUCACUCAUUUAUUUUAUUGACAAAAAACUCACUCAUUUAACUAAUAUUUUAUUAUUAAAAUAAUAAAAUUUUCUAUUAUUAUUAAUAUUUUAAACAUAUAAAAAUAAAAUUUAACAAAAAUAUAAUAUUUAUUAAUAAAAUAAUUUAAUCAGCCCUAAUCAAGCUGAAGCUUAAAAAAUCAUAUGCAGCCUGACCCUUUACAUCUUUAGUUGCGACGAUCCCCUCUAUAAUUCAAAUAAUUAAGACUUUCAAUUUUAAAGUUUUAAGUCUACAAUGGUAGAAUAUCUCUUUGGAUGACUUAAAAAUGUUAUAAUGUUUGUGAGAAAAAAAUCUAUAUAUGAAAAGGAGAAUUAUAAGACUCGAAGAAAAUAACAUAAAAGAGAUACAUUCUAGUCUUGCAAUAUAUUAACAUAUAUACUUCAUCACUUUGUUUUCAGGUUAAGUUAAUAGGAAAAUUACAAUCUAAAACACUACUGAUAAUAAAUUUAAAUUUCACACCAACGAAUUUAGAUUAUUGCUAAAUAACUCAAUAGGAUAUAUUUUUAAAAAAUUAAUAUAAUAAAAAACAUAUAAUAAUAUUUUAACUACACUUACAAAAUUUAAAAACUCUACCAACAAUGUAUGAAAUAAAAAUUUUAUGUUCAAAAAAUGGAGAAAAGCAUUAAGAAAAUACCUUUUCAUCGAAUAGAUAUUUUGGUACAUCAAUGCAAGGUUUCACCAUUGAGAUGCUACUCUUUCCUGCUUCAUUUCCAACAAUUGUACCCACACUUGUAGAAUCAGAAUGAAAUGUGUUUAAAACUGGACAUCCAAGAAUCCAUAGUUCCUUUAAAGAGAGGAAUUCAAUUGGAUUUCCACAACAAAAUCUUUUGAGAUUAGGAAGAUUCAAGAGCUGCAAAUCGUCUAGUUUAGGAAAUACCAUUUUCCUCAUCCUUUCUUCUUCUGGUAAUCCUUCUGUCACUGUUAUUACCUCUUCAAUUUCAUUACAAUCGCAACAAAAAGGGAUUUCAGUUGCACGAAGGCUUUUCAACCAUAGAAGAAGUAAAUAGAUUCUUCAAAUUUAUGAACAGCCGCUUGAACAGUCAACACAGUUAAAUUUCCAACACUAAAAGAUGUUACCCGGAAGCUGAUCAUAGCCAUAAUUUUCAAUUUCAACUGUGAUACAAGAUAACCACAACUUCUUUUAAGCAUGGAAAUGACCUGCAAAUAAAAAAAUAUUGAUAAUCAACAAUUUCUUAUUAUUCAAACUUAAAAAAAAUUAAUAACGAUUUCCAAUAUUGAAUAUGGAGACAAAGAAAUAAUAUAUAAUUCCAUUGGACAAUAAUUUUCAAAGUAAUAUUAAACAAAAAUUAAAUAUUUACUUGGAUUUGCAACUAUAUAAAGUCAAUGAAGUCAUUAAAUGUUGAGUAUGAGUUAUUGACUCCUAACCCAAAAAAUAGAGUGCAAUUGACCAUCUAUAUAUAUAAUAUCAAUUCUUAAAUUCAUUAUAUCACGCCCAUGUCAUGAAAGUGAAUUGGAGUUUUUCAGUUUCAAAGGCGUAUUUGGAUUGGCCUAUCAAGUCUCCCUUCCAAGGCUGACUCAACUGACUCAUUUAAUUAUUAUUUUAUUAAAAUAACAAAAUUUUAUUAUUAAUAUUUUAAUAUUGCAAACAUAUUCAAAAUUAAAAUGUAACAAAAAUAUAAUAUUUAUUAAUAAAAUAAUUUAAUCCUUGUGGAUAAGCUUUGAGUUUAAAAGACUUAUUUUAUGUUUUAUUGAAUACUUAUUUUAAAUAUAUUAAUAAAAUAUUUUAUGAUAUAUUUUAUUUUCAUUAAUUUUGAUUCAAAAAUCACUAAAAUUGAAAGUACAGCAAUAAAAUUCAAUAAAACCAAAGUAUAAUGACAAAAUUGAACACUCACCUACAAUAAUAAAUUUGCUCUUUAUCCUAAUUAUAUCAUUCACAUAUUAAAUAGAAAAUCUAGUUUAAGAAAAAGGAACAAAAACGAGAUCAAAAGGAAAUAUGUUGGAAGUGAGAAUUUAACGAAAAGAAGAAAUAUAUUGACAUAAAUACCUUUCGGUCAAAAAGCGAUGUGGCAGUUGAACUUCCAUCAAUUGAUUGAACUCUUCCUUGUUGAGACGAGGAAAGCCUUUUUUCUGAGUUAAACAAGCCAAUGAAACUUGGUAGAUUUCCUAACCUUAAAUAGCGUAAUUGGCUGAAUUCUAAAAUGUCAUCAUCACCAAUCUCUUCCUCCCUCUUUUCUACAAUUAACUCUGUGAAAUUCGAGCAAAGAGAUACACGAAUUUCUUGAAGGUGGCCGAGCUUUCUGGCUAAGGCGAAUGAGAACAAAUUCUUCAACAUAUUACAAUCUCUUACUCCUAUCUUUCUUAGUUGACCGAAACAUUCAGCUUGGAGUUGACCAUAAUAUAUGGCCUCCAAAUUGUUCAGUUCACGAAGAAACAAUGUCUCCAAAAGAGGAAAUGCUUUACAUGAAGUCAACUCCAUGGAGUUAAUGAGAUAUUUAACCUCUGAAUCAUUGCGGACAUCAAGAUGUUUUAAAUGUGGGAAACCUUGGGUAUCUGGAUCAUAAAGCAUGUCUAUGACAUCUUUUGCUGCAUCCAGAUGGAGAGUUUCGGUUUUUCUCAACAACGUUUUAACCCCACUAUCGUCCAAAUGAAUACUCUUAUUCAACUUGAGUUUCAACUCUCUCGAGGUUUUUGGCUUAUAAUUCCGCCACCACUUCUCUCCAAUGGAAAUUUUGUAUCUUUCAAACUUUUCAGAAAACAAUUUCUUUGGCACAGCUUGCAGAUCAGGAAUAUGUACUUCCAAAGUUGUCAAACGAGACAAAUGUUGCAACUCAACAAGGCUAGCAUUGGUUCUUGGCUUCUCAUGUCCCUCAACCUCCCAUCUAUCAAAGCUAUUAUAAAGGUAUAAUUCUUCUAAUCUGGAUAAACGAGACAAGACAUUUGAUGAUAUUACUUUAAGACUGGAACAAUGACUCAAAUCUAGCAAUUUUAGCUUGAUCAAUUGUCCUAUUUGGGGUGGUAGCACUGCAAUUUUAGAUUUUCGGAAGCUAAGGAUUUCUAAAUUCUUUAACUCUUCAAUGAUGACUAUACUUUUAAAUGCAGUUAGAAAAAACAUAAAGUACGAAGAUUUUUUAGGAACAAACAUGACGAAGGCAAGGAUGGAAAAUAAAGUUGGCAAAUCUAAGGACCCUGAGUUUUUGCAUUCCCCUAAAGAAGUUUGUCUGAAAUUUUCAAAGAGGAAUCCUCACUACCCAAAGAGCAAAGGUAAGAUUUGGACAUUCCAACCGAUCCAUGAUCAGAAGGCUCACAACCUUAGCAUACUGCAAGCUGAUCAGUUCGCAAUUUCUUCAUUUUUUCCUCAUUUGACAACUCUUUGAAUACAUCAUCAUCAUCCUUCCUAGAGCAAGCCAUGGUGGUCUCUCGAAGCGAUCGAUAAGGCAACAUCACAAACAACGUCAUGCAUACAAAAGCGCUCAAAGGUAGAACCAUCAGUAACAAAGAAGAGCUUUUCAGGUUGUUAACCAAUGCGGAUACUUUAUAUCGUGCUUCUUUGAUUGUGUUAACUCCAUGAAAUAAACCCAAACCCAUGCCAUAUCUCAACAAGCUCGAUGGCAGCAUCAUGGCCCAUUAUGCUACAGAGUAGGAAAGUAGGUCGAUGUUCCUCAUCUUCUAAAAACUUGUAACUCAACUCUAUAGCUGAAUAUGCACCUGCUGGUAUCCCUUGAAGUUUCUUUUAGAGGGAUUUCUUAGUUCAUUCAAAGCAUACUUCCAAUCAGACAAAUUCUUCUUAUUUUUCAUAGCUUCCCCAACUGUUACAAUGGCAAUCGGCAAUCCAGCACAUUCAUUGGCCACUUCAAUUGCCGUAGUUUCCAAGUCAGGGCUUAGAACAAUAUCACCUGCCUUCUUCUUAAACAGGUUCCAUGCUUCUUCUUCUUUCAAUAUUUCAAUUGGAAUGUUUUCAGCGAACCCAUCAAAGAUAAAGCAUCAACCUUUCUAGACGUCAGUAAGAUCUUGCAUCCUUGGUGUUCACCUCCGUAAGGAACUCCCAGAGCCUCCAUAUCCAAUUUCUCCCAAAUAUCAUCCAAAAUAACAAGAAUCUUAUUGCUCCCCUUUAGUCUGUUACGUAGUUCGCCUGCUCUUCCGGGUACACUCGGCUUUUCAAAAAUUAGACCCAAUUCAUCAGCAAUAAGAUCUUGAAUAUUCUUUAUAUGUCAAAAUUGUGGGUUACAGCUGCCAUGACCACCUCAUCAAACAAAUCCUUGGCUUGUAUAGCAACUUGUUUGACUAGGGCAGUUUUACCCAAACCUCCCAUCCCGUAAACACCAAUUAUGCUCAAAUUAGCAUCUUCAAGCGCCUCCAUGACCCUAUCGAAAGCACCCUUUCUUGACUCAAAGGCCUCGUAGUCUUUGUCAGGUCUAGUGGCUGUCCCUCCAACAGCAGGUUGGCGGGAUACUCUAUUAUUAAAUUCGUCUUUAUCUUUUAAGAGUUCAGCAAUGGUGUUGGCCUCUUUCUCAGCUUUUCUACUGAGUUGGUAACGAGACUUAAAAUUAGGACACAACCCAACGAAACACAUCUGCUUUGCUUUCUCUUCAUCGUCAUCCAAUUGCUCAGCAGCCUCAUCACAGAUCCCAUUGACCUUAGUCAACCACUCACCCCACAUAGCUAAAUAUCUCCUUUCCCUGUCUCGUAGCCGCAUUAACAUCCUCUUGCACACUUUCUCUUGCAAUCUUCAGUUUUUUAAGUUGAUCCCUGAGGUUUUGAAACUUGCUCUUAUGCUUGAACAAGUAACUAACUUGUCGUGCAAUGGGAUCAACUGUGCAUUCCACCGCUUUCCCAGCAAGAGAGCCAAGAAUGGAUCUAACAAUGUAAAUACAAGCCUCCAUAUAUUUUUUUUAAUCGGAAGAACGCUCCCUGACAAAACCUAAAACAAUAUGAACAGUAAUAUUCAAAACCCAAAAUAAAAAAAUAAUAUAAAUCAAAUAAUCAGAGAUGAAAACAGUGGAAAUGGGUUUAAACAAACAUACCUCUGUCGUUCUCUUAGAUAUCAAAAGAUUGGUCGGCUACAGCUUCUUCCUAUCCUCACUUUGAGUAGUGAAGCCAAAAGAACAGAGAACCUACAGAAAAAUUUUAAGGAAUUCUUUUUUCUUUUUUUGGUGAAUAAAGCUUGAGGAUUCAGCAGUUGAAAGAGUUUAGGAGAUGGCAGUUUGAGAGAACAGAGAAUCAAAACUCAGAAUUGCGUGUUUUCUGUAAAAGAGUAUGAACAGCCAAGAGUAGUAAACAAAUGGGAACAUGUUGACAACCUAAAGGACGACUAAAGCACAGCCAGCUGGUCUCCAUUCUGCGGUCCCGGGGUCCUGAUUGUGCGCCUCUGGGCUGUGGCACAUGAUUUCUGUCGGUAAAGUAUUAUUUUUUAUUACGCCAAAAUCCUUGUUGUUAAGCACUAAUAUACAGUUGUCAUUUUUUUUUACCUAAUGAUGAAAAAGCUAUUAGGAAAACAUAAAAUCUUGAUUUGAUUUUCUUCAUUUUCAUAAAUUAUGCUCGUCUUAUAUACCAAAAAUGAAAUACUAUCAUCUUCAAUAGUUUUAGCCAAGACAUGAUAAAUACAUCAUUACAAAUAACAUCAAAUUUUUAUUAUAAUCGAAGUUAAAAACUUUUAUUUACAUUCAAAAAUACUCCUUGAAUCCAAUUUUUAUUUCCUAAAACACCUUUACUUUUCUUUUUAUUUUUCUUUUUUUAAAAUGUUUUAAAUAAAAUUUAAUUAUUAUUUAAUAUAAAAAACUAUCUUUCAUGGAUUUUUAAAUAAUGAAAAAGAUGUUUCACCUUCAACUUAAAUCAAAACCAAUAAUUGUGAAAAAAGCAUGAAAAGCACAACCAGCUGGCCUCCAGUGCCUGCCCCUGGGUCUCCAAUUGUGCUUGUGCAGCCUGUGGGACAUGGUUUUUGUCGGAUUAGAAUGUUUUAGUAAAUUACACUAAAGUCCUUGACAUUUAGCACUAAUACAAUCAUUCUAUUUGUAUGAUAAAUUUACAUCAUCUCCAAAGUUUUAACACUUACCGAUGAUAAAUGGAUCCCACGUCUCACAUGCACAUGCAACUUAUGUUAUACCAAAAAUACCCUUUUUUUUAAUAGGAUGACAAGUAAUAUAACUAAACCAAUUUCAGCUUCUUAAUUUAGUGAUAAAAAAAUCUUUAAAAAAAUACGAAAUUGAGGUUUGACUCUAUGCUUUCUUUCUUCUUUAUUAUUGUAAAGCUCUCUCCCCUUAAAAUCAAACAACAAGGGAGAGGAAAAGAAGAUGAAGUCAAACUCCAAACUUUGUGUCUUUUAAGAUUUCUUUGAUCACUAGAUCAAAUUUUUUGACUUGAUAUUAAAAAAAAAUACUUAACUUCCCAUACAAAAUGAAUAUAUACCUUUAUAAUUUUUUAUUUUAUUGUAAAUAAACCCAAUUUUUUUUAAAAUUACCUAAUUAAAUUUAACUUCUUUAAAUAAAAUUAAUUUAAAUUUUUUUAAUCCAAACCAAAAAAACUCACCCAACCAACUCUUGAUUUAGCUCGAAACUAAAAAUAAUUUGAACUCAAAUUAACUCAAAUCUAAAUUAACAUGAAUCUAAAAUUAAUCAAAAUUGAAAUAAUUCGAAAUUGAAUCGAUCCAAAAAAUUAACCCCAAAUAAUUGAGAAAAAGAUCAUUUUAAUUAAGAAUAUUAAUUUAAUAAAAUAAUAAUAAUAACAUAAAUGAUAACUCAUUAAAGUUAUUAAAAAUAUCAAAUUAAUAUAUAUUUUUAAUAUCAAACUAAGUAUAAAUUAUAUAUGUUAUGUUUACUUGAAAACUUCUUAUAAUUUAUAAUAUGAUUUAAAAUAAACUAUAUAUUUUUAAUUAUUAUGAUAUAUUUACAUAUUAAUAUUUCAUUUAAAAAAAUUAUAUAAUCUCUUAUAUUAUGUAUUAUCAAUUAUCAUGUGAUUUAAAAUAAAAUUUACAAAACAAGCUAUUGAUUUGUGUAUAUAUAUGUUACAUAUAUGUUGUAAUUAUAUUAUUAAAUUUUAAUCAUGAAAUUUAAAAUAAAUUAUGUGAUUUCCUUUUUCCUUUUCUUUUUUUUGAAUGGUAAGAAAUUGAUGAUACGAAGCAAAACAAACAAUAAAAGGGCAGAAGGCUCACUGACAAAACCCAAAACAACAAAAACAGCAAUAUUUAAAACCCAAAUAUAUAUAUAUAUAUAUAUUUAUAUAUAUACAUAUAUAAAUCAAAUAAUCAGAGAUGAAAGCAGUGGAAUGGGUUUAAACAAACAUACCUGUGUCCUUGUCUUAGAUAUCAAAAUAUAGAUCGGCUGCAGCUUCUUCCUAUCCGUACUUUGAGUACUAAUAUCAAAAGAGCCGAAAACCUACAGGAAAAUUUUGAGGAAUUAUUUUUUCUUUUUUUGGUGAAUAAAGCAUGAGGAUUCAGCAGUAGAAAGAGUUGAGAGAACGGAGAAUGAAAACUGAGAAUUGCGUGUUUUCUGCAAAAGAGCAUAAAAGGCGGAGACUAGUAAAGAAAUGGGACAUGAUGACAAACUAAACAACAAUUAAAGCACAGCUAGGUCGUCUACAUUGUGCGAUCCCUAGGUCAUGAUCGUGCACAUGUGGGCUGUGACACAUGCUUUCUGUCGGGAAAGUAUUAUUAUUGAGUAAACUAUACCAAAGUCUAUGUUGUUAAGCACUAAUUUAACAUCACGCCAUCCGUAUGAUAAAUAUACGGUUCUCAAUUUCCUUGGUUUAAUAAUUGAAAAAAUUUCAGCAGGACAUAAAAAAUCUUGAUUUUAAAUUAAUUUUUUUAUGACGUAUGUUCAUUUUAUAUAUAAAUAUAUUUAUCAUUGUCCAAAAGUUUUACAAUCACAUCAAAUUUCUGUUAGAAUUAAAGUUGGAAGUUUCGUUUACAUUCAAAAUUUCUUGAUGCAUUUAAUGUUUUUAUUAUAAAAAUAUCCAAUAUUUAUUAACUCUUUUAGCAAAUUACUUUUCACUUCUUCCUUGCAUCAUUUUUAAAUCCUACAGAUUUAUAAAGUCAUAAAUUUAUAAAAAAUUUAUGAAUAUGAGUAUUUGUAAAUUCUUUAAAUGGAUGAAAAAAAUAUUUUUUUAUUAUAAAAAUAUUCAAUGUGAAAGUAAUGAUUUCACAACAAAUUGCUUAAAACCUCAAAGGUCACCAAGAGAUUUGGGCAGAAAAGGCAGUCAAGUAAAUGCAAGUCAACAUAACAUCUAGGAAAAUAGCAAGAAGCGUUUAGUUUCCAACAAACAUCAAAAUCAUGGUAGGUUUGGCAAUACUCUAGGAAGUCCUUCCUUGAGCUCGCAUGUUGGUAACAUGCAUUUACAUGAGAGGAAUCGUAGUACAAUUGAUGUCACUAAAAGCUCUAGUGUCUCUGCACCUGUCUUUGGCUCACAAAAAAUAAAAAUCAGAGAGCUAGGAUUUUAAGAGGGAAAAGACUGAGGACAAGUUUGAGGUUGAUCAGAUCUGGGCAUUAUAUGGUAGGGAUGGCAUGCCUAAGGACUCUGCUUAAUUCAAAAAGAUUGAAUCCACCCCUCAUUUCAAAUUGCGUGUGGCACUGCUGGAAAUGUGCUCAAGGCCUAAAGACUUGAAACUACCCUUUGUUGUAGGAUAUUUAAAGUUAAAAGUGGCCAAACCAAGGUUAACGUUGUCUCUCAUCAAUUAAGAGCUGAGCCCAUUGGGAAGAACAAAUGCAAAAUUUACCCUAAAAAGGGGGAGGUUUGGGCAAUAUACCAGAGUUAGAACUCCGCAGAUUCAGACUUGGGUACGGGUGAAUGUGACAUUGUAGAAGUGUUGGAAGAUAAUGCCAAGAGCAAAAAAGUUAUGGCUCUGUCAUGUGUAAAUGGAUCUAAAUCACAUUAUAGGGCUUCAAGAAGUCAAAGUGCCGGAGAUUGAGUUUGCUACAUUUUCUCAUCAGAUUCGAGCUUUACAGCACACAAGAGAAAAGGAUUGCUGCUGGAGAGGCUAUUGGGAGCUUGAUCCCUUGACUAUUCCCAGUGUUCUUAUUUGUAUAGAGUGAUAUACUAUAUUGUGUUGCAUCAUUAAAUCCCUCACCUCAUUGUCACCAGGAGCUUUUGUGAGUAUUCUCCAAGGGAGAAAAUGGAAAGAAUUUAGAAAAAACCUGACGAAAUUAAUUUUGUCUCCUGUGUUGGAAAUCAUGCAUGGCCUUAACCGUUAACCAUUUUGUUUUUGCCAAAACGAUGUACUCUUUUGGAAAGUGAACUAAUGCAAAUCCUCAACUUUUAGUUGCAAACUUGCAGUGAUUAUGAAUUCUUAUAUCUGCAUCAUCAGAGUUGACGUUGCACUUUUCCAUUGGGGUAAUAAUAUGGUCUCUCUUCAUGUUAGGACUAUGAUAUGUAUUGUACAACAUUUGUGGACAUUAACAAUCAGUGUUAAUCCCUAUUACAUCAGAAAAGAGGUGUCUUUUAAACUCUUUUUAAUCUAAUUAUAGAAUUUGAAGUGUAAGAAAUUGUUCAAGAGUAGAUAAAGUAGUAAAUAAAUUGAUUUUAAAAAUUCAGAUUGAAAUUAGAGCAAGUAAUUUUAUGAUUUAAAAAAAAAUGAAGUUAUUAUUUAUAAAUCUUUAUUUCUAUUAUUCCCUAAACAUUUUUUUUGGUCUGGAAAAGGAGUAUUAUUCCCUAAACGUUUCACGAAAAAUGAAACGUUUUAGCUUUGUCUGUUUCACGAAAAAUAACUUUUAAAAAAUAUUUAUAUUUUUGGAAUAUAAAGAGAUUUUUUGUUAUUUAGAGGAAUUAAUGAAAAUAUUUUUCAUUAUUUAGUUUUUUUAAAAUAUUUUUUUACAAAUAAUAUUAAUAUAUUUAUUAAGAUAUUAAAAAUUAUUUCUUAUUAAAGUAUAUUAAAAUUAUUAAUACUCAAAACAAUUAUAUUUUGAUAAUAAUUUUUAAUAUUAAAAUAUUAUGUUAAUAUAAAAAUACUUAAAACAAAACUAUUUAUUAUUUUUCUAUUAUUUAUUAAUAUAUUAUAAUAUUAUUUAUUAACAUUGUUAUAAUAUUAAUUAAUUAAUAUAUUAUUUAUAAGUAAAAUUAUGUUGAUAAAUAAUUUUACUUAGAAAAUUUUUUUUUAAAAAAAUCUUAUUUUUUAUUUUUUAUUAACUAAUAGUUAUUUUUCAUUAACCACUUAAUUUUUGUGAAACAAAUAACUAAAAAUGUAAAAUUAACUUUUAAAAAUAAUUUUUCGUAAAACAACAAAGCACCGAAUUCUGCAUAUAAGCUUUUUUUUUUUAAUUUGCUUGUACUUGCCCAUGAUUUCUUUUCACGUUGGACAGGUAAUUCUUUUUUUCUUACAACUUUUCUCAGUUUUUUUGGAUACCCAAUUCAUUUCUUGAUUGAAAAAUUUGUCAAUUAAACCCAAAACCGAUUAUCCACCGAUGUUCCAAACUCCAGAAAUUGCGUUCAUUGUUUGAUAUUUAAAUAAACAAAGUACAUUGAAAAGUGGGAAAUCUUAUUUGCAAUAUGUUGGCAAGUCCUCUAUGUGUAUGACGCUUAGAAGAAUUCAAAUGGUGAAUUUCAACUGAAAUUCAGCUAGAGAGUUCUUAUGUUCUUUUUAAAUUGGAAACAUUUCAGUUACAAUUAUUUAAUUACAAUUAAUUAAUUAUAAUUUAUAUUUAUGUAAAACUCAUAUUUUUUAAACGAUAAAUUUUUAUAUAAUUUUUAAGUAUGAUUGAUUAAUUAUAAUAUUAUAAUGAAAAAAUUAUAAGUGAAAUUCUCCCUUUAAAAACUGGGAUUUACAGCUUUCAAUGCCCAUAAUCAUUUAUAAAUAUAUAUAGAUAUAUAUAUAUAUAUAUAUCUAUCUCUUUAAAAUCAACUUGUAAGAUAAUACUUGCAUACUGCAGAAUCGCGUUCAGUCAUGUUUUUUCGUCUAAAUGUUUUGACUAUUUAUUAGACUUUAAAUUCUCGUAUCCAUGUCUAUUUAUUCAUGUCUUAAAAGGUGAAAACUAUAAGUAUUAUCAUGUCAUAAUUCGAUUACCACAUUAAAUAUAAAAUAUUUUUUUAUUUUUAUUAAAAAUUUUAAACUAUUAAUUUUUUUUUUUUUGGUAUCAUAUCAUAAUAUUAUAUUUAAAAUUGUAUUAUAUUGCUUUGCUUUGGUGUUGACAAAUAGGAAUUGUCAGUAUAUGGUUCUUAAUUUUGAUUGUUAGAAACGCAUGACUGAGAAGAUUCCAUAUGGAAUAUGUUACUCUAAUACGUGACUCUACUGUGGGUGUUUGAGGACACUUAUGUUUUUGGGAACAAAUCAAGUUCCAUGGCAUUAACAGCCUCUCGCACUCUUUUUCAUGAAUCCUCCAGUUUUUGACGUUGAUCCCUGAGGUUUUGAAACUUGCUCGUUUACUUGAACAACUAACUAACUUGUCGUGCAGUGGAAUCAACUGUGUACUCCGCCGCUUUGCCAACAACAGAGCUAGGAAUGGAUAGAACAAUGGAAAUAACAGCCUCCAUAUAUAUAUAUAUAUAUAUAUAUAUUUGAAUCGGUAGGAAAUUGAUGAUAUGAAGCAGAACAAACAAUAAAAAAACAGGGAGGAACGCUCACUGACAAAACCCAAAACAAUAGAAACAGCAAUACUCAAAACCCAAAAAAAAAUUUAUUUUAAUCAAAUAAUCAGAGCUGAAGACAGUGGAAAUGGGUUUAAACAAACAUACCUCUGUCCUUGUCUUAGAUAUCAGAAGAUUGGUUGGCUACAGCUUCUUCCUAUCCUUACUUUGAGUACUAAUAUCAAAGGAGUAGAGAACGUACAGGAAAAUUUUUUAGGAAUUUUUUUUUCUUUUUGGUGAAUAAAGCUUGAGGAUUCAGCAGUUGAAAGAGUUUAAGAAACGGUAGUUUGAGCGAACAGAGAGUGAAAACUCAGAAUUGCGUGUUUUCUGCAGAAAAGGUCAGACUAGUAAAGAAAGAGGAACAUGAUUAUUUAUAAUAGAUUUUGAAGUAAAUUACAAUAAAGUCCUUGAUGUUAAACACUAAUUUAACAUCACUCCAUCAGUAUGAUAAAUAUACGGUUAUCAAUUUCCUUGGUUUAAUAGUUAACAAACUUUCGACGGGACAUAAAAAUCUUGAUUUUAAAUUAAAAAACAUUUUUAUGAGCUAUUCUCAUUAUAUAUAAUAUUAUAUUAUAAAAUACAUAAAUAUAUAAUAAGAUAUAUUGUUUGAUGUCUACGUGAAUAAUUUAUAUUUUUUAUAUAUAAAAUAAUAUAUGAAAUUAUUAUGCAAUCAAAAUUAAAAGAAAAUAUCACAUCUUUAAAUUUAAAUUUUGAAAAUACUUAAACUUAUCCUAUUAAAAUUAAUCAAAAUUCAAGAAAAAUUUGGAUGAGCAAAAAUCAAAUAAAUCAAUAGAAAAAUCUAAAUUCAAAAAUCUCAAAUAAGAUAUUUAUUUUUAUAAAAUUUCAUAUAAUCUUUUAAUAUUUUUUUAAUUUAAAAACACUCAUAUCACCUUUUUAAAUUUCAAAAAUACUUAUUAAUUUGAAAUAUAUAUAUAUAUAUAUAUAUGCAUCCUAAUUACCAUCCAAUAAUAAUAUUAUUUGCAACUUUUCUUUCUAAGUUUUUUUCAAGUAAUAUUUUUUUUUCAAUUCAUUUUUUCUUUUGAUAGACAUCUGCUAAUUGUUUUAAUAUUUUGUUCAACACUUUGAUUAAGAAUACAAGACUGAAGGUAUGUAAAUAUUUAUUUUAUGAUGUAAUUCAUCAUUCAAUAAUAUUUUUUUUACAAUCAUUAAAAGGAAAGAAAAAUCUAUAUAAUACUCUUUUACAUCUAAGUUUAUUUUAAAAAAAUUAAUUUUUUAUGAGAUAUCGAUUCUGUAUAUAAAUUUUAUAUUUUAUAAAUAUUGGAGACUUUGAUAUAAUUUUUUAAAUAAUAUUAAUUUAUAUAUAUUUAAAUAGAUAAAAUAAAUUAUGUAUUGUAUGAGUUGUAAGCUAACUUUAUAUAUAUAAAAAUAUACAUGAUCGUCCCAAGUUUUAGCAAUCACAUGAUAAAUACAUCUUUACAAAUCACAUCAAACUUUUAUUAGAAUUGAAGUUGUGAGUUUCUUUUACAUUCAAAUUGGAGUUAAGAACUUCUAUUUACAUUCAAAAUUUAAUUUUAUCAAAAUUUAAUAAAAAGCAAACUCCAAAUUUAGUUGAAAUUUGUAAUUUUAAAAUUUGGAUUGAAAUUUAUGAAUUUAAAGCUUUUAAGAAUUUACCUAUAAGUUCAUCAAAUUCACCCAAAUAUCAUUCAAAAUAUAUAUAUAUUUUUUUAAAUUUGAAGUAUGACAAUAGUGAUGAUAUGAAGCAAAACAAACAAUAAAACUGCAUUUUAAAUCUACCGUAACGUCGUUUCAAUGAGAUUACCAAUCGUUUUUUGUCUAAUCACACUAAACAAAGAAUUUAGAAAUCAAAAAACAAUGUAUCUCACCGCAAUUCAAAAAUCCCAGUAGAAGGAAGGAGGUUUAGAGGGCUUUUCCAUUCCCACCACUCCUACUGUUUCCAAAAAUACCUUUGCUUUAAUUUUUUUUCCUUUGAAAUUAAAAGAUACAAACUUCUCUUUUUAUUUUUUGUUUUUUAUUUUUAAAUUUUGUUUUAAAUAAAAAUUAAUUGUUAUUUUAAUAUAAAAAAUGUAUAUCUUUUAUCAAAUUUAAAAAAAAAAUGAUAAAGAUUUUUUUGCCUUUAUCCCACUGCUACGCUCAGUGACACUACAGCAACCGAAAGAACGCUCCUUGAAAAAACACAAAAGAACAAAAACAACAAUAAUGAAAACCAAAAAAUUAAAUUAUCUUAAUCAAAUAAUCACAGACGAAAACAAUGGAAAUGAGUUUUAAACCAAUAAAGUUUGAGAAAUUGAGCCGUAGACUGACCUAAAGGGGUGGUGGUUGAAAAACAGGGAAUCAAAUCCAAUAAUCGUGUGUUGUUUGGGAAAGAGCAUGAAAGGUCAAGACUAAUAACCCAUUGAGCACCUUGCUUCACGAAAAGUAUUUUCACUAAACUUACCUAAAGUCCUUGAUAUUUAGUACUAUUCAACUAAAUUAUUAGUAUGAUAAAUUUACAUCUCUAAAUAUUUAACAAUGAGAUAUGACAAAUAGAUCCCCACAUCAAGAUUCCGUAAGAAUUGGAGUUAAAAUGGGGACGUGCAUCACAUGUAAUUUAUGUUAUGCCAAAAAAACCCCCUCCUUCAUGGGAUAACAAGUAAGAACGAAACCAGCAUGUCUUUUUUUAACUUUAUUUCUUCUUUUUGACUUGAUACUCAAGUAUGCACUAAAUUUUUUAUACAAAAUAAAUAUAUAUCCUCUAUAUUUUAUUACAUGCAAAUAAAUUUAUAAUUUUUUAUUUUUAUUAUAAAUAAAUUCAUACAUUUUUUAAAUCACAUAAUUAAAUUUAUUUUCAUUAAAUGAGAUUAAUUAAAUCUAUUAAUUUUAGUCCAAACCUCAAAAACACACUCAAUUCACCUAUUUCAACCGAUCCAGACGAAAAUUAAAAACAAUUCCAACUCAAAUUAAUUAAAAUUCAAAUCAAUAUGAACUCAAAAUGAACAAAAUUAUUCAAAAUUAAAAUGAUCCAAAAAAUUAAUCCAAAAUAAUUGAGAGGUCGGUAUUAAAUUAAAUAUAAUUUUAAUUAAAAACAUUAAUUUAAUAAAAUAAUAAAUAUAACACAAAUAAAAUUUAUACUUAUCAUUUAUCGUUAAUCAUCUAUAAGGCACCUGCUAUGAGAUUGUUAUCUUAAUUUUUUUUUUUCUCAAUGAAAAUGAAAUUUAUACCAUCCUGAUAAAAACCACUUAAACAAAUAGGGAGGACACGCCACAUUCUCAUCUUCGGUUCAAUAAUUUAAGUAGGAAUGACAGGAUUAUCUUUCCAUCUGGUUUCCCCUUUGACUGGCUAAGAUUUCAUGUAGAAGAACAAUAGCUCUGGAGAACACUUUCCAAUGUUUGAUUGUAUUAUUUACGCUUUAUUCUUGUUUAAUUUGGUUUUUUACCUAUGUACUAAUUAUGUGAAAACGUUCAUGGUUUAUAGGCUCCAAGCGUUUUUGUUUAUAUUUUAUAUUUUGUUAUUUAAUUUAUUAUUUGAUAAUAUAUAUAUGUUUUGUUUUUAAAAAAUAUAUAUAUAUAAUUUAUUUGUAUUUGAUAUAAAUAUUAUUACAAAUAAAGAUGAUGUAAAAUAAAAAUAUAAUGUAAAGAAAAAAUAUAUCAUUUUUAUAUUUUUAAAAUAAUUUAUUUUUAUAAUAAAUCAAUCAAAUAUAAAUUUUUUAUAUAUUAUAAAUUUUAAAAUUUUAAAUAUAAUUUAAAAAAUAUUCAUUUAUAUAUAUACAUAAAAUAAAUAAAAUUACUUCGUACAUGAAUUACAAUCUAGUUGAUGAUACGAAGCAAAACAAACAACAAAGUUACAUUUGAAAUCGACUGCAACCUCGUGAGAUUGGCAAUUUUCUUUUGUUUUUUAAUACAAUCACACUAGACACAGCACUUAAUGAACAAGAUAGAGCAUGAUUGCACCAAAUAAUUCUCACGGCAAGUCAAACUAAAGCACAACUAAAGGACGGCCAGGUGGUCUCCAUUGUACGAUCCCUGGGUCUCGAUUGUGCACUUGUGCGCUGUGGCACAUGAUUUCUAUCGGUGAAGUAUUAUUUUUGAGUAAAUUAUACCAAAGUCCUUAUUUUUAACCACUGAUAUAGCAUCGCUCCAUCAGUACGAUACAUAUACAGUUCACGUUUCCUUUAUUCGACUAAGGAGCUCUUGUAAAAACACAAAACACUUGAAUUUCAAAUCAAAACUUUUUCUAUCUUCUCAUGAGCUAUCUAAUUAUUUGUGUUCAUAAAUUAAAAUAUUAAAAUAUAUAUUUCUAUUAUACUUUAUGUAAAUAUUAUGUUAUGAUUUAUACUAAUAAAAAUAUAAAAUAUAAAUUUUAAUUUUAUUAAAUUUAUAUAUAUUAUUAAAAUUUUAAAUUAUAUUAAUAUUUUAAAUUAAAUGAUAUAGCUGUCAAAUCCUUUAUAAAAAAAAUAUGCAUAGUCUUUUAAUGUUUUAGCCAUGACAUACUAGAUAAAUUUAGAUUUGAUAAUUUACAUAUUUUUAUCAUAUAAAUAGUAAAAAUUUAUAUAUUAAUAUUAUAUUUUAUAUAAAAAUUAACAUAUCAUAAUUCAUAUCGAUACAAAAAUCAUAAAAAUAUUUUUUAAUUUAUUAUAUAUUUAUGAUUUUUAUUAAAAUUUUAAAAUUUAUUAUUUUUUAUAUUUUUUAUUUACAUUAUUUUCAUGUGAUUAUUAUCCACUAUUAUAUUUUAAAAUUAUUUAAGUUUACAUAAAACCCUUAAAAAUCAUAUCAAAUUUUUACUAGAAUUGGAAUUAAUUCUAUUUACAUUUAUUAAAAAUUAUUAAAUGCACCCAUUUUUCAUUUAAAAAAAAAUCCAAUAAUUAUUAACUUUUAACAAUUACUUUUUUAGUAAAUAACAGGAAUUAUUUUUUACUUAUUCAAUGCACCAUAUGUACAUCCACAGUUUAAUAAAUUCUAAAUUCAUAAAUUUGAAAAUGUUGUGAAAUUGGAAUAUUUAUAUUUAUUUUUAAAUUUACAAAAGAAACAUUUUUAUCAUUCAUGAUUUUAUAAAAAAAAUUAAUAAAUUAAAAUUUAAUUUUAUCAAAAUUUAACUAAAAAAUAAACCUUAAAUUUAAUUGAAACUUAUAAUUUUGAAAUUUGGAUUGAAAUUUAUGAAUUUACAAAUAUAUAAGCUUUUAAAAAUUUAUCUGUAAGUUCAUCAAAUUUAUCUAAUAUCAUUCAACAUAUUUUUUAAUUCUUUUUUAAAUUGUGACGAAAUUGAUGAUAGAAGUAAAUCAAAUAAUAAGGCUGAAUUCAAAAUCCACAAGUGGAAUUCUAGGGGCAGUUGCUCUACUCAUCGUCCUUCAACACUUGAGGCUACAAGCUUUGAAAGUUUAAGUGACAUGGCUUCACGUGGGUUCGAGCAUGAAAGGCGAUGCUUGGGACGAGGGGCCCCUAACAUUCCUCAACUGAUAGAGCUCGAGGAAUUCAGCAGUAGAAUGAGUUAAAAGAAUGUUACUUGAGAGAAUGGAGAAUCAAAACCACUAAUUGUGUGUUGUCUGCAAACGAGCCCGAAAAGUAAAGACUACUAAAAAAUUGAAAAGCACAGCCAGCUGGUCUCCAUUGCCCCCCCCGGGUCUCGAGUUCUACGCUUGUGAGCUGUGGGCCAAUGGCACAUGAUUUCUGUCGGUAAGUUUUUCUUUUGUUCUGAGACCUUCCUCGAAAGUUAUUUUGAGCAUGAAUAAUUUAACGUUGGAUCGAAUUUUAUAAGAAAAGUAAAUUUUUUUAACAUUUAUUUUUUUAUUUAUAAGAUUAAAAAUUAAAAUUUUAUUUUAAAAAAAUUAAAUUUUUAAUCUUUCGAAUUAACAAACGUUAAAAACUAAUAUAAUAACACUCCAUCAAUAUGAUAAUUAUAUAGUUGUCGUCUCAUUUGUAUGGUCAUGGAGCUCUUAUAAAAACACACAGAACUCAUAGAUUUCAAAUCAUAACUUUUUUUUAUCAUGAGUUUUCUAAUUAUUUUAUAUAUUUACAUAUUAUAAAAUAUUAAAAUUUAUAUAUUUAUAUUAUUUUUAUAUAAAAAUUAUGUAUUAUAAUUAAUGUUGAUAAAAUAUAUAAAUUAUAUUUUUUAUUUUAUUAAAUCUAUAUUAUUUAUUAUUAACCAACAGAAUGUCAUUAUCAGUCACCUUUACUACAUGAUUCUAUUCACAUUCUUGCAUUAAAGUUUCAGACUUUAAUUCAAUACUGUCCCCACUCACUAGUCGCUUCACGUGAAAUAGAAAGAAGCCGCUUUUAAUGAACUCAUUGACGAUCAUUUGAAAUAUAUCAGGAAGAGGCAUCGUAAAGUAUUUUUAAUUGGCUAGAGUUAAAGGAAUGGACAAAAAGCAUGAUUUGUUACGUAACUGAGGAUGGUAGCCAUAGGAUGGAAAGAGUGGAACUUGCCCUGCAACUUCGCAAAAAAAAUUAAUGGUCAAACAAGAGUCCAAUCUUUAUAUAAAAAAAUAUGCGUCGUCCACCAACGUUUUAUCCAUGACAUGACGGAGACAGCCUUACAAAUCACAUCAAUUUUCUGUUAAAAAUUGGAAUUAAGAGUUUCUAUUUACAUUUAAAAAUUCUCUAUGCACCUAAUUUUUUUAUUUAAAAAAAUAAAAUAAUUAUUAACUUUUAACAAAUUAUUUUUUACUUAUUCCAUGGACCAUUUUAAUUCAUAAAUUCAUAAGAUUGUAAACAUUUUUAGAUUUGAAUAUUUAUAUUUUAAAUUUAUAAAAAAAUAUUUUUGUCAUUCAUGAUUACAUAAAAAAUUUAAUAAAUUUAAAAAUAAAACAUAUAGAUUUUUUUUACAAUUAAUGUGCAAAAGAAAAUGAUUAAAAAAAAGAUAGAGUUGCUAAAUUGAAAAUUAUAUAUACAUAUCAAUUUUCAGUUCUUGAUCAAUUUUAAAAUAUCUCAUUAUUAAGCUUUUUUGUAUGAAGAAGAACUAAUAUAUAAAUUUGAAGACUCUAAUGUAAUUUUGGAAAGAAUGCCAAUUUAUGUUUAAACAAAUAAAAUUAAUUCAUGCAUGGACAGAUAAUAAUAUAGUUAUGUUAUAUUUAUACUUGAUAAAAAUAUUAAAAGGCAUGAUCUAAAAACUUUGAAAGAAGUAGUUUUUAAAUAUAUUUUAUACAAUUUAAUUAAUUAAGAUGUUAAAAAUAGAAGUCAAGAAAGAAAUGUUGAUGAAAAAAUUAAAUAUGACUAUUUAAAUGGGAUGGAUGGAUUAUUCUUUUAAAUAACUUAUUUGAAAUAACAUUUUUUUACUUAAAUUUCGUGAAAGGAUUGAAAUAGAAGGGUUACGACGUUUUAAAAUAUAUCAACCAAAAUCCAAUCUUGUUAUUUUUUAGAAAGAUCUAUGACCACGAGGUUUUUUUGUAAUUUAAUUUAUUGUUAUUUAAAUAUACAGUAGAUUUAUUUAUAAUAAAAAAAAUAUUUUUAUAUCAGUAAAGGUAAUACAAAUUUAAUUAGAUGUAGAUCUUCAAAUGUUACACUUUAGGCAAAUACGCACACGAAACUAUAUAAAUAUAUAAAUAUAUAAAUAAAUAAAUAUUGUAUAAAUAUGAUAAGAGUAGAACUGAAAAAUUAAAGUUGAGUUUGAUAGUUUUUUUUUUUGUUUUUACCUUCUUUCUUCUUCAAAAUUUUAUUUCAAAGUCAAAGAAAAGUGUAAAAAAUAAAAUAUAAUUGAUUAAAAUAGACAUAUAAUUAAAAUAUACACCAAUUUAUAAUGUAAGAAAUUACAAAAGGUAUAAUCAUCAUUUUAUUUGCUAAAUAACUUACAGAUUUUAUAAUCUUAAAAAUAUUGAUUGAGUUUAGUCAAAUGCAUUUUUUUUUAUUAAAAUUUUAUUUAAAAAAAAAAUCUUUUACCUUGACCUUUACUUUUACUUUUAGUCAAAACCAAUAAAUGUGUCAGAGCAUGAAAAGCCAAGACUAUAAAAUGAAAAGCAUACCCAACUUGUCUCCAUUGCGUGCCCCUGGGUCUCCAAUUGUGCGUUUGCAGGCUGUGGGACGUGGUUCCCGUCGGAAAAGAAUGUUUUUACAAAAUUACACUAAAGUCCUUGACAUUUAGCACUAAUACAACAUCAAUCUAUUAGUAUAAAAUUUAAAAAUUUUAUUGAAAAAUUUUAUUUACACUCACAAAAAAAAUUUUUAGACACCAUUAUUAAAUACAUCCCACUUUCAAAAUAAAAAAUUUUAUUUAUUUUAUAAAUACACCCAUUCUAACAAAAUUACAGUUUGUUUCAUAUUCUUUUAACUUUCUUCUUUAUUUUUUCAUUUUCAAUCCAAAUUUAAUCCAAAUUUAACAUUAAAACCAUUAAAUUAUAGAUACAAUUUUGACAUGUUUGUUGAUUAAUUUAAUUUAAAUUAGUGCAAAAAUUAUGUAGAGUUUACAAUAAUAUUUCAUCAAAUUCAAGGUUUUUAAAAAUAAAUUUUCAAAAAAUUUUUAAAAUUAUUGAAAAUGGAUUUUUGAAAAUUUUUAAUUUUUGACUAUUAAUUUUCAAGAUCUUUAAAGAUUUCUCAAAAAUAAAUUUUUAAGUGUCUUUUAAAACUUUAAAAAUGAAUUUUUGAGACUUAUUCAAAAAUAAUUUCCAAAACUUAUUCUCAAAUAAAUUUUCAAGAGUUUUAAAAAAUUUUUUAAAAUAAAUUUUUGAAAGUUUUUUGAAACUUUCAAAAAUAAAUUUUUAAAAAUUUUAAAAGGUUAUUAGAAACUUAUCUUCAAAAGCUUUAAAGUUGAAGUGUAAGAAAAAUAAACUUAUUAUUUAUUGUAGAAUAAAAUUAAUAUUUUAUAUGUGAAUAUUUUAAAAUAUAUAUAUCGAAGAGUAAAAAAAAAAAAUUGAUGGUAUAUUUAUAAACACUUAAAAAAAUAUGCGUUGUCCUCGAACGUUUUAUUUAUGACGUGAUAGAUACACUUUAAAAAAAUCACAUCAAGUUUCUAUUAUAAUUAAGGUUAGAGCUUUUAUUUACAUUUAAAAACUCUCGAUGCAUCAAUUUUUUAUUUAAAAAAAUCCAAUAACUAUUAACUUUUAACAUAUUACAUUUUACUUCUUCAAUGCACCAUUUUUAAAUCCCAUCGAUUUACAAAUUCAUAAAUUCAUAAGUUUGCAAAAAUUUAUGGAAUUGAAUAUUUAUAAAUUUUUUAACUUUAAGAAGAAGCAUAUUUUAUCAUCCACGUUUUAUAAAAAAAUUUCAUAAAGUAAAUUUUAAUUUAAUCAAAAUUUAAGAAAAAACAAAUCCUAAAUUUAAUUGAAACUUGUAAUUUUGAAAUUUUGAUUAAAAUUUAUGAAUUUACAAAUUUAUAAGCUUUUAAAAAUUUAUUUGUAAACUCAUCAAAUUUAUCCAAUGUCAUUCAAAAUAUAUUUUUUAUUUUUAAAAAUUAUGAGACCAAAGUAUCUGUACAACAUACAACUUAGACUGAGAUUAAAGUAAAUUUAUCUAAAAAUAAGAUAGACUUAUUAUUGGUCUAAAUCCACACAUAAAUAAAGUGAACUGGAAUAAGAAUAUUGCGUUCACACUAACUGAAAAAGAAGAUUAUGAAUAUGAAAAAAAUUGUGGUCAAGUUUAUGAGUAAAUUAACAGAUUAUAUUUACAUGCAAAUUUCAUGAUUUUAAGCGUGAUUCUAACAAUACAAUUUAAAAGUUUUCAUGCCUAAAGGAUGUUAGUAGCCUAUAUAUUUUUUAUUAAUCUUUAGUAAAAAGGCAGGAUAUAAUUUGAUUUAUCCUUAGGCAAUCUUUAUGAUUGUUCUUCAAGUUUUGUAUCUCUUUGAUGGAUUUUUUAGAAUGAUAAACUUUUAUUGUUUUAUAUCUUUGAUUAGAAUUUUUAAGAUGGUAUUUUUGUAUCUCUUAAUUUUUAGCCUUAGUGAUAAAUUUUUAUCUCUUUUAAUCAAAUAAUUAUCUUUUAUCAUUAUUCAAAUCCUUAUGAGUUAUUUUUUUGUUAAUUUUUUUUAUUUACAGUUAACUUUUAUAUCUCAAACAUCAAUUCUCCACAUUAAAUUGUUACUAAAUUGAUGAUAUGAAUCAAAACAAAUAAUAAAACUGCAUUUGAAAUCCAUCGUAACCCAUUUCGUGAGAUUAACAAUCUUUUUGUAUAUAAUCACAUUGGACAGAGCAUUUGAAGAACAAGAAAUAGCAUGAUUACACCAAAUAAAUUUCACCGCAAUUUAAAAAUCCUUAGGGGGUCUAGUGGAUUUUUUUCAUUCCCACCGCUAUUUCUGUUUCUAAACACACACUUGCUUUAUUUAUUUAUUUAUUUACUUUUGAAACUAAAAUAUAUAAAUUUUUUUUCAUUUUUUGUUUUAUUUUUUAAACUUUAUUUUGAAAAAAAAAACUAAUUAUUAUUUAAAAUAUAAAAAAUUAUCUUUUAUCAAUUUUUUUAAACAAUGAAAACGAUCUUUCACCUUUGCCCCGCCACUACGUUCAGUGACCCCUAAACAUUCGAAAGUCACAAAAGAACGAAAGCUGCAAUACUGAAACCAAAAGUUGUAGUUAUCUUAAUCGAAUAAUCACAUAUGAAAACGGUGAAAAAGAGCUCAAACGAAUAAAGCUUGAGGAAUAAAGUAGCAGAACGAGUUAGUGGAACAGGGAAUCAAAACCAAUAACUGUGUAUUGUCCGUCUGCCAAAGAGCAUGAAAAAGAGCUCAAACGAAUAAAGCUUGAGGAAUAAAGUAGCAGAACAAGUUAGUGGAACAGGGAAUCAAAACCAAUAACUGUGUAUGUGUAUAUAUGUUAUGUUUAUGUUAUAAUUAUAUUAUUAAAUUUUAAUGAUGUAAUUUAAAAUAAAUCAUAUAAUAAGUUACAAUUAUACUAAAAUUCAAAAUAAUAAAUUAUUAAAUAAUUAGCUUCAAAUAUACUAAAAUGAUCAUUUAUAUUGUAGCUUAUUAUUAAUAUGAAAAAUGUGUAUUGUAAUUUAAAGUUUAAAAUACUAUUUAUAUAUUUAUAUUAAAUUAAAAUAAAUAUAAAAAUCUAUUAAAUAUGUCAAACUUGACAAAAUUGUUUUUUCAGUUUAAUAGGUGUACUCGUAUGAAACGAUUUAAUCAUUUUUUUUGUAUCUUACAUUUAUCAAAAUUUGUACUAACAUAACUAAACACUAUAUACAUUUUUCUAAAACCUAUAUAAUUUUUUUGUAUUAUAUUAUUGCGUUGUAUUUAAAUUUGUCAAGUUUAAUAAAAUCACAUAUUGUUUCAUUUGUGUAAAAAUUAACUUUAAUUAAAAGCAUACAAAUUGAAAUAUUUAUAUUUGUUUUUAAAAUAUUGUUUUUUUUUCACUUGUUAUCUUUUAGUAAAAUUAUAAUAAAAUCUAACUCAAAUUUUAUUAAUUUGAUAGUAAAAAUUAAUAAAUUUACUUGAAAUGAGCCGAACUCAAAUAGUUUAGAUGCUAAACCAAACUAUUUGAACUGAAAUAACCCAAAAUCGAAAUGAUCAAACCCAAAAUUAAUCCAUUUUUUAAAAUCCGAAAUAAUUUGAAAUUAAUUAGUUGAACUCAAACUUAGUUUGACCCAGCUAAUCAACAAAUCUAGACUAACUGCCAUUUGUAUUGCACAAUUGACAUACUGCAUACAUGAUGACAUGUAAAAUGAUAUCUACGUGGACUGAUUACAUGCCAUUUUGAUUGAAAAAAGCUUAAUUAUGCAAAUAUGCCCUUAAUUUUUCUAUACAAAAUAGAUAUAAGCUAUCGAUCUUCCAUUAUAUUUUAAAAUUAUUUUUGAAAAUUUUUAUUUUUGAAUAAAAUAAAAAAGCAUCAAAAUUAAAAAAAAUAGAAAAAAAAUAAAAACAAAUAGAAGAAAAUUGAGAAAGAGAUUAAAAUUUUUUCAUAAAUUAUAAAAAAUCUAAAUUUUAUAUUAAAAUUUUAUUUUUGAAAAAAUUCAAUAAAUAAUUUUUUUAUUUUUUCAAAUUUGAAAAAUUACAAAAUAGAAAAAUAAAAAUUUUGAAAAAUAUUUGUUUCAUAAAAAUUCAAAAAUAUUUGUUUUUUUUUCAAAAAUAAAAAUUUCACAUAAAAAAUAGAUUUUUAUUAAAAAAUCGAUUUUGUGUUAAAUUUUAUUUUUGAAAAAUAAGGAAAUAUUUUUACCUUAAAAUUUUUAUUUCUAAAUAAAAAUAAAAUUUUGAAAUAAGAAACUAAAAAAAAUUAAGAUAUUUUUCAUUUUCUGUAUAUUUAUAUUUUUAAUUUUUUCAAAAAUAAAAUUUUAACUUAAAAUUUGUAUAUUUUAAAUUUAUGAACAAAUUUAAUAUCUUUCAUGUUUUUUUUCUUCUUUUUUAUUUUCUUAUUUUUAAAAUUUUUAAAAUUUUUUACCUUUUGGUUUUUGUCAAAAAUAUAAAAAACAUAAAAAAUAAUUUUAAAAUACAAUAAAAGGACCAGAGUUUGUAUUCAUCCUAUGUAACAUGUUGAGAGUAUAUUUGCAUAAUUAAACUUUUUUAGUUAAAAUGAUAUGUCAUCAGUCCACUCGGAUAUCAUUUUACAUGUUAUCAUUCUCGUACAAUGUUAAUGGACAAUACUUACAUGAAAUUUGUACAAUGUUAAUGAACAAUACUUACAUGAAAUUUUAUAAGUAAAGUUUUUCAUUAGAAAUGAGUAAAUAAAAAAUUUUAAUAAAUUAUAUAGAUUAGAAAAUUUUAAUAUAAAAAAAUUAUUAAAAAUAUUAUUUAUAAUUCAAAUUUGAUUAAUACUUAUUUAAUGGUAAAAAUUAUAUCAAAAUUAUUAUUAAAAAUAUCUAUUUAAUAAAGAUAUCAAAAUUUAUUAAUUAUUUUAAUUUUAUAUAUUUAAUUUAUAUAAUAAAAUCUUUCAAGCUAUUAUUUUUUAAUUUUGAUUUAUUAAUUUUUAGUAAAAAAAUUUCAUAAAUUUCAUUGACAAAACUUCAUGUGAGUCUUUUUCUGAUGUCAAUUGUAUAAUACAAAAUGACUGUUAGUCUUACUUAAUUGAUUUAGACUUAAUUAUGUAAUUUUAAAAGUUUAUGAGUUUAUUUUUGACAAAAUAAAAAAUUAUAAAUAUAUUUACACGCAAUAAAAGUUAAAGAAUAUUUAUCUAUUUUGUACAAAAGAUUGAGCUUGGAUAUUAAAUAAUUCAAAAAAUGACUUAGCUUGGUUUAUCUCCCUCUCAGACAUCUUGGCUCUGCUCCUCUUAUAUUGUUUCUCAUCCCUUGUUGAACCAUCUUAUAUUUGACAACUACAGUCAAAUUUUUGUUUUGUUGUUGUUGAGUCUAUUUGGAUGAAUAAUAAAAUAAAAAAUAAUAAUAAAUGUAAGAUUGAUUAUUAUAAUGAUGUGUUUAAAAUCAAUAAUAAAAUAUAUAUUUAAAUGUAAAAGUAAUAAUAAUAAUAAUAAAAUGAACUGUAAUGAAAAAAUAAAAUGAUCAUUAAAAAUUAUAUAUAAUAAAAAUUUAAACUAUUUAUUAUUUAUAAGAUUAAUAAAUAAUUAAAAAAGUUAUUAAAUUGUUUUAAUAUCAAAUAAUAAUUUUAUUAAUAGAUAAUUAAUAAUUAAUAAAAAUAAUAAUAUUUCAAAUAAUGUUUUAUUGUAUAAAAUUAAUAAAACUAUUUCAAAAUUUUAAAUAACAAAUCAAAAUAAAAAAUAAAAAUAAAUUAUAAAGAUUUUUUUAUAUUUAUAUAUAACUUUAAGAGAAAAACAAAGAAAAAAAAAGUGUUAUUUGAGAUUGGUUGUGGAUUUUGGUUUGAAUUUGAUAGAGGAAAAGAAAAGACAAUGGUGGUAUAGAAUAAACCAAUCAACUGUUACUUUAAUAAUAUUAAAUUCGAUUUCAAAUUUAACGUCUCGAAUUAUAACUUCGAUGAUAAAAAAAUUGGACCAAUCACCUCAACCCAAACAAUAAUUUUCCCGACCAUGAAUUACAAUUUCCAAUUACAUUUUAUCCUCUGAAAAUUGGACCAAUCACCUCACUCGUUUUCAAUCUCCUUUCUGGCUAUCUCCAUUUUCCAAGCUUUACAUUUUAAAUUCCCAACGGCUUUUCAAAUAGCUUUUGAACUUAGAAAAAGAAAAUUCAUAAAUAAAAUUGAAGUAGUUUUGUUUGGUAAGACUCUCUAGCAGCCUGCCAGGUGAGAUGAGGACUGUAGCAUAUCCCUUAUUUCACGCCUAAAUGUCUAUAAAAUCCCUCUACAUUCUCCCAUAUUUCAAUUUUGCCGCUCUCCUCUCUCCCUUUCCUCCCGCCUACCGUUCUCCACAAUGGCCUCUGCAAUUCAGUCCUCUUCCCAGGUAUUUACACACUCAACUUUCUGCUUGUUUAUAUGGAUAAUAUAUAUAUAUAUAUAUAUAUAUAUAUAAAGAAAAACUGGGUUUUCUUUUUUGUACUUAUUUUUAUCUGAAAAAUAGUAAAGUGAUUGGAAAAGAACCCUUUUUUGUUAUAGAAUUAAUGAGCUUUUUUUGUUUAUUUUUCCAGGCUGUGUCUUCUGGGGAUGUUAACAAGGAAACCAAUUGUUUCAGUUAAUUCAAGCUCACCAGGUUUGUUUAAUUUUGUGUAUGUAAUAUUUAAAUGUCGUUGCUAUAUAUGUUUCCCUUCUUUUUUCUUUUUUAUAUUGUAGUUAAAUGGGGUUUGUAAGUUAUUGAAAUGAGACUGUUCUAUUUUCAGGAGAAGGCUGCUAUGCUUUCUCCGAUGGAGAAAAUUCGUACCGUGCUUGAUCAAAGCACGCGUGGCAUGCUUUCAACUUUUUCGCAGGUAUGUGAUCAUAUUACUAGUUGAUCAUUUAUGAUUUCGGGUUCAUUGAGCAUUAAGAGUAAUAGCAAGAUACCUUUGAUACUUGUUUACUCUUCAAAACAGAUUGUUUUAAUUGUAAGCUUGAGUUCUUGACUUUUGUCUGGUACUUUGUAUAUUAUCUUGUUGAGAGAAAAGAGAGCUACUUGAAAGGUGUUACUACUUCAUGAGUUUUAAAAGUGAAAGGUACUUUCCAAUCACUUGUGGCCUUGUAGGAUUUUUAUCAAUAAGUCUACCCUUUCUGUGGAGAUGAUUAGGAAUGAAGAAUUUUUAAGGAUUCGUGUUUUGCAGAUCAUAAUCUCAUCUGCUAGCAGAGAAUUCUAAAAAUGAGAAUUGAAUCUAUUAACCAUUGCACAUCUUCAAAAUGAAUAAUAACUUGAUCAACUAGCUGCAGAAGACUCCUAUAUUCUGAGCUUGCACAAGCUGUAGCUGAAUCUUGCAAAAUUUCCUCUUUUUUUUCAUCCUUCCUGGUUGCAGUUAUGGUGUCUUAGACCAUGCUGUUGUAAAGUUGAAUGAAUGCUGAUGCAACUAAUAUUUUCUAUAUAUAAACUAUAUGAUGGAAACAAGAUCUUUCAUAAUGUAGGGUCCUUUGGCACUAAUUGCGAAAGCCUUUGGAUGGAACUAAAAUGAUGAGUUAUAUGUGCUUGAACAACUCAUAGUAGGAUUUUUUGUUAGUUCAUAUGCAACUAAGAACUAGGAUCAACCUUUUGCUUGUUUGUCAGGUCAUCACAGUCAUCACUUAGACAUUUUUUUAGUUGUUGGCUCACGCAUUAGGAAAUUUUCUUCUUGUUCUCUUACUCAUUUUGGCUUCUUUUUUGUAUGCAGAAGCAUGAGGGCUAUCCAUCAGGGUUGAUGGUUGACUUUGCAUGUAAUGCCAAUGGAUAUCCAAUAUUAGCAGUCAGCAGCCUGGCGAUUCAUACAAAGGUUCUCACUUAGAUUUUGAAUUUUACGUGAACGAGUGCUUUGAAUUGGAAUCUAUUCAUCCAUUGCCCUGGCUCAGAGGAAUUAAGAGAAGGGGAUUGAAACAUCAAAAGGAUAUUGCAUAGAUGUUCAGAUUUUUCUUGUUCAUGGAGAUGGGGACCCAUAAAUUCCAAUCAUGUUAAAUAUUACGAUUUUAAAUUGAUAUUUUCAUUUUGCUAAAAUUUGACGAAGCCAUUGAUGACAGCCAGGAAAGGUCUAAUUUAUGCCUGUGUUCUUGUGAUUAGGAUUAGUUGCUUAUGUUCUAGUCACCAACCUGCAUUCAUUCUACCAUUUAGAAGUUUCUCCCUUCUUAAUUCUAUUGUCCUUUUUGACCUAAUGGAGAAGUUUUGUCCUUUUUCCCUAAUAAUUAUUAAAAAAUUGAUGCUUUUCACAGGACCUAUUGGCUAAUCCCCAAUGUUCAUUGCUUGUUGCAAGAGAUCCUGAUGAUGGCACUGAUUUAGUAAUCACCCUGCAUGGUGAUGCUAUUUCUGUAAGGUGUUUGUUAUUUCCAUUCUCCUGUUAUUCAUCUCUUAGGGGAUGCUGCUUUAAACUCAUUUGUGAGCUCUACAUCUUAUUAUUUAACAUCCUAAUUCUUUGGUGUUCUGAAGUAUUUGAAAUGAUGUAUUGAUCAAUUACAUAGGUAUCCAAAACAGAUCAAUUAGCCGUUCGAACUGCUUAUUUGGCUAAACACUGUAAUGCAUUCUGGGUAUUUGUCUCUCCUCCCCCUGCAUGUUAUGUCCCUUUGGAUGAAUCUUGUCACUAAUCUGUUUAGAUAGAGAACUCAGCAUAUACUUCCAUUGUGAAGGUUGACUUUGGUGACUUCCAAUUUAUGCGCAUUGAACCAAAGGUUGUGAGAUAUGUAUCAGGUGUUGCAACAGCUUUGCUAGGGUCAGGAGGUUUGUGCUCUGAUUACUUUUCUGUAUCAUAUCCUACAUUUCUUCCACCCUAUAAUCUUUUUGAAGAAUAUUAAUGGCUUCUGCAUACAAAAAAGAAGCCAAAAUGAGUAAGACAAGAAGAAGAAAAUUUCCUAAUGCGUGAGCCAACAACUAAAAAAAUGUCUAAGUGAUGACUGUCAUGACCUGGCAAACAAGCAAAAGGUUGAUCCUAGUUCUUAGUUGCAUAUGAACUAACAAAAAAAUCCUACUAUGAGUUGUUCAAGCACAUAUAACUCAUCAUUUUAGUUCCAUCCAAAGGCUUUCGCAAUUAGUGCCAAAGGACCAUACAUUAUGAAAGAUCUUGUUUCCAUCAUAUAGUUUAUAUAUAGAAAAUAUUAGUUGCAUCAGCAUUCAUUCAACUUUACAACAGCAUGGUCUAAGACACCAUAACUGCAACCAGGAAGGAUGAAAAAAAAGAGGAAAUUUUGCAAGAUUCAGCUACAGCUUGUGCAAGCUCGGAAUAUAGGAGUCUUCUGCAGCUAGUUGAUCAAGUUUUUAUUCAUUUUGAAGAUGUGCAAUGGUUAAUAGAUUCAAUUCUCAUUUUUAGAAUUCUCUGCUAGCAGAUGAGAUUAUGAUCUGCAAAAUUCAACUAAUUUUAUGAUCCCAUCACAAAAUUCAACUUCAAGAGUCAUCAGAUUCUGGAAACAUACUGAGGAUGGAACUAAAUUACUUUUUAAUUUGGGGCACCUUUUUUCAUGUAAAAUCCUUAGAUUUUGGAAUCCUUCCUCACCACCAACUCCUUCACUUUGGAAUACCAACUCUUUGAAGUAACAAUUAAAUAUUUCAAGCCUUCCGAGAUUGGGUAAGGAUAGUAAUUGGAACAGGUAAGAUGGGAAUACGGCUAAUUGUUGAGGAUACCGUACAAGUCGGAGAAUUUUUAGUUUGCAAAAGUAGUCCGAUGCAAGUAGUUGGCCAUGCAAUAUCUCCUUCAUCCCAUCAUUCCAUCCGAGCGCAAGUUGUUGUAGAUUUGGGAAUGCCAACUGCACAAUUCAUGCAAGUGUUAAUGGGACGGAGGAUGUGCUGUUAAAAGGGAUAAAAAAGAAUGAUUGUAAUGUGGAGGAAUAUCGAGAGAAAUUUUAAAAAGUAUAUUCUUAAUAUAAAAAGUGUAUCUUUUCUUACAGACUCGUAUAGACUUAUAUAGUAUUAGCUGAUUUGAGUUUGUUAUUAUUAGUAACGUAUUUUUUUUGUUAAAAAAAAUAGAUACAAUCAUUUUCUAACUUUUGAUACACAUCAAUUUUUACAAAAAUUUAGAAUUUAAAAAAUCUUUUAAUGCAUAUAACUUUACUGAAAAACUAGUAAAGUAUACACUUACAGAAAAAAUCAAAAUCUGACUAUUGAAAUUUAAAGAUACCUCUCCAGUUAAAUUAUAAGUCAAUCGGAAGCUAUACUAUCAAAUCAUAUAUUCUAUCUUUGUAAACAAAUUAGAAUAUUUUAUUUUUACAAAUAUAUGAAUACUUGACAUUUUCUUUUUAAUAUUUAUUAUGUUGCCAUUUUUUUUUUUCGAAACAUAUCAAUCUAUUUUUUAAAAUUUUGAUCUAAAGAUUAUUUAGGAUUUAAGAUUAAGGGGAGCUAAAUACACCCCAAUUUUUUUCUUCAUAUCCUAUUUUUUAAAAUGUUUUUAGGUAAAAUUAUUUAAUUAUAUUUUUUUUACAAAUUUUUGAAUAUUCAUAUUUGGUAAGUUACAUAAUUUUUUGAAAAUUUAUUUUUGGAAAGUUAUAUCAAAAUAAAUUUUUAAAAAGUUAUAUAACUUUUCAAAAAAUCAUAUAGCUUUUCGAAAAUUCAUUUUGGAUGUGAGAUAGUAAAAAUUUUUUUUUAAAAAUUACAAAAUAGAAAUUUUAUUAAAAACUAUUAUUAAUUAAUGUAAUGAAAAACUUAUUAUUGAAAAAUCAUAAAUUUUAAAAUUAAUAAAAAAAGUUCCUUUUACUAUUUUAACCAAAAAAAAAAAGAAAAUUUUAUGAAACUCUAAUUAAUAUUUUGUCUCUUGAUAUUACGAGAGAUGAUAAAAAAACUAUUAAGUCACAUUUGAAAGCUGAAACUCUUAAAAGUUGUACAAGUAAUAAUACUAAAUACGAUAUAAUUUGUCAAAAUCUUAUAUGCUAACUAUAAAAAUCCAUCGUGAUAAGUAAAUAGAAAGAUUUUUUCAAAAAUUUCAAUUAAGUUAAAAAAUGGUUUAUUAAAAAAAUAUGAAUUUUAAAUUUAUAAGAAAGUCAAAAUAAUGAAAUUAACUUUUUUAUUAAUUCUAAAAUUUAUGAUUGUUUCUAAUAAUAACUUUUUUAUUACACUAAUUAAAAUUUUUUUUAAUAAAAUUAUCUUUUUGUAAUUUUUCUUAAAUUUUCACUAUGUCAUCUUCCACAAAUGGAUUUUCAAAAAAUUAUAUAAUUUAUUGGAUAUGAAUAUCAAGAAACUUAUAAUAAAGUGUAAUUAAGUAAUUUCAUUUUAAAAAAGAUUUGAAAAAAAAAAAGCAUGUGAAAAGUAAAAAAAAAUGAUGCAUUAAUAUACCACUCUUUAAGAUUUAAGGGGCUAGAAAUCUCAUUAGCAAUUAGCAAUAUAAAUAGUUUACCCUCUAUUAGAUUGUUGAAAUCAAGAAUAAAUUCUUAAACUCGAAUGAUGUAAUUAAUAAUUAGGUGCUAUUUCUAUUAAAUAUAUAGUUUUACUUAUCAAUUUGUAAAUGAGUUUAAUUGUUUGAAACAAAUUGUAUUUUAUUUUUGUUUUACAAUGGAACGAAAUUUCUUAAUUACAUAAAAAAUUUUUUAAUUGAAUUUUUAGAUUUAGAAUUUAAAGUUUAAGGUUUUAAAGGUUUAAAUAAUUUAUAGAUAUGCAAAUAUAAUUUAUUAGAUAUGAAAAUUCAAAAUUUUAAUAAAAUGAUAUAUUAAAAAACAUAUAAUAAUAUUUAAUUGUAAGUUUAAAACUCCAUAAACAACGAACAAAAUAAUAAUUUUAAGUUUAUAUUAGAGCAAUAGAGGGAAGCAUUAAAAAAAAUACCUUCCCAUUGAAUAGGUAUUUUGAGACAUCCGUGUGACGGUUCUCCAUUGAGAUACUGCUCUUUCCUGCUUCAUUUCCAACAAUUGUUCCCACACUUAUAGAAUUAGAAUGGACUGUGUUCAAAACAGAACAUCUUUCUAUAUGCAGAUAUGUUAGAAAAGAGAAUUCAAUCAGAUUUCCAAAGCCAAAUCUUUUGAGCUUGGGAAGAUCCCUAAGCUUCAAGUGGUCUAAUUUAGGAAAAACCAUUUUCCUCAUCCUUUCUUCUUCUACUAAUCCUUCCGUCACUAUUAUUAUCUCUUCAAUUUCAUUACUCUCCCAAACAUAAAGUGUUUUCAGUUGCACAAAGCUUUCAACCACAUAAGAAGUAAAUAUGUUCUUUAAAUUAUGGCAUUUGUACACUCCCAACUUUGUUAAAUUUUGAACACCAAAAGAAGUUACUGAAAGUUGCUCAUGCCAUAGUUUUUUAGCUACGAUUAAGCCUAGAUGCAACUCUUUUAAGUCUGGGAACACAACCUGCAAAUAAAAGUAAAGUUUUGACAAUCAACGAUUCCUUAUUAUUCCAAUAUUAAAAGAAUUAAUAAUGAUUUCCAACAUUGACUUGAAAUGACAUAUUGAUCAAUAUAGGUAUCCGAAAAAGAUCAAGCAGCCGUUCCAACUGCUUAUUUGGCUAAACACCCUAAUGCAUUUUGGGUAUUUGUGUCUCUCCUCCCCCUGCAUGUUAUGUCCUUUAGAUAAACGUUGUCACUAAUCUGUUUAGAUAGAGAAGUCAGCGUAUACUUCCAUUGUGAAGGUUGACUUCGGUGACUUCCAAUUUAUGCGCGUUGAACCAAACGUUGUGAGAUACGUAUCAGGUGUUGCUACAGCUUUGCUAGGUCAGGAGGUUUGUGCUUUGAUUACUUUUCUGUAUCAUAGCCUACAUUUCUUCUACCCUAUUAUCUUUCUGAAGAAUAUUAAUGUUGCCCACCUCAUUUAGGACAUGGCACUAGUGGUGCUUUUGCUGCUGCCUUUCACCCAUUUCAUUUGUUGUUUUCAGCAGCUCUUAUGGAUUUGUUUGUGGUGCUAUUCCUCUCUCCUAACCAUCUUCUCCUUUGUUUUUAUUUUUUAUCUUAUGUCAUUUUGUAUUUUUUAUUUUUUUAGAGUUCACCAGAGAGGAGUACCAGCAUUCAAAAGUUGAUCCAAUGGCUCAAUUCUCUAAGCCUAUCGUGGUAUUAUGGCUGUUCAUUUUCCCGUACAGCAUUUCAAUUGUUCAUUAGAAUUUCCUUUUGUUGUACUUCUUAUUGAUGCAUCUUUCUUUUCAGUCUCACCUGAAUAAGGAUCAUGCUGAAGACACAAAAGUCAUCAUGCAAUACUCACCAUCAAUCCCGGUAAUUAGAAAUAUUAACUUUUAACACUAUAUUUUAUAGGAAAUGGAAAAUUUUAAACAUAUUGUAUUCAAGAGACAAGUCAGCUAGCCCUUACCGGUUAAGGUGGAAAAUUGUAGAACAUGCCUUAAUAGCUAAUUCUAGACCCAGAACUAAAAUCAGAGUAAGAGAAAUUAAUAGUUUAUGCUGAAUAUUUUCAUUAGGUACUAUUCAUAGUUUUACAAAGUUGGCUAAAAUUGUUGAAUUUAUCAGUCUCUCAGUUCAAGCUGCAAUGUGUACUGAAAUCUGCCCGAAUUUUUCUUCAAUCCAAAGUGCAUUAGUUUUCUAAUAAUCUUGAAAAUCCUGAAAACUGAAUCUUUAUCUAGAAGAUCCAAUGUUAUAUAUCAGCUUUAAUCUAAGUUUACAUUUUCAGACAAAAUUGCCCCAUCUUUCUUUUGGAGACCAAUGACUGUUUCCCCCGCAUCACAAAACUGCUAAUCUUUUCAAUGAUAAAAUUAGAAAGCUUCUCGCCAGCUGUAAUUUUAACAUAUCUUGUUAUGAAUUUUUUUUUUUCUUUUUCCUAGCUAAUUUGUGUCUUUCUCCUGGUGAACUAUCCUUGCAUGCUGGAUUUGGAUAGUCUUGGAUUCAAUGUCAAAGGUUCUGAAAACUUUAACCUUUUAUAUUGAAUCUUAAUGUUAUUGGGCUAAUGGAAAGUAAUUUUGGCCAAUACUUGGAAAUUAACUAAUAUCGAAAUUCCCUUCACCGUUGCCUUGUGAAUCAAUUUUUACUGUAUGCAAAUUCUUGCUAUAUGAAAAUUUUCACUCUCUUUCCCUGCAGGCUGGUUAUCAGGAAAUCUUUCAAGCUUCGAAUUCCUACUCCUAGACGUGCAGAAGAUAGAAAGUGAGAUAUCUUUUAUCAAAGAUUUUCUAGUCUCUGAAGAAACUUUCCUGAUAUUUUUACUUUGUCAUCUGUUGUUAAUUAUUGGUUUUACUUUUUAUAUAAGGCAUCUUCUAUGAGAUUCUCAUCUUAAUUUCUUUUUCUCAAUGAAAAUGAAUUUAUACCUUCUUGGCAGAAGCCACUGAAACAAACGGGGAGGACAAGGCACAUUUCAAUAAUUUAAGUAGGAAUGACAGGAUCGUCUUUCUAUCUGGGUUCUCCUCUCUGACUGGUUAAGGCUUCAUGUAGAAGAACAGUAGCUCAGGGGAACACUUUGCAAUGUUUGACUGUGUUAUAUGCAUUUUAUUCUUGUUCAAUCUGGGUUUUUAUGUAUGUUUUAGGGACGUGAAAACCCUUGUAGACACCCAAUUUGGUCCAGACCCGAAUCAAUUGGGCUUGGCCCAAAUGGGUAAGCUCAAUUUGGUUCUUAUUUUGUAUUUUUUUUUCUUUUGUAUUUUAUGUAUUUUAUUAUUUAUUUAUUAUUACUAUAUAUUAAUAUAUGUAUAUCUUUAUUUAUUUUUUUUCUGUUAAUAUUUAUAUGUAUUUUAUUUAUAUAGUUAUAUAUUUAUUAUUAUAUUAUAAUUUAUUUAUUAUUAUUAUUAUUUUUUAUCUUGUAAUAUUUUUUGGAUUUAUCUUAUUUUAUUUUUAAUUAUCUGUUAAUUUUUUUUAUUUAUUCGUUUAUCUGAUUUUUUUCGUUUAUCUGAUUAUUAUUAUCAUUUUUUUUUUGGGUCUGUGAUUGAAGGCUGAAGAAUCCUACUGUAAAUGAGGAUUUAAUCAGAAGAGUCCAUAUUGGAUUCAAAGAUUGAAUCCCUGUCCAAAGAGGAAUUGGGAUUGAUCAGGAACUCCUGAUCAAUCCCUAUAAAAAGGACCGUCUGGAACAGAAGCAAGACACAGAAAAAACAGUAAGCAAAGCUACUGAUUUGAGAGAAAAGGGGCGUAUAGAGAGCUAAGAAAAGGUUUAGAAGUGUUAUGGGAAUUAGUAGAAAUUUUUUGAAGAUUUUUGGCGUUUUUUUUUGGGAAUUUCUGGAAAAUUCCAGAUUUCGGUUGAAUUUUCCGACGAACGUUGUGUUUUUCGAUGAAAAUUUCGGCCAACCUUGAAGUUUUCGGCUAGCUGGCCAGUUUUCGACGAAGAAUCCCAGAAAUCGAUGAACUUUCGGUGAACUUCCGGCGAAAAGCCCAGAUUUCGAUGAAAAUCUCAGAAUUCGGUGAAUCUUCAAUCGGAGUUCUUCGGUUUUUUAGAGAGAAGCAAGAGGAAAAAGGAAGAAGAGAGAGAGAAGGAAGGAGCUUUCUGUCGAAAAACAGAGGGAAGAGCCUUAUAUACCCUCUCAAAAUGAUAUCAUUUUUGCCUUAAGUGACCCGGAGGAUCCGCGCAUUUUACCGAGAUCUGACCCGACCCGAGCGUCGACCCCCUUCCUGACCCGCGCGUGUCUUCCCCCCUCCGAGUCGAGCCGAGCUCCGAAGCCGCUUCUCCGAGCCGUUUUCUCUUCCUUGAGCCAAGCCGUACACCGAGCCGCUCCAGGUUUUUUUUUUGAAUUUAUUUAUUUAUUUAUUUAUUCUGAAUUUUAUUUAUUUAUUUAUUUAUUUAUUUUUGAAUUUAUUUAUUUUUUUAUUUAUUAGAUUAGGUUUAUUUAAUAUUCUUUUUAUCUUUAUUUUAUUUUUAUUUUUUUGUUUCACUUUUCUUUUUUUUAAUUUUUUAUUUUGUUUUAUUAUUCUAUUUUCUUUAAAUAAAAAUAUAAAAAAAUAUUUUUGGGAAAAAGUUGAAAGUAUCAAUUUUUCUUAAAAAUAAAUUUUCAAAAAAAAUAUUUUUGAAGAAAAGUUGAAAGUAUCAAUUUUUCUUAAUAAUAAAAUUUAAAAAAAAAAGGUUUUUGAGGAAAAGUUGAAAGUAUCAAUUUUCCUUAAAAAUAAAUUUUUUUAAAAAAAAAUUUUGAGAAAAAGUUGAAAGUAUCAAUUUUUCUUAAAAAUAAAUUUUCAAAAAAUAUUUUUGAGGAAAAGUUGAAAGUAUCAAUUUUCCUUAAAAAUAAAUUUCCAAAAAAAAUAUUUUUGGGGAAAAGUUGAAAGUAUCAAUUUUCCUUAAGAAUAAAUUUUCAAAAAAUAUUUUUGGGGAAAAGUUGAAAGCAUCAAUUUUCCUUAAAAAUAAAAUUUCAAAAAAAGGAUUUUUGAGGAAAAGUUGAAAGUAUCAAUUUUUCUCGAAAUUAAAGUUUCAAAAGAAUAUUUUUAGGAAAAAGUUGAAAGUAUCAAUUUUUCUUACACAAGAACAAUCAUCCUUUCCUUCCUUUCUAUUUUGGUUUUUUUUUUUUAAUUUUUCUUUAAAUAAUCCGACGAUGGAGCCUCUGCAAGUGAAACAGUAGUUUUUUUUGCAUACUCUUGAGGUGAGGGAAUUUUCUCAAUUUUUUGCUAAAAGUAUUAGAGUCAAUUGAGAAUAAUUUCCAACAAUUAAUUACUUGAUAAAAUUUUAAGGCUUUUUGGAUAACACAAAUUUAAGCUGGUACCAUCUUUUGAUGGGUGUUGUGAGGGUGCUAUAACCUUCCUCACACGUAAUCGAACUCCCGCACUCUGUUCUGGUUAGUAGACCUGAACCUAUUCUUUUAGGGACCCUUAAACUUAGGUGUUCCUUGAAAGGACAGAUUCCUUAGGUGGCCAAUCGCACCUAGAUAAAAAAGGUUGGUGGUGACUCCUAAAAGUCAAUGUCAAGUGAUAGAUCCCCGGAUCUAAACAUUAUGAUAGCUUGGCGACUCCACUGGGGACUUUGAGAGUCAGGCCAGCAAAUAAUUUGUGUUAUCCAAAAGCCUAAUAAAAUUGAACCUUGUUGUAUAUAUGUGUUAUUAUUCAUUUAUGUUUAUUUAUCUUGUUAAUUAUGUCAUUCAUAUGCAUGUGCAUAACAUGAGCUCUAUACCCGAGCUUCGUCCCUCUAGGAGGGAGUAAAGUUCCUAUUGCUUUUGUGAGGUCUAAUGCCUUCGCAGUGGCUAGCGAAAUACUCCCAGUCAAAUUGAACCUUUUUCGCUUGUAGCCUGUAAUGGGUGAGGAUUAGGGUGCCUUACUAGUCUGUGAUGGACAAGGAUGUAAGGAACAAUUUGAGGACCUUUAGACUUUGACCUUAAAAUCGCAUAUAGUGAACCUUAAGAGUGCCUAAGCCUAGGAUAGAGCCCUUUCUACCCAAUUAUAGAUAUACCCUGAAAUUAAGACACAAAAGGGUGUUUAUCUAAUCAUUUUGAUUAUUUAACUUUGUGUAUCAUUUUCAUUAUCAUAUGUAACAUUAUGCAUCAGCAUCACUUUCAUUUCAUCAGUGGAACUAACUAUGUUGUUUGUCUGAUCGUAUGCAUAUGCAUUAUUUUCAUGAUCAUGUUUUAACACAAUCAUUUGCAUCCAUUUCAUACUAGAUUUCAUUCAGGAAAAUGUAUAUUUCAUUCGUGCAUCAAAGCAUCAUACAUAAAGCAUAGCAUAACAUUUCUAAUCAUAAGUAUGGUACUCAACGUUCCAGGAUAGCUCCAUCUAGCGAACACCCUGCCCAUCGAUACAACACAAGAUACAGAGCAAGGUAAAUGGAGCAAAAAAAUUCCCAUAGAUUUGAAAAGAUAGAAAAGGCACAAGAGAAGAUUGAAAGUGAACUAAGCAAGAUUCUGGAGGCUCUUAAUAACAUGAAUAAAGGAAAAGAAGUUGAAGAAAAUACAAGCCAGCAAGUUCCUCCACUAUAAGAAGUGGCUGACCCUUUGUACCCUCCAGAUUUUAGCCCACCUCAAGUCCAGUCUGCUCAAGAGGUCCCGCCACAACACUUCGCAUAUCCAACGUAUCCUGGAAUGCCAUCAAUUUUCAACCCAGGACAGUACAAUAGCUAUGUAAAUCCUGUCUUCACUGAAAAAGUAGCAGAACCAAUUCCUGAUCUAGAUGACUUAAAAGAGAAGGAGAAAAAAAAGAUGAGAGUGGAAGUUCAGGAAAGCUCUAAGAUUAGCAUGCUAGAGCAAAGGCUACGGGCUGUGGAAGGAUUUAGCUUUUAUGGGUCGAUUGAUGCUGCUGGGCUCUGCUUAGUUCCUGAUGUGGUUAUCCCCUAUAAGUUCAAAGUAUCAAAAUUUAAAAAAUAUGACGGUACAAAAUGCCCCAAAACCCACAUCACUAUGUAUUGCAGGAAGAUGGCAGCUCAUGCGCAUGAUGAAAAACUAUUGAUGCAUGUUUUUAAGGACAGUCUUACUGGCUCUGCGGCCAGAUGGUAUGUUCAGCUGGACAGAACUCGUAUUCGCUCUUGGAGCGAUAUGGCACAUGACUUUAUUGGUCAGUAUCGACAUAUCAUCGAUUUGGCCCCUGAUCGUUUGUCUUUAUAGAAUCUGGAAAAAAAAGGUAAAUGAGUCUUUUAAAGAGUAUGCCCAGAGGUGGAGGGAUGUUGCUUCUCAAGUACAACCUUCUCUGACCAAGAAAGAAACUACAGUGUUGUUUGUUAGCACUUUGAAGUCUUCCUAUUAUGAAAAGAUGAUAGGAAAUGCAACAAAAAAUUUUACUGAUAUGGUAAUCUCGAGAGAAAUCAUUGAGAGUGCCAUCAAGAAUGACAAGCUAGAAAGAAAUGAAGCAUCUAGCAAAAAAGUCCCGAAGAAAAAAAAAACUGAAGCUCAGGCUAUGAGCUUUGAUAGACAGCAACUUAGAGGUUAUUCACCCUAUCCACCACUAGAAUAUCUGCCAUAUCACCCCGCUGUAAAUAACACUUCCUUUCACCUGUAUCAACCAUUUACACAAUCAACAUACCCCCAAACAUAUCAAACCGUCAUAGACCCAAAAUACCUGUACAAUCCUAACAUUCAUCUACCCCAAGACCUAAAUCGCCGCAAACUUAAACCAUUAGUGGCUCGCGGAGUAACGAACUACUCGUGAGAAACCUAUUUUUGACGCAAUUCGAAUGACUUAAAUGAAUUAUAUAAAGAGCUUAACAACAAUCUUUUGAUGCUCCAAGUAAAUUGGAACCAUUUCAAGCACCUAUACCCUAAGUGGUAUGUCACACUGCCACACUGUUGAUACCAUUAUGGAUUGUUGAUCAUUCAAAAUGCAUCUACUCUGAAACACAAAAGUGGCAACGGUUAAUUUCAAGUGAUGGGAUGAUCUUCUUUGAUACUGGAGGGAUGACUGCACCGAAUGUUAGUGGCAAUCCUUUGUCGAAUCAUAAUGUGAAUGCUAUAGGUGAAGAACAGGAGUGCCAUGUGAAGAAAGAAGUAGUAGAUAUUAAGACACCUCUCGGUCAACUAUUCGAUGUUUUACGAAGAGCAGACAUGAUACAACUGGUAAGUCCACAUAGCUAUCAUGAAACAUAUAUAGCUGGUACUAGUUGUAAAUAUCAUAAUGGGGCAAUGGGCCAUUCCAUUGAGACCUGUGAGCAGUUUCACCAAAAGGUGCAAAAACUUUUGGAUUCACAUCAGAUGAAGGUUUAUGAAUAAAGAGAAGACUUGAAGAAUGCUGAGGUGUACAUGAUUGAUAGGCCUGUAAAGCUGUUUCCAAAACCAGUGACAAUUCAGUGUGGGAACAAACCAAAAUCAGUCAUAGAUAAACUCCUCCCCAGGUUGGUAACUUUUAAAGUCUUGACUCUUUUUCCAUAUAAAGAUGAUAAAGCUGUAUCCUGGAGAUAUGGUUGUGACACUGUAGUUCAGGGGCAGAAAGAAGAGGUCUCCAAAGUCGAUGCUUCCAAUAUAACUGGUGUAGGAGGUAUUACUCGAAGUAGGAGAUGUUACACUUCAGAAAUGCUAGAGAAGGCCAGAAGGGAAAAAGUUAAAGAAAGAGAAAGACAGAACAAUCCUGAGAUAGAACCUGAAGAAGAUCAACCGAAGCCAGUAUCAGAAAGAGAGGUUUAUGAAUUCUUGAAGCUGGUAAAACAUAGUGAGUAUUCUGUUGUGAAACAGUUGAAUAAAAUGCCAGCUCGAAUCUCAUUAUUAUCAUUGCUGCUAAACUCAGAGCCACACCGAAACGCCCUUCUAAAAGUGUUGAAUCAGGCAUACGUGGCACAUAACGUAUCUGUUGAAUAUGUGAACAACCUGGCUGGAAAUCUAGUCAUGCCAAAUCACAUUUCAUUCAGCGAUGAUGAGAUUCUUUUGAAAGAAAAAAGAAAUGCCAAGGCUUUGCAUAUCACAGUCAAGUGUAAGAGCCAUAUCAUAGCUAAGGUCCUUAUCGAUAAUGGCUCUGCCAUCAAUGUCAUACCUAUGUCAACUUUGACAAGGCUACCCAUUGAUUACUCUUACAUGAAAGACAGCUAGAUGAUUGUGAGAGCCUUUGAUAGGACUAGAAGAGAAGUUCUAAGAGAUAUUGAGAUGCCCUUACAAAUUAGGCCGUACACCUUCAAUGUAAAAUUUCAAGUGAUGGAUAUCUCUCCAUCCUAUAGCUGUCUGUUAGGAAGAUCAUGGAUUCACAUGACAGGAGCUAUGCCCUCUAUUUUGUAUCAGAAGAUCAAGUUUAAUGUGGAAGGUCAAUUAGUAGUGGUAGUUAGGGAAGAAGAUAUGUUAGUGACCUAACUAUUGAACACUUCAUAUGUAGAGGCUACUAAAGAAGCAUUAGAAUGCUCCUAUUGAUCUUUUGAAUUGGUUAAUUCUGUAGGAGAAUGAUUUUAAAAUUAGUCUUUUUCAAAGAUAGUGGUGAGCCAAGUCAUCAACAAAGGCUGGUAUCCAGGACUUAGGCUAGGCAAAAAUUUAUAGAAGAUUAAAGAACCUCCGACAAUAAUAGACAAUAGAGAUAGGGUAGGCCUAGGCUAUGAGAUGGCAGAGUGAGAAGUUAAAAGAAGGCCAUCAAGACUGAUGUUUAUCCCACACUUGUAUGAAACCUUCAGACCUGAAGGAUUCAUGUACCCAAAUACAAGAAAAAGUGUGAAAGACGCUUUUGCUCAGUUAGCCAUUAAUGCUGUUGAAGAUGAAGUGGGGCUUAAUCAAGAGGAGUGGGUUCAUUUUUGUCCACCAGAUUAUGAACUGAACAAUUAGAGUGCUAUCGAAAUGCCUCUGACUUUUGAUUUUGAUACAAUGUAAUUGUAACAUCUCAAUAGCUUUUGCCCAAGGCUAUGGGGUGAUCUUUUUUGUUUGGGCCAUUUGUCUUUUAUUAUUUUUAAUAAAAAAUAAAAAAAAUACAUUUUCAUUCAUUUCUUUUUGUGUCUUCAUUAUUUCCAUCUUUCCAAGCACAUCUUGUCAACAUAUCCCAUUUCAUUCAAUUUUCAGGUCUUUAAAUAAACAUGAAGAUAAUCAUGAUAACAAUCAAGAGGUUGGCUUUGAGAAUUCAAUUAAUACUGAUGAACUUGAUAAUGAAGAGAAUUCUGAAAAAUAUGUUAUGCCUCCGGACCUAAUGAGGAUGAUUGAACAAGAGAAUAAGCCAAUUGAGUCUCAUCAGGAGGUAGUGGACUUAGUGAAUCUGGAAGAUGAAAAAAAAUAAGAAAGAGGUUAGAAUGGGCACUUCACUUUCAUCUGAAGAUAGGCAACGAUUGGCAGACCUACUUCAAAAAUUUGUAGAUAUAUUUGCUUGGUCUUAUCAGGAUAUGCCAGGGCUGAGCACAGAGAUAGUGAAGCACAGAUUACCCCUAAAGCCAGAAUGUAAGCCAGUUCAACAGAAAUUGAGACGGAUGAAGCCUAAAAUACUGCUAAAGAUUAAAGAAGAGGUGAAAAAAUAAUUUGAUGCAGAUUUUUUACAAGUGGCUAAGUAUCCAGAAUGGGUAGCCAAUAUAGUCUCGGUUCCUGAGAAAGAUGAAAAAGUACGAAUGUGUGUGGACUAUCGAGAUUUGAAUAAGGCUAGCCCAAAGGAUAACUUUCCUUUGCCUCAUAUCGAUACACUGGUAGACAACACAGCUAAACAUUCAAUUUUCUCUUUUAUGGAUGGUUUCUCGAGGUAUAAUCAGAUAAAAAUGGCUGUAAAUAAUAUGGAAAAGACUACUUUUGUGACCAUGUGGGGAACUUUUUGUUACAAAGUCAUGCCUUUUGGGUUAAAGAAUGCUAGGGCAACAUAUCAGAGGGCCAUGGUAACACUCUUCCAUGACAUGAUGCACAAAGAGAAUGAGGUGUAUGUAGAUGAUAUGAUUGCAAAGUCUUGUGAGGAUGAAGAUCAUGUCACUAGCCUCAGAAAAUUAUUUGAGAGGCUGAAAAAAUUUCAGCUAAAAUUAAAUCCAGCCAAGUGCACAUUUGGGGUAAAGUCAGGGAAAUUGCUAGGCUUUGUGGUCAGUGAAAGAGGAAUUGAAGUCGAUCCCGAUAAGAUACAGGCCAUCCAAAAUUUGUCACCUCCUAGCUCACCAAAAGAAGUUUGAGGUUUUCUGGAGAGAUUGAACUACAUUUCUCGGUUCAUCUCUCAGCUUACUUACAAAUGUGAUCCCAUAUUUAAGCUUCUCCGUAAAGAUAAUCCUGGAAAAUGGAAUGAAGAAUGUCAAGAGGCGUUUGAUAAAAUUAAGCAAUAUUUAUCAAACCCUCUAGUAUUGGUGCCACCUAUUUCAGAAAAACCUUUAAUUCUAUACUUAAUUGUAUAUAAAAAUUCAAUGGGAUAUGUACUGGGGCAGCAAGAUGAGGCUAGCCGAAAGGAGAGAGCUAUUUACUAUCUGAGUAAAAAGUUUACGAAAUAUGAAUCCAAGUAUUCUUCAUUGGAGAAAAUAUGUUGUGCAUUAGUGUGGACUGCCAAAAGACUCAGACAGUAUAUGCUCUAUCACACUACGUGGCUCAUAGUAAAACUAGAUCCAAUUAAGUACAUCUUCGAGAAGCCUUCUUUGUCAGGGAGAAUUGCUAGAUGAAAAGUAAUACUCUCAUAAUAUGAUAUUAUAUAUGUGAGCCAAAAAGUAAUAAAAGGGGGCGCUAUAGCAGAAUUUCUUACAAAUCGUGCUACUAAAGAGUAUGAGCCAAUGAAGCUAAAAUUCCCUGAUGAAAACUUAAUGACUAUUUUUCAACUGGAGGAAAGGGAGCAUGAAGAAAAAUGUUGGAGAAUGUACUUUGAUGAAGCUGCUAAUGCCUUGGAGCAUGAAAUUGAGGUAAUUUUGAUCUCUCCAGAAGAAUAAUACUACCCUGUAACAGUAAGGUUAAAUUUCAAUUGCACAAAUAACAUCGCUGAAUAUGAGGCAUGUGUCAUGAGCUUACAAGCUGCUAUAGAUAGAGGAGUGAAGGCACUAAAAGUGUUUGGAGACUCAGCUCUAGUUAUAUAUCAGUUGAAAGGAGAAUGGGAGACGAGAGACUCAAAACUCGUUUCAUAUCAUAAGUAUAUUCUAGAGCUGACGAAAUAAUUUGAAGAUAUCCAAUUUGAUCACUUACCUCGAGAAGAGAAUUUGAUUGCCGAUGCAUUGGCUACUCUGGCUGCGAUGAUUCGAAUUAAUGAUAAUACCCACAUUCAGCCCAUCAAGUUAGAUGUUAAAGAUAUACCAACUUAUUAUUCUAAUCUAGAGGGAGAAGAAGAAGAUGGAAAGCCUUGGUAUUAUGACAUCUUACAGUAUGUCAAGGAUCAGCAGUAUCCAGUUCAAGCGAUAGAAAAUGAUAAAAGGGUCAUCCAAAGAUUAGCUAUGAGCUUUUUCCUGGAUGGGGAUAUCCUGUAUAAAAGAAGCAAGGAUCAAGUAUUAUUGAGGUGCGUAAUAAGACUGAAGCGAAGAAAAUCAUUAAAGAGGUGCAUGAUAGAAUAUGUGGGGCACAUACUAGUGAACAUAUGAUGGCAAGACAGAUUAUGAGAGCGGGAUAUUACUGGUUGACGAUAGAGAAUGAUUGCAUUGAUUAUGCUCGUAAAUGCCAUAAAUGCCAGAUAUAUGCUGAUAAGAUUCAUGCUCCGUCAUCUGCUUUACAUGUUAUGGCACCACCAUGGCCAUUUUCAAUGUGGGGCAUGGAUGUCAUUGGUCCAAUCACCCCAAAGGCUUUUAACGGGCACAGAUUCAUUUUUGUGAUGAUAGAUUACUUCACAAAAUGGGUAGAUACAGCAUCAUAUGCAAAUGUGACAUGCUCUGUAGUUUACAAGUUCAUAAAAAAAGAGAUCAUCUGUAGAUAUAGACUUUCAAAGAGAAUUAUUUUCGAUAAUGCCAAGAAUCUAAAUAGUAAGAUGAUGUAAGAAGUAUGUGCUCAAUACAAGAUCAGGCAUCAUAACUCGGUACCAUACCAUCCGAAAAUGAAUGGGACAGUUGAGGCAGCCAAUAAGAACAUAAAGAGAAUUUUAGAAAAGAUGAUCGAGACUUACAAAGAUUGGCAUGAGAAGUUGCCAUUUGCAUUGCAUGCAUAUUAAACGUCAGUUCAUACCUCUACUGGGGCAACCCUAUUUUUCUUGGUUUAUGGGAUGGAAGCUGUACUACCAGUGGAAGUAGAGAUCCCCUCUUUGAGAGUCUUAAAAGAAGUUGAGUUGGAAGAAGCUGAAUGGAUUCGAGAACGUUAUGAGCAGUUAAAUUUCAUAGAAGAAAAGAGAUUGACGGUACUGUGCCAUGGUCAGCUAUAUCAAAGAAGAAUGAUGAGGGCUCAUGAUAAGAAAAUUUGACCCCGUUGCUUUCAAAAAAGAUAGUUGGUCUUGAAAAAAAUUCUCUCAAUCUAGCAUGAUAGUUGAAGAAAAUAGACUUCGAAUUGAGAAGGACCGUAUGUGGUGAAAUAGGUUUUUUCAGGCGGAGCGCUGAUACUGACUGAGAUGGAUGGAAAUGAUCUACCCCAUCCUAUAAAUUUUGAUGUUGUGAAGAAGUACUAUGCUUGAAAAAAAUGAAAAAAAUGAAAAAAUGAAAAAUAAAAAAAAUGAAAAAUAAAAAAAUAAAAAAAUAAAAAAAUGAAAAAAAAAAGUGAAAAAGGAGGACUCAAGGCGGAAACUCAAAAAAGGUGGUUUGAGUCAUAGGGGGUUCGUCUAAGUUGAAAACCUGAAAAGGUAGCUUAGAUAAGGAGAAUACAACAUCAAAUUUAAAAGACCGUUGAUAUGAAGGCUAGCAAAUUCGGAAGAGUUCUAAGUUGUUAAAUACAUCAGAGGGUUGAAUUUUUAGAAAAAACUUUGAGAUGUGUUAUCAUGAUUAUCUGAUUGUUCAUUUUGGGCUUUGUCCCCAUACCUAUCGUUGUAAUUCUUUCUUGGCCAAAGUUUGCCAACAUUUUGUUAAUAAAAGACAGUCUAUUUCAUUCUUUGUGUCUUUUUUUGAUGACUGUUUCUCAACCAUUCAGAUUCUUUUCUUCUUAGUACCCCACCAUGGAAAAAAUGUGCAAAUGCAUCCUUACUUUUUGAGUUUGAAAUAAUGAUUGAUGAAUGAAUAACAACAUAAAAAGAUUUUUACAUUACAUUCAAUAAAUCAAGAGUGAUAAAGGCAGAAUCGAGAUGUUCAGUUCCUGAUUAGGAUAUUGAAUCUGGGAAGAGAUUUUUUUGUUACAGGAAGAAUGUGAGUGGAAGAGACAAUUAAGAGCUACACUGGUUCGAUUUUAGAAGAGCAGUGUAAUUAGAUCUCUGAAGAAUCAAAAGGAUUGAUGCCUAAGAAAAGCUUAAGAAACUAGAUUACCAUACAUUGAACAGGAAUUAAUUGGCCAACAUUUGCAUAGCAUGCAUUGAAAUUCAUAUGCAUUUGCAUAGCAUACACUACUUUCAAGAAAGUAUAGUGUAUAAAUUCAGGAAGCAGGGGUGUUUCAACAUCCCACAUAAAGAAGACAGAUAUGAAGAUAUUUUACAAAAUUGAAAAAGAAAAAGCUUGUCAGGUAAGUUCCUAAUCCUUGAAAUAGGAUGUCUUUCGGUAUCAGGGUUGAUUUGUAAGACCUUUGGGCAUAAUCUCCUGAAAUUCCUUCAAACACAACUUUCAACUCCUUUGGACAUGAUUGUCAAGGAGCAAUUUACUUUCCAAAGUCGUGGUGCCUCUGUUUAGAGGAGCAAUUUACUUUUCCAAAGUCGUGGUGAAUUUACUUUUCCAAAGUCGCGGUGCCUCUGUUUAGAGGAGUAAUUUACUUUUCCAAGUCGUGGUGCCUCUGUUUAAAGGAGCAAUUUAUGUUUCUCAAAGUCGUUGAGCCUCUGUUUAGAGGAGCUUUGGUCAAAAACAAAAACAAAAAAAACAUAAAAAAACAUAAAAAAAACAAAAAAAAAUGAAAAUGUUGAGUUGAGUCUUGAUUGGGUGUCUACGUCUUUGCGUAAUUUCUGUUUCACAGAAAAUGUGCAAAGAAGGGCAGCUGUAGACACCCAAUUUGGUCCAGGCCCGGAUCAAUUGGGCUUGGCCCAAAUGGGUAAGCCCAAUUCGAUUCUUAUUUUGUAUUAUUUUUAUUUUUUUUCUUUUGUAUUUUAUGUAUUUUAUUAUUUAUUUAUUAUUACUAUGUAUUAAUAUAUGUAUAUCUUUAUUUAUUUUUUCUGUUAAUAUUUAUAUGUAUUUUAUUUAUAUAGUUAUAUAUUUAUUAUUAUAUUAUAAUUUAUUUAUUAUUAUUAUUAUUUUUAUCUUGUAAUUUUUUUGGAUUUAUCUUAUUUUAUUUUUAAUUAUUUGUUAAUUUUAUUUAUUUAUUCGUUUAUCUGAUUAUUAUUAUCAUUUUUUUCUUUUUUUUGAGGCUGUGAUUGAAGGCUGAAGAAUCCUACUGUGAAUAGGGAUUCAAUCAGAAGAGUCCAGAUUGGAUUCAAAGAUUGAAUCCCCGUCCAAAGAGGAAUUGGGAUUGAUCAGGAACUCCUGAUCAAUCCCUAUAAAAAGGACCCUCUGGAACGAAGCAGGACAAAAAAAAACAGUAAGCAAAGCUACUGAUUUGAGAGAAAAGCGGCGUAUAGAGAACUAAGAAAAGGUUUAGAAGUGUUCUGAAAAUUAACAGAAAUUUUUAAAAGAUUUUUGGCUUUUUUUUUUGGGAAUUUCUGAAAAAUUCCAGAUUUCGGUUGAAUUUUUCAACGAAAGUUGCAUUUUUCGAUGAAAAUUUCGGCCAACCUUGAAGUUUUCGGCUAGCUGCCCAGUUUCCGACGAAGAAUCCCAAAAAUCGGUAGACUUCUAACGAAAAACCCAGAUUCUGACGAAAAUCCCAGAAUCCAGUGUAUCUUCAAUCGGAGUUCUUCGACUUUUUAGAGAGAAGCUAGAGGAAAAAGGAAGAAGAGAGAGAGAAGGGAGGAGCUUUCUACUAAAAAACAGAGGGAAGAACCUUAUAUACCCUCCUAAAACGACGUCGUUUUUGCCUUAAGUGACUCGGAGGAUCCGCACGUUUUGCCGAGAUCCGACCCGACCCGAGCGUCGACCCGCUUCCUGACCCGCUCGUGUCUUCCCCCCUCCGAGCUGAGCCGAGCUCCGAAGCCGCUUCUUCGAGCCGUUUUCUCUUCCUUGAGCCGAGCCGCUCCAGGUUUUUUUUUUUGAAUUUAUUUAUUUAUUUUUGAAUUUUUUUUAUUUUUUUAUUUAUUAGAUUAGGUUUAUUUAAUAUUCUUUUUAUCUUUAUUUUAUUUUUAUUUUUUUGUUUUACUCUUUUUUUAUUUUCAUUUUUAUUUUGUUUUAUUAUUCUAUUUUCUUUAAAUAAAAAUAAAAAAAAUAUUUUUGGGGAAAAGUUGAAAGUAUCAAUUUUCCUUAAAAAUAAAUUUCCAAAAAAAAUAUUUUUGAGAAAAAGUUGAAAGUAUCAAUUUUCCUUAACAAUAAAAUUUCAAAAAAAAGGGUUUUUGAGGAAAAGUUGAAAGUAUCAAUUUUCCUUAAAAAUAAAUUUUCAAAAAAAAUGUUUUUGAGGAAAAGUUGAAAAUAUCAAUUUUUUAAAUCAAUUUUCCUUAAAAAUAAAUUUUCAAAAAAAAUGUUUUUGAGGAAAAGUUGAAAAUAUCAAUUUUCCUUAAAAAUAAAUUUUCAAAAAAAUAUUUUUGAGGAAAAGUUGAAAGUAUCAAUUUUCCUUAACAAUAAAAUUUUAAAAAAAAGGUUUUUGAGGACAAGUUGAAAGUAUCGAUUUUCUUUAAAAAUAAAUUUUCAAAAAAAAAAUGUUUUUGAGGAAAAGUUGAAAGUAUCAAUUUUUCUUAAAAAUAAAUUUCCAAAAAAUAUUUUUGAGGAAAAGUUGAAAGUAUCAAUUUUCGAAAGUAUCAAUUUUCCUUAAAAAUAAAUUUCCAAAAAAAAUAUUUUUGGGGAAAAGUUGAAAGUAUCAAUUUUUCUUAAGAAUAAAUUUCUAAAAAAUAUUUUUAGAAAAAAGUUGAAAGUAUCAAUUUUUCUUAAAAAUAAAAUUUCAAAAAAAGGAUUUUUGAGAAAAAGUUGAAAGUAUCAAUUUUUCUCGAAAUUAAAGUUUCAAAAGAAUAUUUUUAGGGAAAAGUUGAAAGUAUCAAUUUUUCCUACACAAGAACAAUCAUCCUUUCCUUCCUUUCUAUUUUGGUUUUUUUUUUCUUUAAAUAAUCCGACGAUGGAACCUCUGUAAGUGAAACAGUAGUUUUUCUUGCAUACUCUUGAGAUGAGGGAAUUUUCUCAAUUUUCUGCUAAAAGUAUUAGAGUCAAUUGAGAAUAAUUUUCAACAAUUAAUUACUUGGUAAAAUUUUAAGGCUUUUUGGAUAACACAAAUUUAAGCUGGUACCAUCUUUUGAUGGGCGUUGUGAAGGCGCUAUAACCUUCCUCAUACGUAACCGAACUCCCGAACUCUAUUCUGGUUAGUAGACCUGAACCUAUUUUUUUAGGGACCCUUAAACUUAGGUGUUCCCUGAAAGGACAGUUCCUUAGGUGACUAAUUGCGCCUAGAUAAAAAAGAUUGGUGGCAACUCUUAAAAGUCAAUGUCUAGCGAUAGAUUCCCGGAUCUAAACGUUAUGACAACCUCAUAGUUGAUAUGCUCCAAGCUGCCCUGUCUCAAGUCAACUGACCACACUGCUAAAAGAGUUCUAAGAGGUGAGAAAGUUUCCAAUUUCUUAAAUCUCUGUUUCAACUACAGUUUUGCGUUCGCUAAGCAAUAAAUGAAGACAUUUGUUUGUAUAAAAUGAACUGCAUGUCUUUAUGAUUGCCGUCGCUCAGCUUCAGCAUUAUAAAGGAAACUUAGUCUGAAUAGAAAACUAUUAAAAUGGUCUUAUGAAUUAUGUGAACAACAAUUGUAUACUGGCUGUCGUAUCCGAAAUUGGAGAGCCCUCUCUUGCUUAUUGACUUGAUUUGCAGGAUCUCGUGUUACAUUUACAUCUAACUUCUCCAGAAUAUGUACCAACAUAGAAUUCCAUAAGACGCGGCAAUAAAGAUACAAUUACCUCAGAUACAAUUCCAGAUAAACUUUCAAUUCAAGUUGUUUCCAUUAGAGUUGAAAUUAUGAGAUGUGAAACUGGUUGGUGGUUCCUGUAUAUACUUUGCCUUGAUAUAAUAGUUUCUUCUUUCCUGCACUGCUCUUAUUAUGUAGAGUUGGAUAAUAAUUGAAUUAUUGGAUCCGAAACAUAACUUGAAAACAUGAGAUACUUCAAUUUUUUCCUUUUAAAUUCCUUCUAUGUUCAAAGCAGUGGAAAAGAGGGAGAACUUUCUCCUUUCAGGUGAUACUUUUACCAUCCUGUUUCAAGUCCUUCGUAUAACUUUACAUAUUCAUAUUGCUUUGCUUUUGUAUCGACAAUUAGGAAUUGUCAUUAUAUGGUUCUUAAUUUUGAUUGUUAGAAAUGCAUGACUAAGAAGUUAUAGCUAAUCAAAAUUGGUUUGAUUCCAUAUGGACUCUAAUACGUGAAUCUACCGUGGGCGUUUGGGGACAUGCUAUGUUUUUGAGUCUGAGGUGGAGCCGAUUUGAUAAAUCAAGUUCCAUGGCAAGAACAACCACAAAGUUUCUUGCACGAAUGAUUCUAGUUUCCAUACCCAUAUUUACCUCAAUUAUGAUGUUAAAACAUUAAAUUUACAUAUUUGAUUAAGAGGAAUUUACUGUACUUUAAAAAAUCAAAAUUUGUUUAUUCCACCUGUUCUUUUCGUGCUUGAAGUUUACUCAAUGUGCUUGACUGGCUUUAGACUCUUCCAAACUGCUCUCUCUCUCUCUCUCACACACACACACACACACACACGCAGACAUUCCUGUCCUGGUUUAGAAUCUUAUCUGCUUGCCUGCUAUUUGACCGGAAACACAAUUAGCUUUUAACACUCUGUGGUUCAGUAGAGUAUGGAACAAGAAAAUGACAAAAAUGAAGCUGGCAAUGCUGUAGAAGACUCAGCAAAAUCACAAUCAUCUGAAAAGAACAGCCCAAAUUUAUUGAAGGCCAAAUCUGAUAUUGCAAAGUCAAUAGCCAAGAAUUUCUUGGAGGCAAGAAAAGCCACUGGUACCUCUGAGGUUCGGAGGAGAAACCAAAAGAGUAAAAACAAAAGUGUAUCAGAAGGCAAUACAGCUACUGAAAAUGAUGCUAAGAAGCUAAAUUCAAGGGAAAAAAAACCAACAAAAAGAUGCUACCACCAGUACGGAGCAUGUAGAGAAGAGCCAGAAGAUCCAAAAGAACGAAGAAAAUACACGUGCGUCAGGUAGCAAGGAAAAUAGUAAGUCAAAUGACAGUCCCAAGAAACGAAGAAGCCGAAAGGAGCCUGUUCUUUCAAAUAAAAACCAGAAGAAUGAAGAAAAGUGGAAAGAUAAGAAAAAGAGAAAACAAAAUGAGCAGAAGGAAAAGCACAGUAAUUCAGAGAAGAAUAACAAGAAUAAAGAAACAAAAAGAAAUAAAAGAUUGAUGGUCUAAUAUUUAUGUGCAAUGCAAAGACCAAGCCUGACUGUUUUCGAUACCGUGUAAAGGGGGUAUCAACAGUUAAAGAAGAUCUCAUGCAUGUGAAGAGUUGGCAUCUACUUGGAGGGAAGAGAUUCAUCGUGAUUUAUACCUUAAUGAGAAGGAAUACAUGGCUUAUGGUCUUCAGGGAGAGAGAAGAAACUUGACUUUUCAGCAUAAUAUUGCUCCUAGAUUAGGUCCUACCAGAGAGAUUAUAGAGAGCAACCUCUAGGCCAACGAGACACAGUAUACAGGGAAUCUGUGCUUAUGCAGGGAGGUAUAAUUCACUCUGACCCUCUUUGCUUAACUGAAAGAGAGUAUCGGACUUACAAUUUGCGUGCUAAACGAGAAAUGCAAUCAACAGUCCAGCAACUGCAAAUGCGUCUGUAGCUGCUGCUUCUACUUUGGAUUCCUAUGCUAGGGAUCAAUAUUAUAGUAGUUAUUAUUGUGUUUCAUUGGUGGACUCGUACUUGCCACUUCCAAGAGGAGAGGCACACCUGAUUGAGACUGACCAUAUGAAGAAAGAAAGCAACCAAGUUGAUAGAUUGCAUCCCAGAUAUGCUUCUGGUGCUAUAGGCGAUUACAACCAGAUGCAUUAACAUCAGGCUGCUUCUACAUCAGUAUCAGCCCGGAAUUCUUUUGCUGGUGCAUCUUUGUCUUAUCGUUGAUUAUCUGUCCCUUCAUAUCCCUAACUUGAGACAUGUUAUUUUUUUUCAAUUAAUGACUUUUUGUUUGUUAUUUGUAUGCAAGUUGUUGAACUUCAAUAGUCAUUUUGUUAAAUAGUUUAUCAUAAAUAAGUAGCAUAAAGCAUUUUGCAAAUCAAUGUUUUCGAGGCUAGCUGGAUAUGGCUGCAGGAGAGCUUGGUUGAAUAUGAGGUAUCGCCCUUUGCCAACGCAUCUGUUCAGCUCUUUUCUAAUACAUUAUUUUAGCCACUUUGUGUUUUGAAAUGCUGGCAAGAUUGACAAUAAGUUUUGCAACUGCUUUAGUAGCGUAUAUGUUUGUUGUUAUUGGGUUUGAGUUACUAUUUUUCUCUUAAAUGGUUCACCAAUAGUAGCAUAUAUUUAGCUCUUUCUAAUACAUUAUUUUAGCCACAUUUAUGGUCUUUUGUUGGGCUACUAGUUUUCAAGGCUUGUCAGAUGGAUGAGGUAGUAUUAUCUGUACUGAGAUUCAAGCCUAAGAUCUAUCCACUGCGUAAACUGAAACGAAACAAAUGAACAGUUUCUUUCCUUCAAAAUCCUUUAAUAAACACAAACCGAAUAAACAAGUAAAUUUUCUUCUUCAUUUGAAUAUGUUAAAACUCCCUAUUAGUAAAUUCCAGGUUCUUGCGACAUCAAAUUGGUACUAAAACUAGUUUUUAUCGAUGAUAAAAAUUUGAGCACCAAUUUCAGGCUGCAAAUAGAAUAAAUUAACUUCAUUAACUUAAAUUCCCAUAGUUGCUUAUCAGUGUUUAAAACGAAAAUAAAACACCUCUUGUAAGAUUUGAAGCCCAAGACUCUUUCAAAAAAAUAACUGAAAAAUCCAACUUUAAAACUGAUGUCUGUUGUAAAUAAAAACCAUUGUACUUGAACAAUUAUCUUCUGUUCCUUAUAGUUGGAAACUCUUGGUCUAUAGUGUUUUCAAAGGACCAAGAUCCUUGCUGCAGGUUGUUCUGUUUAUGUCAAUGCUAACAGAAAAUGUCCAAAAUGAAAAUGAGAAAAAACUGCUCCAUUUCUACGAGUUCUCAACCAUUGGGCCUUCCUGCAAGUGUUUGACUUGUAUAUGUUUUCAAUUAACGAAAAUGAAACUAGUAAGCUUCUGCUAAGUUUGAAAGAACAGCUUCUUCACUUGACGUGAGACAAAUACUUUGUAAACAUUCAAUGCCGAUUGGAUUCUUUCCAUUCUUCCAUUCAAUCAGUAGGAUUAGGUGGCCUUACCUCACCAUAUCAGAAAUCUGGGAGGAGCAUUCGUUCUGCCCCAAUUUCCCCGUACCAUCCACCUCCUUGACAGUUGAAUGCUUUAUUCACAAUUCACAUUGAUAAAAAGGUCAAUCACAGAUCAAGGCGGGGGGGGGGGGGGAGAGGAAUCAGAGAUAAUUAACAUAUAAGCACUUAAAUUGCCCAAGGCCAAAGAAAAUACUAACCUUGUGCACCAUGAUGCAUCAAAUCAUGCUUCCGAACUCUGCACUAAUAAAACAUAAUAGGGCUACAAAAAAUUCCAAAGGACGUACGGAACUCAGCACGACGGUCAAGUAGAAUGGAACUGUUACAGUCAGGAUGGAUAAACUGCCAUUCACAAGCUGUUGUAGGCACGGCACACCUUGGGGCAUCCAAUGGACUCAAGAAUUUGCCAAUUGGUUCAAUGCAGCAGAAAAUCACCUGUAAACAAACACAAACCAUCAGCCAGCCCAAAAAAAACCAUCAAUUUAAAACCGGCAAAAUAAAUCUGAAUUGAGUUUUGUUUCAAGUUUCAACAUGAAAUAGUUUGCAACCUUCUCAAAAAGGGAGAGUGGCAAAUCCUUGAAAUUCACCAUUGAAAAAGUCUCCUUAUCGUCUAGUUCAAAAUAAGUAUGUGAUCCCCAACUCCAGAACCCUUGUCAUUUUGCCACUUCAGAAUAUUUCUCAUCCUCUGACUUCAGAAUUGUUGUCAUCCUUAACUUCACAAUACCCAGAUCAUUAAAAAUAGAAAAGUCCUACAUAAGUUAUCACUUCUGAGGUUGAUCAAAUAAUACAUGGCAAGCUAAAAUUAGUUAUCAUAGAAACAAAAAGCCUAAAAGACACAAGCUGUGACCAUUUACAGGUUGAUCAAAUGCAACACGAUUAAACUUGUCUUUAGAGAUAGAAUAGUAUGGCAGCACUACCGUUUAGUAAUAUGACAAUUCACAAUCAAAACAAAUUAACAUAUGCAACGUUCAGGAAGAACAAAAAAACCUUCUGCCACCCAUUACUCAAGGAAAGAAAAACCUUUUGCAUUAGAUGAGUACAACAAAAGCUAUAUGGUCUCAAGAUGCAUAGAAAGAAUUUUUGGCUUACUCUGUUUCUUUGCGGUUGAAGGAUUGAGCUGAUCUUCAGAAUUCUCGACUAUGUUGACUGGAUUAUGAAAUCGUAAUGAACACUAUUAGUGAAGGUGAAAAGGAAAAUUACUGAAAAAUUACUUUUAUUAUUCUUUGAUGAAUUAGUCUCAUAAAAUGAAAACAAAGCCAUCUGAUUUCAAAUGAAGAAACAAGAGUCAUGAUGUCUCAAAAACACAUAUUCAACAAUUUCCUACUCUGCCAUACAUGGUACUUGAAGAUCAUCACUGUAAUCCCUCUCCUUAUUUAUUUUAUUAUAAAUUUAAACAUUCUCCAACCACAAAAAACAGUAUUACUGAAAAACAAAACUUGUUUAAAAAAAGAAAAAUCAAAUUAUACAAUACAAUUGUCAUAGAAAAAAAAUAGAAAAUGUGACAUUAUCCAAUGAUCUAUUUCAGUUGCUCUAGAAAAUCCUAAAAGAGUAAAUUAAAUAGAAACUCUGAUGUCAAUAAAAUGGGAAAAUUGUUCAAAAAUUACAUAAUAUUAUAUUGAUAAGAGAAAUAUGAACUAGGUGGGAGACAUCAAACACCUACAUAAUUGAUGAACAAAUGGUAAAGCAUUUGAGUUGAAAGAAACAAAAGCUAUAUUAUUUAUGAAUUGUAUCUGAAGAUUCAUUGAAUGAAAUUUGGCAUACUUGUGUGUUCGAAGUUGCAGGAUUGCCUCGAUCUUCUAUAGAAUUCUGCAUUUCCUCCAUGGAUUUCUACAUAUGCAUAAUCACCAACGACAAUUAAUAUUAAUUGGUUAUGAUGGCGAAAAGAUGAAUUAAUUUUGAUAUCCAAUGGAGUCACCAUCAACGCCCCCAACCAAAAAAUUUCUUUGUUAAUAAUGAACAAUUCUCUAAAUUCUAAAUGAUAAUGGCAUCCUCCUUCACAUAAAAUUUUCUCUUCACUGUGCGCUAAUACAUAUGUUAGUCAUGACUGUUAACUUUACCUGCCAAAAAUCAUUGUUGGUUUUGAGUGGAGAAAGGAAUGUGUUUUAGAGGGCCUUCUUAGUUCUUGCAAAGCAGUCUUCCAUUCAAACAAACUCUUCUUAUUUUUCAUAGCUUCCCCCACUGUUACAAUGGCAAUCGGCAAUCCAGCACAUUAUUUGGCCACUUCAAUUGCCGUAAUAUGCAAGUCAGUGACUUAGAACAAUAUCACCAGCCUUCUUCUUAUACAGGUUCCAUGCUUCUUCUUCUUCUUCCAAUAUUUCAAUUCGAAUGUUUUUCAGCGAAAGCAUCAAAGGUAAAAUAUUGAGCUCUCUAGACAUCAGUAAGAUCUUGCAUCCUUGGUGUUCACCUCCGUAAGGAAUUCCUAGAGCCUCCAAUCCAAUUUCUCCCAAAUAUCAUCCAAAAUGACAAGAACCUUCUUGAAAUUCUUUAGUCUGUUCUGUAGUUCGCCUGCUCUUCCGGGGUCACUCUGCUUUGUAAACUCCACACUCAAUUGAUCUACAAUCAGAUCUUGAAUUUUCCUGAUGUCAAAACUCCGGGUUACGACUGCCAUGACCACCUCAUCAAACAAAUUUUCAUCCUUGGCUUGUCUAGCAACUUGUUUGACUAGGGUAGUUACCCACACCGCACGUCCCGUAAACACCAAUUAUGCUCAAAUUAGCAUCUUUAAGCGCCUCCAUGACCGCAUCCAAAGCACCCGUUCUUGACUCAAAGGCCUCGUACUCUUUGGCAGGUCUAAUAGCUAUCCCUUCUGGAGCAGGUCGGUGGGAUACUCCAUCAAAUCGGUCGUUAUCUUUCAAGAGUUCAGCAAUGGUGUUGAACUCUUUCUCAGCUUUUCUACAGAGUUGAUAACAAUACUUAAAAUUAGGACACAACCCAACGAAACACCCCUGCUUUACUUUCUCUUCAUCCUCAUCCAAUUGCGCAGCAGCCUCGUUACAGAUAUUCCCAUUGACCUUAGUCAACCACUCAUCCACGUCACACAUCUUCCCAUUGACCUUAGACAACCACUCAUCCACGUAGCUAAAAUAUCUCCUCUCCCUGUCUCUUAGCCGCAUUACCAUCCUCUUGCACUCUUUCUCUCGCAUCCUUCAGUUUUUGAAGUUGAUCCCUGAGGUUUUGUAACUUGCCCUUAUGCUUGUACAAGUAACUAAGUUGCCCUUAUGCCCUUAUGAAAUUUACACAACUUUGUUCUUCUCUUAGAUAUCAAAAGAUUGGUCGGCCAGAGCUUCUUCCUCUCCGCACUUUGAGUACGAUGCCAAAAGAGAAGAGAACCUACGGGAAAAUAUUUAACAAUUCUAUUUCCUUUUCUUGGUGAAUAAAGCUUGAGGAUUCAGCAGUCGGAAGAGUUUAAGGGAUGGUAAUUGAGAGAACAGAAAUUCAAAGAAUUGCGUGGUUUCUGCGAAAGAGUAUGAAAAGCCGAGUCUAUUAAAGCAAAGGGUUAUGAUGACAAACUGAAGGACCAACUAAGGCUUCAUUUCAGAAAGAUGUUCGGUAAACUUGCCAAUAGCACGAUGGAGCAUUUUAAUCGCACCAUUUCCCGUAAUCAGAACUGGAGCAUAACAUGCGCAGUGGCUCACCGUGAUGCUCAUGAACAAUAUUAUCUUUAUUGUUUACUUUUUACUUUUUAUUUUGUCUUUACAUUUAUACUUUCAUAAUUAAAAUAUCCUUAUUACAUCUAUAAUUUAAAUUUUGUUUUUGGUUUUUUUACUUUGAUUUUUUAUAUAUGAAAACAAUUUUAAUAAAUUAUUAAUUUUACAAAUAUUAAAUAUAUAAUAUAACUUCAAUUAUACUCAAAUUCUAAUUUGAUAUAUUUAAUAUUUUUUAUUACAUUCAUCAUUAUUUUUAUAUUUAAAUAUAUAUUUUAUAAUUAAUUUUAUUAUUAUUUUUAAUUUCAUUAAAAUUAAUCUUAUGAUUCAUCCGAAUAAACCGAAUCAUAAGAAUAAAAGAAUUGCGUCUUUUCUGCAGAAGAGCAUCAAGAGACGAUAUUAAAGGAAAGGAUUAUGAUUCAUAAUGGCAAACUGAAAGACCAACUCAAUGGGUCAUGAAAAUCAAAGAAUUGCGUGUUUUCAGCAAAAGAGCAUGAAAAGCCAAAACGUAAAGAAAUGAGAACAUGACGACAAACUAAAGGACAACUAAAGCACAGCCAUCUGGCUUCAUUGUGUUUGUGGGCUGUGGCAAAUGGUUUCUGUCGGUCAAGUAUUAUUUUUGAGUAAAUUACAUUAAAUUCCUUGGUGUUAGGCACUACUUUAAUAUCACUCCAUCAGUACGAUAAGCAACUUUCAACAGGACUUAAAAAUCUUGAUUUUAAAUUAAAAUAUUUUUAUGAGCUAUGUUCAUUUUAUAAAUAAAAAAAUAUAUAUCAUCAUUCCAAGUUUUAACAAUCACAUGAUAAAUAUAUUUUCAAAAUUCACAUCAAAUUUUUAUUAAAAUUGGAGUUAGGUGUUUCAUUCACAUUCAUAUUGGAGUUAAGAACUUCUAUUUACAUUCAAAAUUUCUUGAUGCAAUUAAUUUUUUAUUACAAAAAUAUAUAAUAGUUGUUAACUUUCAGCAAAUUAUUUUUUACUUUUUCCUUGCACCGUUAAUCUUAUAGAUUUAUAAAUUCAUAAAUUCAUAAAUUUGUAAAAAAUUAUGAAUUUUAAUAUUUGUAAAUUUUUUAAAUUUAUGAAAAAAUAUUUUUAUUAUUCACAAUUUCACAUAAAAUUUUUUUAAAAAAAUCAGAUUUUAAAAAACAUUUAUGAUUAUUUUUGUCUAAUUCUAUUGUUAUUGUUAAUUUGUAUGUGCAUGUAAUUAAAUAAAAACAUGCUGAACUUAUGAUUUUCCUUACGAAUUUGAAAUUCGAGAUCUUUGUAGAUAAUAUCGACACCCAAUAAAGUUGUAACAUAAUUCCUAUUCCCAACAUGUCAUACUCCUUAAGAAUGAAAACAAGUAAGAGACGGGCUGGGCUAUGAUUAUUUCUUGAGCCAAAACCAAUAUUGGAAUUUAGCUAUUUUUGAGAAUUAAAGGUAGAUUCUAGCCUGAUGUUUCCCAAACAGUUACAACUCUCUAGCAAUAAUGCUUGAUAUACAGCAGGAGUUUCCCAAAUAAUAUCUCGACUGCUCCCCCUACUAUAAAAUUUCGCAUAAAAACUUGACAUGCUACACGCAGUUGCGUUGGUUGGCGCAUGUAUUCGAAUGGUAAUAAAAGGGAUUGGGAUAUCAAUAUGGUUAAUAUAUUAGUUUUGUUUUUCAAAUCUCCCGCUCUCAUUUCUAUAGUAGCUAGUUAUUGGAAGCUAAAGCAUAAGUGGCUUCGGAAAUGAACUCUGCAAAAUUCUUUGAUUUUGAUAAGUACUCUAUGCUCUUGUCUAUAAUAAGUUGAGGUAAUAGUUAUUAGCAAGUUGAGGUGGUGCAUUUCUUUCAGUAACAGUAUUUUUGCCUCCUUAAUGGCAUUUUGAUCAGAACUGCAAAAUUUGGUUGCAUUUGGCAGUCCUUAUCGAGAACCUCAUAAAAAUAAUCUGCGGCUUGAGGCUAUUGCAUAUAUUUGUGCAUUGGAUCUUGCCGACAAGUUCCCUCCUGCACACCUUCUGAAUGCCUACAUGAAAUAUUCCAAGAUGAGCAAAUACAAGAAUUUCAAAAAAUCAUAUGUGAAACUGGUAACCUUUGCACCUUUUCUGUCUCUGUUUGCUCAGAGUUUAAGCUGAGAUCCAGCUGCUAUCCUAUUUUAUAUCUUUAAGACUUUAACUCCACAUGCUGGCAAAAUCAGACCAUAGACCAAGAAAUUGCUAUUAUGAGAAGGGUCCUUAGAUGCAUUGCUGAUCAGAGGCUUGAAUCUCUAUAUCCACCUGAGGAUCUUGAAAACUACAUUGUUCAUCUGGAAAGGCAGAAAGAACAGGGAAAUGAUACAGCACAAAGAGAAAAGAAGAAAGCAGAGAGGAAAGAAAUUUUGUCAGUCCCUUCAGCCGAGGCCAAACAACAGCAUGAGAGUGGAAUAAGUGGCCCUCCAUGAAUAUGUCAGCAGAGGCCACACCAAGCCUUUCUGGUAGUGCUGGUUGCAAUCUUCACUUAAAACCAUCUCAUCUUGAGCAACCAGUUGGCUCGAUUGCUGAUCAACCUGUUGCUUGUAGUUUGUGGGACUCCACUGCUUUCUCUGUAGGCACAAACUCAUUUAAUUGGCAAGAUGGGUGUUCAAUUGCCAAUAACAGGAGCUUGGAACAGUUCACUUCAGCUGGAGCAGUUGACAAGGCCGCCCCAGCUAAAAUCUCCUUUUUUUUUUUUUUCGUUUCUUGUUAUUACUUUUUUAGUUCUUUUUACCGACCAAGGUCAUAAUUCAAUGUUUAGUCCUCCCUUCCUCAGCAACUUUUUGUUAUUGUUGAAUGUAUUUGUUUGUAAUUACAACAAUUUGCAGCAUGAAUGGUACCGUGCGUGCUUAGAGUUUGGCAAGUAUAUCUUUAUUGGUUUUCUAUUCUUUUGACAAUAAAAAUUCACUUGUUAAAUUUAUUUUCAUAAGUUGAUUCUCUAACCGUACAGAAAGUAGUAUUCAUCAUGCUCAAGUAAAGAUUGACCGAUGUCAAUUUGAAAAUUUUCAAUUGGAUGGCGUUGUUCCUUGAGAGGCAAGGAUUGACCGACAAUCUUAUAGCACCGGUAUGGAUGCGAAGGGUUUAAUACUUUUUCUAUGUGAGCAUGUGGAGGAUCACGAUUUAAUGCGCAGUGAAAUUUCUGACGCUCUUCAAUUGUCUCCCGAUCCUGCAAAACUUGUUUUGGAUGCAUUAUCGACCUUUUAUCAUUCAAAGUCAGGGCAUGCUCCUAAAAAGAAAAAGAACUCAGGGGAUGAAUUUAUUAGGGAAGCCUCAGGAGAAGUAAGAAAGAGUUGCAUUCUAUUGAUGGAGCAGUUAAGGACAUUUCCGCUCCAGAUUGAACCCCAUGUAAAUGAAGAGGUUUUGAAGCUGGCAGAUGAUUAGAAAGAAAGAACGCAAAAGUACCAGAAUGGUGUGAUGGCAUAUGGUUUCUUGCAGCUGAUAGUCACCUACUUUUUGAUUUCUGCUUAUGAUGCGGAUGAGCUUCUUGGUGUUUUGGUAAUUGCAAGUGAGCAUAGACAGUCUCCUGAUUUGUGCCUGGCUGUUGGUUUGACAGAUAAGAUCUGCGGUUAGUCUACUUUCUAUCUGUCUCCCUAGUUUAUCGUUUCUCUUUUUGUUGGUUCGUUUAGCUGUUAGGUGAGGUUAUCCUUGUCUUCUCUGCAUAGCUAUAUUAAUGCUACUAUAGUUACAUCUUCUCUAGCUGUUAGCGACCAGGUAUAAUGUAAUGCAGGAAUUCCCCAAAAUAAUAUUCGAGUGAUUUCUUGAGGUACAACUUUUGCAUAUGGAACCCUAGAUGGUACAACAGUGUUUUGUUGCAUCAUGUACUCGAAUGGUACAUGAAAGGAAUCAAAGGGGGUCCUUAUGGGUAAAUUAUUUUCUUUUUUUUUUCCGCAACAGUUCUUACUUGUAGUAAGUUUCUGAAUUCUGCUAACUACUUAUCUUGUUGUUUCUUUGCCAAUCAUCUCGUUCUUUAAAUUUCUCAGCAAAAAUAUGACAUUUAUGGAUUAUAAUGGUAACAUAUUAAGUUCAGGUGGUGUUUUCACAUGAGUUUUUUUUUUUUUUGGCCUGACGGUAUUCUGAUGACACCUGCAAAAUCUGCUUUCAAUUUGACAGUCUUGAUUGGAACCCUUGUAAAAAACAAUCUACGGCUUGAGGCUAUUGCAUGCAUAUGUGCGUUUGAUCUUGUUGACAAGUUCCCCCUGCACACAUGCUGAAAAUUCACUUGGAAUAUUCCAAAGAGAGUUCGUAUCACAAGGCCAAAAAAUCGCAUUGGAAAUGGGUAACUUUUCCAUAGACCUUUUAUCAUUAUGCAUGCUCAAAAAUUUGCUGAAAAUUGAACUGUAAUCCUGAUUCUGUGUGUUAACUUGAAUGUGCUCGCAACACAAAUUAUAGAUCAUGAAAUAGCUAUCGUGAGGAAAGUCAGCGGAUGCGUUGCUGAUCACAAGCUUGAAUCACCAUACCCACCAAACGAUCCCAGAGACUACAUUUUACAACUGGAAAGGCAGAAGGCAGAUCGAAACAAUGCUGCUAGGAAGCAAAAGCAGGAAACAUGCCAGAAAAAAACCGGAAAAGUCCCUUCUGCCAAUUCAAAACCACGGCACGAGUGUGAACUAAGUUAACCUCCAUAAAUGUUUCAGUAGAAGCCGUCUCAAGCACUUCUUCUAGUGCUGGUUCCACAGUUAAACUGUCACCUUUGCAACUACUGGAAAGCUUCUUUGCAGAUCAAGCUGUGCCACACGUUUUAUGGGACUCCACCAAUUUCUCUGCUAACACAAACCUAUUAAGUGGUAAAAGGCAGGCAGAUAUGGCUACCAUUGCUGAUAACAGGAGCUCAGACUCUGAUUGAAAUGAGCAACUUAACGAAAUUUAGCCCUGUGAGUUUGCUAUUUGCCUUCUGUAGAAGCUUUUGCUUUGGUAUUUGAUUUCUAAGAGAGAUCAUGGAACCUGGACGAUAAUUUUUUACUGCUUGUAAAAUGAGCUGUUAGCUCAGUGGCACUAGAGUCGGUUCCAGGACUGAGGGUUUCAAGUGGAACAUCAAAAGUAACUGCUUGUAAUAAUUAUAAUAUAAUCUAAGAAAGUAAUUUGCAUUUUGAAAGUUGAAACAGUUUAUUUGUAAUUUGAAAAUUUCCCUCAUUGUUGCUAACCAAAGACAUGGGCAGAUGCCAAGAUCAAGAAAAACUUGGCGCUAGCCCAGUCUUACAUCAAACGCAGCCCACUUGAAUAUGUCUACUCUUUAGCCUGUCUCCAGUCCUGGCUCCUGGUCCUGGUACUGGUUUACGUCCCCAGUCCUGCAUUAUAAUAAAAUUUACUGUUUGACUUAAAUAGUAUUAUUUUUCACUAAAUCUAACUUUUUAGAUUUGUGAUUGGCAAAAAAUGAAAAAAAAUUUGUUUAGAUUUGUAGAUUUUUUUUCCUUAAAUGGAUAAAAACAUGAGGUGGAGUCAAUGUUGAUUUCGUGUGGGAGGCAAAGACCAAAAAGGAAAAAUACAAAUAAAGUUAUUUGUCAUUUUUUUCACCUACCACAUGGCACAUGCCACACCAACCAAAGCAAAAACGAAAUAAAAAAACAAAAAGCUAAAGAGAAACGUCAAUAUUAAAUUCAAAUUUUAAUUUAAUUAAUUCAGAUAAUCAAUAUUUUUAAAAUGCUACAGAAUCAUUCUGUCUUUGGCCUUGCUUUUUCAUAAAUAUAUAUAUAUAUAUAUAUAUAUAUAUACAUUGUCUGUCUUUGGCCUUGUUUUUUCACGUGCAUAUAUAUAUAUAUAUAUUAAAAAAUCCAUUAUAUGUUAUCAUCAUUUAUUUGAUUGUAACAAUUAUUGGCUUGUCUUUUCUACGUUACGUCAAAAUAGAAUUCUUGCAAUCCAGUCAAAGACUUUUGACUUGUUACAUCAACCAACCCUCCUUUUGGCAAAGUUCUUCUGUUUAAUACGCUGCAGAUAGACCAAACUUAUUUAUAUAUUCUGAUUUAUUUUAAUUUCUCCUUUUUUGGGUUUCUCAAAGUUUAGCUUAGCUGGCUUUUUUGAUCUUUUGCUGAAAUGGGUAGUACUGGGAUGCUGAACAAUUCAACUAUGAUAUGUGCUCCAUUAAUGGCUCAAUCAGUGGAGCAAAUGGUUAAAGACGUGCACCAGGCAAAGGCUGAAGGUGCACAAGUUGUUGAGAUUAGAUUGGAGCAUAUCAAGAAUUUCCAGCCUCACCAGGAUAUUCAAAUCAUACUCAAAAAUAAAGUUUUGCCAGUGAUCAUUGUAUAUAGGUAAUCAUCUCACCUAUGUUUUUUUCUACUAGUGGAUUUCUUAGUUUUAUGUUAUUUGAGCAGUCUUAUGAAUAUUAGGAGAUUAGAGUUGGAAAAAUGCCUUUUUGUCCCCUCAUUUUAGAAGUCAAGAUUGUAUUUGGUAGAUUCUUUUCCGUAUGUUGCUGUCCUUGUCCUUUUUUGUUGAAAAAAUAUUAUUAGGUCCCAUCAUUUGUUUUUAAAUGGAUGUAGCCUGUAAUUCAGAAUCACAGCAACGUAUUCUUGUGCAAAAGCUGCAGCAAAUUGUUGUAAGGAUGGGCUUCUAUUUGGUGAUUUGAAGACAGGGGCAUCCUGAAUUCAACACAUCAAACAGCUGUAAUAAUAAAUGUUUUUUGUUCUACCAAGUUGAGACCAACCAUGAUACUGAACAUUUUCACUUUUGCUUGUGGAUGCAAACAUAUCAUAGAAAUUAUUGGAAACAGAGAGGACAAAUAUCAGUGCCCAACUUUAUCGAGUUUUUAAUGAGUUUGUACUCUUUUCUACAUGAAAAUCUAUCGUACUGCUACUUGUGUUAAUAAUGUUUUCUUAAUUUUCGCUUUCAGAAGCUUGUGAGUUGUGUUGUGAGGUAGGAUAAUUAGAUUAAAAUAGGUGGCAGUGAUAGAAUAAUUUUGCCAUUCUUUCUGAGAUGACAGGAAUCUAUGUUGUAUGAACUUCUAAAACUGUAGUAAAAGAUAAAAAUAUAACUUGGGUUUGACAGUUUGGGAAGGUUUGAAGUUUCAUUGUAUUUAAUUUCUAAGAUUCAGUCUUUUCUUCAGGCCUAAAUCGGAAGGUGGUCGGUAUGAAGGAGAUGAGCAGUGCCGGCUUGAAGCACUUCAUUUAGCUACAGAAAUGGGAGCUGAUUAUGUUGACUUUGAACUCAAGGUAGCUUUUAAAUUGUUGUACUUUUGUUUGCAAACUAUUAUACUCUUGAUUAUUGCAUUUUGGUGCAUUCAUUUCUAUUAUUGACUAUUUUACAAACUUAAAUAAUAUUUUCACCCAUUUUCGUUUCUCAUUUAUCUGAUAGCAGUUAAAAUAAAAAGUGCCAUAGGCAGUUUUCCCUUUGAAUGACCUAUUUGUUCCUUCGAAAUUUCUCUUAGUUUUAUCUGACUCGCAGAUCAUGUGAUUGUCCAGGUUGCUUCUGAUCUUAUUUGGGAACAGAAAAUGAAGGAUGGUAGUGCUACUAAAUUUAUUGUGUCAUGUCACAUAAAUGGAAUGACCUCUUCAGACGAAGAGUUAAACAAUCUUGCUGCUAGCAUUCGAGCUACCGGAGCAGAUAUCAUCAAGAUGGCUGCAAAUGUAACGGAUAUUACUGAGAUAGCAAGAAUGUUUCAUUUGCUUUCUCAUUGCAAAGUAUGAAACUCUAACUCUAUUGACUUUGCUUUGAAUAUGUGCAGAUUAGUUGUAUAAAUUGUUGCAGUGGAAUAACAUAUCAAAUAUUAUUUAUCUGCAGGUGCCAAUAAUAGCAUACUCUGCAGGGGAAAGAGGUCUCAUAAGCCAGCUAUUGUGCCCAAAAUUUGGUGGCUUUCUAGCCUAUGGAUCUAUUGAGGGAAAUUCAAUUCCUGGCAUGCCUUCUUUAUAUAGUGUUAUCCACACUUAUAAACUUGGCUAUCUAAAUUCAGAAACUAAAGUUUUUGGACUUGUUUCAAAACCUGUCGGUCACAGCAAAGGCCCUCUAUUGCAUAAUCCUAUAUUCAGACACGAGAACUUCAAUGUUGUUUAUGUCCCAAUGUUUGUAGAUAAUCUCAAGGAGUUCUUUAACAUCUAUUCCAGUCACGACUUUCCUGGUUUUAGGUACGUCAUCCUUCAAUUUUGUCUUUGGUAGAUUAUGUCAGGUUACAGUGUUUUCACUUAAGUAUAUAGCCACUGUAAGCUGCAUCUGUUCUUAUGAGCAACACUUGUAUUUUGACCUUUUAGGCAUUCAAACACAUUUUAGCCAGUAACAACUAAGCCCAGAACUGGCCUUGAAAGAUUUAGUACCAACAAAGUAUGGAUGUAGGAAAAUUUUAUGUUACAACUCGUUCUUUAGUUGAUAUAGUAAUACUGAUUUUCGAAACUGGAAGAUCAUGGAUAGUUGCAACAUACUGAAAUAUAAAUGCCUUCUUUCUUUGAUAAAUUGCUUUAUUUCUCACCCUUAUUUUCAUCUCCUGGAAUGAUGUAGCCAGGUUUGUUUUCCACUGUUCUCCGAAAUGUAACUUCUCUUUUUCCUCAUUCCAAUGGAUUGCAGUGUUGGGUUUCCGUACAAGGAAGCUGUAGUUGAGUUCUGUGAUGAAGAUCAUCUACUUGCCGAGGUUGACUAUAUAACAGUCUUACAAACAUGUUUGAAUCUGUAAUUUCCCAUGUAUUUUUUCAGGUCCCUUGUUUUUGUGCCCUAUUCCAUUUCUUUAUGCACAGUUUACCAAAGCACCGAUUUCUGGCUAUACUAAGGUCUAAGACCAAGUUCUGAAUCUAAUUAUUUAGAAGAUCAACUUAUUGAGAGAAGCAUACCAAAGCAUAUAAGACUGGUUUGAUCAGUUAAUUGCCAGAGAAAAAGGAAAAAAAAUUGUAUUUAAGUUUAGGCAGAAUAUUUAUCUGAUCCUGGUUGUAAAAUUCAUAUUUUACUAUCUGAGCUAGUUGGCAUUGCAUCAUCAGACAUGGCACAUUUUGUGAUGGGAAACCAAAAGUAACAGAAGAUUACACUCAAACAAUUGUAUGUUGACAUGUUCUAUAUUGAUAUAUUUACCUGUCACACCCCGAGAUCAACACGCAACACGGUCGUAUUAUCUUGAAGAAAACCCCAAAGUAAUAAGAAGCCUUUUUUCUUAAUCAUUCUAAAAUUCUUCAAUAAAACAAUCUACCAAGUAAAAUCUAUAUCUUUAAUCCAACUGAUAAUAUAUCUUUAUAUAUCCAAAUACAAACUAUAUAAAAUACAAAACUACCUCUUAAAAUCUCAUUGACUAACAUAUUCUCCGACGAUUAAUUAAUCUUACCCAUUUCAUCUUCUAGCUUCACACAAGACUAACCAAACUUAUCACUUAGUCAUAUGUAAAAAAAAGUAAAAGGGAAUGAGCAAACCACAGCUCAGUAAGUAUAGGCUCACACACCUUACCAGAUCAAGCAUCGUUUUCUUACACAUCAUAUAGAUCAUUCAAAACAUUCAUCAAAUCAUAAUAUCAAAACAUUUCAAGAUCAUCAUUUUGUCAAAUAUUUCAUAAAUUCAUAAAUUAAUAUCAAAAUAUGUUACUUCAUAAAUCAUUGCAAAAUAUGCUAUCAUUCAAAUAUUAUAAUCAAACCAAAUCAUUGAUCAAUCAUUAAAAUCAUCAUAAAUCAUCAUUAUCAUUCAUUUAUCGUUAGCUACGGUCACUGUUAUAACCCGUGACAUUGACCGUAUCGAUAAUUUCAUUCUCAUGAUCAUUCUAAUUAUUAUAAUCCGUUAGCCAGGGCUUACGCUAACUACUAUUACCUGUUAGCUAAGGACGUAUGAUCAUGUCUUUGCUAACUACUAUUAUCCGUUAGCCAGGGUCGUAGAACUAGUUCUGGUGUCGAUGAUCCCACUUCCCAGAGAUGUAAAAACGUAGCCAUCACAAAAUCAUUCUUUAAACAUAAAUUAUUUUCUCAUUUCAUUCAUAAGCAUGAUCCAUCAUUUAUAUAAAGAAACACAAAAUAAUCAUAUUAUAAGCUCCUUAACAUCUCUCAUAGUUUAAGGAUCAUAACCUGAACUCUUAGAAAAUCUCCAAGAAACAUAACUUAAAGCUUUUAAAAAAAAUCUUAACAUAAUCUACAAAUCAUAAUCUAUCUCUUAAAAUUCUUCAAAGAUCGUAACUUAAGCUCUGAUACCACUUUUAUCACGUCCCGAGAUCAAGACGUAACACGGUCGUAUUACCAUGAAGAAAAUCCCAAAGUAAUACGAAACCUUUUUUCUUAAAUAUUCUAAAAUUCUUCAAUAAAAUAAUCUACCAAGUAAAAUCAAUAUCUUUAAUCCAACUAAUAAUACAUCUUUAUAUAUCUAAAUACAAACUAUAUAAAAUACAAAACUAUCUUUAAGAUCUCAUUGGCCAACAUAUUCUCCGAUGACUAAGUAAUCUUUCCCAUUUCAUCUUCUAACUUCACACAAGACUAACCAAACUUAUCACUUAGUCAUCUGUAAAGAAAAAGUAAAAGAGGAAUGAGCAAACCACAGCUCAGUAAGUAUAGGCUCACACACCUUACCAGAUGAAUCAUCGUUUUCUUACACAUCAUAUAGAUCAUUCAAAACAUUUAUCAAAUCAUAAUAUCAAAACAUUUCAAGAUCAUCGUUUUGUUAAAUAUUUCACAAAUUCAUAAAUCAAUGUCAAAAUAUAUCACUUCAUAAAUCAUUGCAAAAUAUGCUAUCAUUCAAAUAUCAUAAUCAAACCAAAUCAUGGAUCAAUCAUUAAAAAUCAUCGCAAAUCAUCAUCAUCAUAAAUCAUCAUUAUCAUUGGUUUAUCGUUAGCUACGGUCACUGCUAUAACCCGUGACAUUGAUCGUAUCGACAAUUUCAUCCUCAUGAUCAUUGCUAACUAUUAUAACCCACUAGCCAUGGCCUUAUGCUAACUACUAUUACCCGUUAGCCAGGGUCGUAUAAUCAUGUCUUUGCUAACUACUAUUACCCGUUAGCCAAGGUUGUAAAACUAGUUCUGGUAUCGAUAUCCCAACUUUUUUUUUCACUUUUCCAAUAACUUCAAAUGUCUUUACAAUGCAAACUUAACCUUUCUUACUUUAUAAUCCUCGUAAUGAGUACAAAUGAUUAAUCACUUGAUACAAUAGAUCAUAUCUCCAAAUUCUGGUAUAAUUCUCGUCCUUACUUUAAACCAUUACUUAAUCAACCAAAAUUUAUCAGCCAUUUGUUCCAUAAAUUCAAGAAAUAAAAGCUUUUCUUCUUUGUCCUUAUGCCAAUAAGUCUAAGAUUUAGAUUUGCUUCCAUAGAAAACCUCAAAAUAAUGAAAUAUUUUUUUUUCGAAUGGUUGAUUAGAAAGAAUAAGUUUUGAGGCAAAAUGAUUAUUUUUUUUCAAAGUUCAAUGAAACAAUCAUACAGUAAGAGAUAUGAUUGCAACUAGAGGAUAGAUGUUGGAUAAAUUAAGUUUCAAAGACGAAACUUUUUUAUAAGAGGGGAGAAUGUAAUACCCCUAGCCAAAUAAUAAUUAGGCUAGAUUAAUACUAAAGCCCAUCAGUUUAUUAAGACAUUAUUUAGUAAAAGAAAAAGGGCUGAAGUAUUAGAUGAAAGAAAACCUAAUUAUCAUGAAACAGAAAGGAAAUAGAGUUAUUUUUUCUCAUCUUUCUUAGGGUUAGAGGAUAUGAAAAAUCAAGUUGGAGAUUCACAAUCAGAGGCUACAAUCAAGUUAAUCCCUUAAAAGUGAGUACAUGCCCUCUUUUUAUUUAAGAAGAAAUAUCAAGUUGAUUGCUAUUAUUUGGAGUUAAAGUUUUGAGAAAAAAAUCAAGAAAAAUCAUGAAAUCCUUCAUUAAUCUUGAUGAUCUAUUUAGGUAAAUUACUGGCUUUUGUUUAUUUCAUGUUCUUAAGAUUUAUUGAUGAUUAUUGAAUGGAGUUUGUAGGCUGAAAAUAAUGAUUUGAGUUUUUAAAGAUUGAAGAAAAAAUUCUAUUUUUGGAUGAGAUGUUGUGAUCUAUAAUAAUGAAUUAAAAUAGAAAUUUGUAUUAAUGGAUAGAUUAUUACUGUGAUUAUUAUAUAUCAUUGGAAAGCAUGUUGAAUCUAGUUUCUAAUGAAACAAAUGAAAGUCAAAUCCAAGUUUUCUAUGAAGAGUUGUCUAAUUUUAACUUAAGGAUAUGUAGGCUGUAAGAUAGCAGCAUCAGGGUUGAAUUACGAAAUUUUCCUAAUUUGUAUACAAGGAUUUAUAGAUUAAGCCAUAUAUUUUUGGAAAGCUUAUUGAGUCUACUUUCCAAUGAAAUAAGCGGAAUUGAAUUUGGAGUUUCCUGUGAGUAAAUAUAUAAUUUUUAUUAGAAGGUAUACAGUCUGUUUGGCAGCAGUAUGUGAUGUGGAUUUCAAAAAUUGUUAUAACUAAUCUACAAGGAAUUACGAUGUGUGCCAUAUAUGGUUAGAAAGCUUAUCAAGUCUAGUUUCUAACACAUUAAAGAGAUCAUAAUUCUGAUUUGACAUAUUGAGAUAUGACUGUUUUAAUGAAAAGAGGUCAGGCUGUCAGUAUUGAUUAGUUAAGUUAACCCUUUGUGUAACUUAGUUGAUUUUUGUAUAAAUGAUCUCAAAAAGGGUUGAUUAAAUUCUGAUCUGUUGAAAUGAUCUUGGAUAGGCCAUUAAUUAUUUUGAGAGAAAAACUAAGUGGUGGAAUCGAAUGGAGGUAAGUAGAAUCUCACACACUUUACUUGUUUUCGAAUCUAUGUAUAUAUAUGUUUCUAAAUGAAAGAAUGUUUUAUUUCUUUAUUUUUAAUGUGUGAAAAUAGGACCAAGCAUAUGAUUAUUUUGUGUUUUCGCUAUGUAAAUUAUGGAUCAUGCUUAUGAAUGAAAUGAAAAAAUGAUUUAUGUUUAAAGAAUGAUUUUGUGAUAGCUACGUUUUUAUAUCCCUAAGAAGUGGGAUAUCGAUACCAGAACUAGUUCUACGACCCUGGCUAACGGGUAAUAGUAGUUAGCAAAGACAUGAUCAUACGACCCUGGCUAAUGGGUAAUAGUAGUUAGCAUAAGGCCUGGCUAGAGGGUUAUAAUAGUUAGCAAUGAUCAUGAGGAUGAAAUUGUCGAUACGACCAAUGUCACGGGUUAUAGCAGUGACCGUAGCUAACGAUAAACCAAUGAUAAUGAUGAUUUAUGAUGAUGAUGAUUUGCGAUGAUUUUUAAUGAUUGAUCCAUGAUUUGGUUUGAUUAUAAUAUUUGAAUGAUAGCAUAUUUUGUAAUGAUUUAUGAAGUGAUAUAUUUUGACAUUAAUUUAUGAAUUUAUGAAAUAUUUGACAAAACAAUGAUCUUGAAAUGUUUUGAUAUUAUGAUUUGAUAAAUGUUUUAAAUGAUCUAUAUGAUGUGUAAGAAAACGAUAUUUCAUCUGAUAAGGUGUGUGAGCCUAUACUUACUGAGCUGUGGUUUGCUCAUUCCUCUUUUACUUUUUCUUUACAGAUGAUUAAGUGAUAAGUUUGGUUAGUCUUGUGUGAAGUUAGAAGAUGAAAUGGGAAAGAUUACUUAGUCGUCGGAGAAUAUGUUGGCCAAUGAGAUCUUAAGAGAUAGUUUUGUAUUUUAUAUGGUUUGUAUUUGGAUAUAUAAAGAUGUAUUAUUAGUUGGAUUAAAGAUAUGAAUUUUACUUGGUAAAUUAUUUUAUUGAAGAAUUUUAGAAUAUUUAAGAAAGAAGGCUUCGUAUUACUUUAAAAUUUUCUUCAUGAUAAUACGACUGUGUUACGUCUUGAUCUCGGGACGUGACAUUACCUGAUUCACAUGGAGGUGAUUCUAGAAAUUUUCUUAUAUCCAGAAUUCUUACCAGAAUUCUUAGUGCUUCAAUUCCCUAUUAAUAGCAUCUGCUUGCAGUUUCCUAUAUUUAUAUAUUUGACAAUGUAAUCAAUUUUUUUUCAUGCACUGUCAGUCUAUAGGUGCUGUUAAUACUAUUGUAAGGAGGCCUUGUGAUGGAAAGCUGAUAGGUUAUAAUACUGACUGCGAAGCUGCAAUAACUGCGACCGAGGAUGCUCUAAAAGGUACCUGCCAUUGAUGAGAAAAAAAAUGUUCAUCAUGUCCUCUUAGAAGUUUAAAGUAUUGAUCAAUGACAAGUCCAUUCUAGAUGCUGAUAUCCUGACACUGUUGUACUUGUAAAUCGUAAACUACUAUAGAAAAGAGAUGCACUGGUAAUGAAGUAUCUUUAGGCAGUCCGAUAUCGGGGAAACUCUUUGUGCUAGUUGGUGCUGGAGGUGCACGAAGAGCAUUGGCAUUUGGUGCUAAAAGCAGAGGAGCUCAAAUAGUCAUUUUUUACAUUGAUUUUGGUAUGUGAUCUACAAUUCUUAAAAGGCAAAUCCAUGGUUUUUCCCUUUAUGUUGAUUUGAUUGUCAACUAUAACUUCUGCCUACUCUUUUUUAAUACAAUGUUGUAGCAUUAGCAAUAAACAUUAUGAGUAGAGAAUCAAAACCCUUUCGUACUAUUAUCAUUGCUUGUGGAAAAAGGGAGAGCAAAGUCCCUUGCUUGUGCUGUCUCGGGUGAAGCUCGACCUUAUGAAGAAGUAGUUAACUUCCAGCCAGAGAAAGGAUCGAUCCUUGCAAAUGCAACACCCCUGGGAAUGCAUCCGAAUACUGAUCAGCGCAUUCCUGUUGCUGAGGUCUCCACCUUCCACCACUUAGUGGUAUUUCUUUUCUGAAGAAUAAAGUUCAAUUUUGUUUCAUUACUGAAGUUAUUUGCUUUCAUAUUCCAGGCAACCUUGGGAGAUUAUGAGCUGGUCUUUGAUGCUGUUUAUACACCUAAGAAAACAAGACUAUUAAAAGAUGCAGAGGCAGCAGGAGCAAUCAUUGUCAGUGGAGUUGAAAUGUUCCUCAGACAAGCUAUUGGUCAGUUCAAUCUCUUCACUGGUCGAGAAGGUAUCUCUUGAAUCCCUUCCUUCCCUCUAUCUGUUUCAUGACCUUAAACUACAUCAUAACCACUCUGGACACUUAUUUUCUAAUUAAAUCAAUUAGAAACUUUAGACCUUUUAAACCAUCCUUAGAUCUUUACUGCAAAUGUAAGUUGAUAGUUCAACCAUCUUGAUCUUUUGCUGUUUGAUUUUAGUCACGAGACUAUUGAAAAAGAAUAAUAAAGCUUCCAGUGAGUAGUGAAUCCAUCUUUAUUUCAUUAGUUGGACGAAUGGAUGAAGUUUAUGAUCUGAAAAAGCUAUUUUGAUUGAGUUGAUAAGAUUUGAAUACUUUGUUUAUAAGACUUAAGUUUGAGUCCCCGUUGCUAGCAUUUCCCUUGAUAGAUGAUUUGUAAAUUAAUGUAAAUCGAUGCUGAAGCUUGUGAUCUUCUAUGGUCCUAAAAUGAGAAUGCCUCUUCUUAUCCUAAAUUUUUAUAAAAAUAUAUAUAUACAUAUAUACAUUGAGUCAAAAUUGCUGGAGAUAUCCUAUUUUGAACCUCUUCCAAAAUUCUGACUUCUAAUUUUACCAUGUACCAUCCUCAUGAUCAAGUUCAAGUUUUGUGGUGAUAAUCUCAACUAUUCUUCCUCAAAACUACUGCCUCCUACAGCUCAAGAAUUUUAGUUGCAACAUAUAUUUUCAGAAUUCUUAAUAUGGUUUAAAUGAGGUCAAUUUUUUUAUUCUGUUUUGCAGCACCUAAAGAGUUAAUGCGAAAGAUCAUUAUGGCGGAGUUCUGAUGUAUUACAUCACACAGAAUAUUGUAACAUUAAGGAGUAGAUAGAUCAAGUACCAUGGAAAAGGAUUCAUGUAGUCAAGCUGAAGCCCUUAUUCUUGGACAAGGUUUUUUUUUUUUUUUAAUUUAUUUCAAGUUUUGGUCAUUAACUUACAUGGAAAAUGAAAAUAUUUCUCUUCUUUGUUUUCUUUGGAGGGUUCAAAAAAAAUUUUUUUUAAAGAGAUCAUAGUUUAAAAAUUAAGAAAACGAUUAAAGUAAUAGAAAUUUGAAUCUUAAAUUUACUGAAAAAAUGAUUGCAUAAACCUAACUUAAAAGGGUUAUGAGUAUUAAAAUUUGAAUCCAAACUUUUAAUAUCAACGACUGAACUCCAUUAUAAGUUCACAAAUAUUUACAUAGUGAAAGCCUUUUUCUUAUUUUGAUCAUAAUAAUAUAAACAAUUAUUACUUAUUAGACUUUGCUGUUAGAAGAGGAUUUAAAUUAAAAUCUCACUUACAAAAAUUUAAUUUAGUUGACUAUCAAUUUUAACUAACUAUACGAUGCACGAUGAUUUUUCAAGUACUUGGAUUUUGGUUACUUCGAAAAAUUUAGAUGAUGUGCCAAAACUUAACUUCUUUUAGUAUUAUGUAGUUUUUGAAAAAAGAUAAAACAUGGUAAAUUUAUUAUCUAACAUUGUGUCUAUGUAGGCGUAAAAAGUAAUUGUCUUAAGUUAUCUAUAAUAUUGACUUAUUUGUUAGUUAUGCCAUUAUGGCUACUUAAAUUCAAUAUCAUAUAAUUUAAAGUGUUUUUUAUAAUAUGAUCGCAAAAUAUUUUCAAGAUUUACUAUUAGAUAUAUUAUCGAGCUUUAUUUAAUGUUAAUUUCUUCUCUCAAGAGAUUUUCUCUAAUACAGUAAGUUGUAUUCAGUGUUUUAUUUUUAAAAUAUUUUUUAUAAAUAUCAAAUUCUGAUUGACAAAAAAAAAAAAAAAAUCGAAUGGGUUCAGAGUUUUACUCUUAAAGUCUUUUUUUUUUGAGGGUUCAAAUUCUAAUUAACAAAGAAAAAAAACCCUUUUCUCCUUACUAAUUAUAUUAAUCCUUGUGGAUUAAAGUGGUAGAUUAUGCUAACAAUAAAAAUUAGAAGUUAUUUCAAUUUUUAAUUUGCUAUUUAAUUUAAUUAGAAUUUCGAUACAAACAAUAAUAUAAAAGAGAAUUAAAGAUAAGAGUUAAAUUUUGGAUCUUAUCUCUCAAUUAAGUUAUUAAUUAAUUUAUUUGAUCUAUUAGCUUUACCUUGAUGAUUUGUAAAAAUUUUCUAAUAUAAUCAUCAAAUAAUGUUUAUUUUAAGUUAAUCAACAAUGGUUUUACUUUUCCCCAUUUCAUUGCAAAUAGAAAAAAUUAACUUAAUUUAACUUAAAUUCUCAUAGUUACUUACCAAUGUUUAAACGAAUAUAAGGCACUACUUAUAAGAUUUGAAGCCAAGACUCUUUCAGGCAAAGAACUAAAAAAUCCAACUUUAAAAUUGAUGCCUAUUGUAGAUAAAAACCAUUGUACUUGAACAACGAUCCUCUGUUUCUUAUACUUGGAAACUAUUGGCUUAUAGUGUAUUCAGAGGACCAAGAUACUUGCUAUAGGUUGUUCUGUUUAUGUCAAUGCUGAUAGAAAAUGUCCUAAAUGAAAAUAAAAAAUAACUGCUCCAUCCCAAUGAGUUGUCAGUCAUUGGGCUUUCUGCAAGUGUUUUGACUUGUAUAUGUUUUCAAUUAAUGAAAUAAAACUAGUAAGCCUUUGCUAAAGUUUGAAAAGGACCAGCUUCUUCACUUGACAUGAGGCAAAUACUUUGUAAACCUUCAAUGGCGAUUGGAUUCUUCCCAUUCUUCCAUUCAAUCAGUAGGAUUAAUUGGGCAUUAGCCCUCAUCGUAUGAGAAAACUAGGAGGGGUAUUCGUUCUGCCCAAUUUUCCCGUACCAUCUGCCUCCUUGACAUUGAAUGCUCUAUUUACGAUUCACAUUGAUGAUAAAAUUGUCAAUCACAGAUCUGGGUGGAAAAAAUCAUUGAUAAUUAAUAUAUAAGCACAAAAUUGCCAGGCCAAAGAAAACGACUAACCUUGUUCACCAUGAGCCAUCAAAUCAUACUUCUGAACAGUGCCACUAAGGUAGCAUGGAACUCAGCGCAAGGGUAGAAUGGAACAGGUUAUAUCAGGAUGGAUAAAUUGCCCAUUCACAAAAUGUUGUAGGCACAGCACACCUUGGGGCACCCAAUGGACUCAAGAAUUUGCCAUUGGUUCAAUGCAGCAGAAAAUCAACUGUAAACAAACACAAACCAUCAGCCAGCCCAAACAAAAACCAUCAAUUUGAGCCUCCAGAAUAAAUAUGAAUUGAGCUUUCUUUCAAGUUUCAACGUGAAAUAUUUUGUACCUUCCCAAAAAGGGAGAGUCGCAAAUCCUUGAAAUUUCAAAAUAAGUAUGUGAUCCUGAACUUCAUAAUAUUUCUCCUUAUCCUCUUGACUUCAGAACUGUUGUCAUCCAUAACUUCUGAACACCCAGAUCAUUAAAAAUAGAAAAGUAGUACAUAUGUUAUUUCUUCCAAGGUUCAAAUAAAUGGCAAGUUAUAAUUAGUCACCAUAGAAACAUAAAAGACUAAAAGAAAGAAGCUGCAACCAUUUACAGGUUGAUCAAAUGCAGCAUGACUAAACUUGUCUUUAGAGACAGAAUAGCUUGGCAGCACUGCCCUUUAGUAAUAUAAUUGACAAUCAAAAGAAACGAAAAAAAAGAGUACCAUUAUUUCAUUUUAAAGAACCCUUGUAUUAUAUAAAGAAACUUAUUAACCUUUGAAUUUCAACGAUGAAAGUAUCAAUAACAUGAUGUCUCAAAAUACAUACAUUGUUUAUUACUCUGCAUGGCACAUAAAAUGCUGGCCGUGAAGGAAUAGGAUUAGAACCCUUGCCUUCUGCACUUGAGAUGAAGACACACCUUCAAAUGAAGAACUUACCUUAUUCAAGGCAAAGAAAAAUCAUUUGCUUAGAUGAGUACUACAUAAGCUAUACUGUCUCAAGAUGCAUGGAAGACUUUUUGCUUACUUCUGUUUUUGGCAGUUGAAAGGAUUGAGCUGAUUUCUUUCAGAAUUUCUUCGACUAAUGUUGACUGGAUUUAUGAAAUAUAAUGAACAAAUAUUAGUGAAGGUGAAAAGAAAAUUACUGGAAAAUUACUUUUGUUACUCUUUGAAGAAUCAGUAUCAUAAUGAAUGAUAACAAAGCCAUUCUAAUUUCAAAUGAAGAAACAAGAGUCAUAUGUCUCAAAUACACAUUUUCAACAAUUUCCUACCUUGCCACGCUUGCCAUUUGAAGAUCAUCACCAUAAUCCCUCUUCUUAUUUUUUUUUAUUAUAAAUUUAAACAUUCUCUAACCAUAAAGAAUAUUAUUACUGAAAAGCAAAAGCAUUUUAAAAAGAAAAUCCAAUGAUCUAUUUCAGUUGCUCUAGAAUAUCCUAAAAAGAGUAAAUUAAAUAUAAAUCCUGAUGAAAAUAAAAAGGAAAAACUGUUUAAAAAUUACAUAAUAUUAUAAUGAUAAGAGAAAUAUAAACUAGGAAGGAGGCAUCAAACUCCUACUUAAUUGAUGAGGAAAAGUAAAGCAUUUGAGUUGAAAGAAACAAAUGCUAUAUUAUUAUGAAUGGUAUCUGAAGAUUUAUAGAAUGAAAUUUGGCUUACUUGUGUGUUAGAAAUUGAAGGAUUGCCUUGAUCUUCUAUAGAAUACUGCAUUUCCUCCAUGGGAUUCUACAUAUAUAUAAUAAUCACCAACAACAAUUAAUUUUAAUUGGUCAUGAAGGCGAAAAGAUGAAUUAAUUUUGAUUUACAAUGGAGUCGUCAUCAACGCUCCCAACCACAAAUUUUCUUUUUCAAUGAUAAUCAAAGAAAUUUGAAAAAACAUACCCUUUCCGUGAACAGUUUUUGUAUGGUGCUAUUAAGGCUUCCUUCCCAAAUCCAAUCCCCUACCACCCACUCAGUUGGUCGUACUUCGUGCAACAUUGGAGCGUUUAACCCUCCCUUGGAGAACAUCUUCAUCUUUGGGCAAUUGUAUACAAUUACUGUUGCUAAGGAUGGGAAUCCAAAGGUAUGAUUCCCUGAUGAGCAGAAGCUUUCUAGAUUUGACAGCCGACAAAGUUCCAAAAGGUUGAGUUUGGGGAAAAUGAUUUCAACCUUCACUUCAUCACGAUCCCCAUCGCUACCUUCUAUUAUUUCUUCUAUCUUUCCACAAUAACCUAUCCUCAUUUCUCUGAG